UCUCUCUUUCUUUCUCUCACACGCACACGCACGUAAAUUCACACACACACACACAAUCAUGGAGGCUGUUAGUAACAUUUCCGGCACAAGGCCACAUCAACCCAUCCCUUCAGUUCGCCAAGAGGCUGACCGCCAUGGGCAUCAAUAAAUGAUCACAUAGGUUAAAAAUUUACAAGUUUAAAAUUGUUAUGGGACUUCUCAAAAAUUUACAAGCUUUAAAUUCAACAAUAGUUAACUGAUCACCAUUGCCAAGAACCAAAAAUAAUUUACAAGCUUUAAGCAUCCAGUAUUUGUAAUUUAAAAAUAGAGAAAAUUUAUACUUACAUAGUAAUAUUAGACUCCAAAGACUCACCGAAUUUCUCUACUCUCGAAUAAUUGAGCUAUUGGGAUCAUUGAGACUUUUUGGCUUUCAAUUGUUGGGCUCUUUGGUGCAAGGUAGAAAAUAUGGGUAUAUAAGUGGCUACUCUUCUCCUUUUGAUUCUCAUUAUGGAAUAAAGAGUUGCACUGAUCAUGAUGCUUUUUUUUCCUUCUUUAAUCGAGGUGUUUUCGCCGAAAUUUUAAGAUUUGACUUUUUGGAAUAGCUUAUUCACCUCUAAUGACUUAUUAUCCUACUCGAUUAUCUAGAGUUCAAAAGUCUCCACUUUUGCUCUUGAGGUAUGGUUCCAGUUUUUAUUGGAAUAUUUGCGCAUGUCCUCCUUUUCCCUUCUAGUUCUCUUCUUCUUCGUUCUUUUUAUGAGAAAAAGAAAAACGUAACAAAUUUUCCAACAAAACUCCAAGGGAUUUUUUUCAAGAAUCUCCAUCUACUCUACCUUACACGCAUUGGCUAAAAGAAAUAACUCAUUUUCUUUGAGGCCCAAAUAUAGGUUCUAAGGAUAAUUUGGAUAAAAAGAUAGGCUUGAAAGGCUUAGAUGGUUCAAAUAACGCACAAAUCAUAUCCCAAAUCACUCAACGACUCGAUACUUCACUUUGCAAAUUCCAAAGUUGAGUUCUAAAAACGAACAUCAUAUGAUAUUUCAUAAAUUAGCUCCACGUUUGAAAAACAAAAUUUUCAACAAAAGCAACACAUAAUUCAUGAUUCUCAAUAAUGUCUCACUCCGAAAUUACUUUGAAUCGAAAGCUCGCCAAAAUUUAAGUAUAUCUACAACAAAACAAGUAAUAUCAUCAUCAAACAUUGGCCAUCUUUCUUCAUCAUAAUUCAUCGAUGCAUUCAACUCAAACAUUUUUUUUAAAGAAAACAAUAAAUAUAUGAAAACGACUAAAAAGAAAAAAAAAAUCCUAAAGCAUGCAAUCUAAAACAUAUAAAGCACAUAAAAAGUUGUUUUAAAAAAUAUCCUAUAGCAUGCAAUCUAAAACAUAUAAAGCACAUAAAAAAUAUUUUGCCACCCCCAAACUUAAAGUUUUGCGUUAUCCUGAAUGUAAUUAAAACAAAGUUUAAGGAUAGAAUACACCUUGAUUAGUCGGAACGUCCUCCACGCGUUGCACUCCUCCAUCUCUUCAUCUUUCAAGCAAACUUUUUUUUUUCAAUUUUUCGAAAAAAAAAAUAAAUAAAAAAUUCUCCAGGGGUGUUCCGGACGGCCGUCUCACCUUUUGCACUGUUUUUGAGAUGACCGUCUCAAUUUCCGAACAUUCACAACUAGUUGUAACUUUCUCGGACGAACGUCUAGAGUUUUGGCUUGAUUUUCGGACGACCGUCUUGCUUUUUGUGUCCUGUUUUUGACCUAAAAAUUCAAACAUGAUUAAAUUAUUAGAUUGCAAGCUUACAUAUUUCUAGGAAACUUUAAAAAAAAAUCACUAAAAAUAUGAGAAAAAAAAAACGAAAAAAACAAUAAAUGCUCGGGUUGCCUCCCGGGAAACGCUAAAUUUUAAGUCUUCAGCCAGACUUUGCUUCUUAAAAUUAUUAUGUCCGAUCUAAAUUAUUGUAAAUUGAGCAUCCAUUAAUGUGCUCUACAACUUCAAUUGCAACCAAGGCAAGGAUAGCAUUGCAAUAUGUCACAGGGUCCACCUUAGCUUGUAGUCUUUUUUUCGUUGUAAUCAAUCGGUACGAAGCCAAGAUGGGAUGUUCAUCAGUCGCUCCAUCAAAUCGGUACACAAAAACCUCAAGUCUGCGUAUAACAUCCACCUCAAACGCAUUCGCCUUCUCAUCAACCACUAUUGAUGCAUUCAAAACCACAUCAGGUACAACGAUAAGAUCUUCAAUUUGAAUAUUUGCACUAACCACAUCCAUCUCCUUCUUCUCUUGUUCCGAGACAUCUAUGGAGUUUAGCUCGAUUGCAUUCUCAGAUUCAUCAUCUUUCGGCGUCUUCAUAAUUUAUUUCUCCCUCUCAUCGACACUAUUUUCUAGGUCUGAAGAAUUUUUCUCACUACAAGUUUCAGACGAAUUUUCUUUGUUGCAACAAUUCUCGAUAUCGUCUGGAAUAUUUUCAGGAAACCUUUGGAAUUGACUCUUCCAAUUGUAUUUCCAGUCUUUGGGUAGAUGCUUGAGUGGAUUUCCUAAAAUUUUCAAGGAUGGAUUUCAAAUAACACUCCUCAAUAGUGGGUUCUCGUGGCCUUGCAUAAUAGGUUUGAAAAUCAUCAAAUUGCGGCUCCCGAUGUUGAAAAUCAUUGAAAGCUUGGCUCAGAACGCUCUGUUCGUACGUGUUGGUGUAUGUGUUCCAAUAACCUAUGUUGGUAUUAUCGAAGAAAUUAUUCGCUUUCGGUGCUUCCCAACAUUGGUUGGUGUAAUGAUUUCUACCACAUGUGGAACAAAAUAGUGGCAUAUCAUAGGUGUUUUGGAGUAUUCGCCAGAUGGAAGCAAUUCAUAUCCCGUUUGAGGUGCGCGGAAAUUGUAACCUGACAUGUAACAAAGGAAGAAACAAAAAAAAUUAAAAUUAAAAUUAAUUUGGGUGAAUCGAGAGAGUUGUUCGAAUCUAGAGUCAGAAUAAAUAGACAAUGUAUUAUAUGGUUUUGUCAUCUGGAUGAUUUCCUUCAGAUGAAUUUGAAUACAUUAAAUCAUCUAGUUCUUCAUCUUCAUCCUCCUCUUCAGAUGAGGCUCUUCGGAGAAAGAAACUCAAGAAAUGAUUAAUUAUAUUCUUGGGAUAAUUUUGGCAUAUGAGGAACAACCGUAUCAGCGACAAUAUAUCUAUCGUGAUCGCGAAGAAAGUCAGAAACUAUUAAGGAAAUAUUAUUUUCCUGAAAAUUGUACUUUCCAUUUUCUUAUUUUUGCAGGCGUUUUAGGAAGCGCAGGAAGUUGUUUUUUAUAUUAAAAAUGAUCUUUAAAAUUAUAACACAUACUUCAUCUGAAAGAGAGAUGCACGUGGUCGUCUUGGCUUAUCGUCUAUUCAAAAAAUAACUACUGCAAUUCCGGUUCUUGCGUAUGGGGCAUCUGCUGAUUUUUACAAUGAAUAUUAAAAGAUCGGGGAGGCAACUGGUAACGAAACUUUAAGAGAGUUUUUUUCAUCCAUAAUCGAACUAUAUGGAGAACAAUACUUGCGUUCACCAAAUGAACAUGAUAUUCACUGUCUUCUACAAGAAGGUGAAUCACGAGGUUUUCCAGGUAUGCUUGGAUCUUUAGAUUUUAUGCACUGGCAAUGAAAAAAUUGUCCAACUGCUUGGCAAUGCACACACAAGGGUCACCCCGACAAACCAACAUUAAUUUUAGAAGUAGUUGAAUACCAUGAUACAUGGAUUUGACAUUCUUUUUUUGGCAUGUCAGGUGGAAAUAAUGAUAUUAAUGUCUUUGAUCAUUCUCCACUUUUUGAUAAUAUGAUACAUGGUAGAAUGCCUCCUGUUCCUUAUACGGUGAACGGUCGUUCAUAUAUGACGAGUUAUUACUUAACUGAUGGUAUUUACCCAAAAUAUGCAACUCUUAUUCAAACCAUUGCUCAUCCCACCACUGCAAAAGAAAAAUUAUUUGCGGCAAAAUAAUAAUCAGUUAGAAAAUAUGUGAAGCGAGCAUUUGGUGUUUUACAAAGUAGAUGGGAUAUAACCCAAGGACUCAUCCGCUAUUGGUCAAAAGAAGAUAUGUGUAACACAAAGAAAACAUGCAUUAUCCUUCAUAACAUGAUUAUAGAAGCUGAACUUAAAAUUGACAUUGAACCAUGGAUGCCACUACCAUAAGAGAAUUUUCGCCCCCCUCAAUGUGAACGAGAUCCAUCAAUUUUGGCGGCACAUAUCUCAGCACGCCUUAGUCGGAUCCACAACCGACGAACCAUUAAUUUUAUUUGUGAGUUAUUGUUCUUUUAUUUUCACUUGAAGAAUUAUAUUUUAUACUGUAAUUGAAUUCAGUAAAAUUAAAUUACUACAAAUAUUAUUGUGACAUUUCUUUUAAUAAAAUGAUGAAUACGAGAGACAAAUGUGGAGCAAUCAAUAGGAAUUCACAUUGUUAUUCAUCUUGAACAAAUAAAGUUGUAACAUCUCUUUUACUAUUAGACAACAAUUAAUAAUAUUUAAGAAAAAAAGAUCAAAAUAAAUGUUUCGUGUACUAUAUUUUAUAAUUGAAUUUAUUAAAAUUUAAACAUAACUUUUUUUUAUCGAUAAAUCUAAAUGUAACAUUCCUUUUACUAUUAAUAUUAAAGCCAAUGAAAUUUAAUAUUGUAAUCCAUAAAAACAUAUAAUACAAUCAAAUAAUAAAAUAGAAUUAAACAUUACUUAGCAAAAAAGAAAAAAAAUAAUCUAUAUAUAUAUAUAUAUAUAUAUAUAUAUAUAUAUAUAUAUAUAUAUAUAUAUAUAUAUAUAUAUAUAUAUAUAUAUAUAUAUAUAUAUAUAUAUAUAUAUAUAUAUAUAUAUAUAUAUAUAUAUAUAUAUAUAUAUAUAUAUAUAUAUAUAUAUAUAUAUAUAUAUAUAUAUAUAUAUAUAUCCUUUUUUUUUCUUUUUUUAUCUUACCAUUUAUAAUACAUAUCUCUCAUUUACUUAGUGACUGCUCUUCCCAUACUCUUUUCUUUGUUCUCACUAUUACUUUUUUCUUUUUNNNNNNNNNNNNNNNNNNNNNNNNNNNNNNNNNNNNNNNNNNNNNNNNNNNNNNNNNNNNNNNNNNNNNNNNNNNNNNNNNNNNNNNNNNNNNNNNNNNNUCUAAAUAUAACAAUCUUUAUACUUAUAUUAUUAAAGCCAAUGAAAUAUAUAUAUAUAUAUAUAUAUAUAUAUAUAUAUAUAUAUAUAUAUAUAUAUAUAUAUAUAUAUAUAUAUAUAUAUAUAUAUAUAUAUAUAUAUAUAUAUAUAUAUAUAUAUGUAUAUAUAAUCAAAUAAUAAAAUAAUUAAACAUUAUUAAACAAAACAGAAAAAAAAAAACAAAACAAAAAAGAGGAAAAGAUACACGGAUACACGACACACACUUCAAUGGAUGACAAUUAAAAUAAUGCACAUGGCCCAUCUUUAUCCUGCCCGAACAUUUCUUAAUUGUACGGAAUAAAUUAAAGAGACCCAGCCUAGGUGAAGUAGAAGGUGCGGGAGCCAUUUAAUUCUUCUUUUUGGGAUUUGCAGAGGCUAAUUUUAUUUAUUAUUUGAAAAAACUUGACGAAGGAGGAUGGUUGAGAGGUGAUCAAAAGGCAGCGGAAGGUGGUGGAGGAAAUGGCGGGGAAGAGGGUGAUAAGAGGUAAGGAUGGGGUGGAAGGAGUUUUGGUCCAGCUCAUUUGCGGGUCACAAGUGGACAUCAUGUGAAAUGCACAUGAGGUUUUCGUCAAAGUUAACAGGAAAAUUAGACGGCCGAAACAAAAUUGUCAUAAAGUUGUAAGUUUUAGGAUUCAAUUCGUGACGGCAAAUGUUUGAGAUCGAAAAUCCUUGUAGGUGAUAAGUAUAACAACCAAAAGUGUAACUAUCCCGUCAAAAGUAACACCAUAUGAGGAUAAUGUAAGACCUUACCUUGGGGGUAAUUUACAUAAAAAAUAAUAUUAUUGCAAUAUUCAGUCAAAUUAGGUAAACUAUCAGUUAUAUUAUGAGAACAUCGGUCAUAUUAUUCAAAAAAUCCAACUAUAUUAUUCAAAACUUCAGAUUCAGAUCGUGGAAAAUGAAGUCAGAUUCAGCAACAAAUCUGUCCUAUCGUUAUUCAAUAUUAUGUUAGGUUAAUAGCAAUUUGCCACUUAUACUUUGCUUGUUUUUGCACUUUGUCACCUUAACAAAAAAAUAUUGCACGGGCACACCCAACCCGUUAUUAUGACUUACUUAACCACCUAGGGAGAAUAUUCAGACGAAUCUUCACAAAUUACGGCGCACGCGAAAAGCACAUAACAAUGUAAAUUGAACUUAAUUUGAAAUUUGCCUAAAUUUGAAAUUAAUUAAAAUAAAACUUUGGAUCUUUUUCUUCCAUUAGAGUUUCUCCCUUAUUAAUUAAAAUUAUGGUCGGUUGUAAUUACCAGUGCCAAGGAUCAGUUUAGCAGCUCACACAAAUACACGCACACACACAAACUCAUGUCCACGUCCGUCUCUGCCGUAAACAAAAACUCUUCACAUUCAAUUCAAAAGACACAAACAUGCACCUCCAAGAAAAGUUUUGUUUUUGUUUUCUUUUUUUCAUUCGCAAGUACUUUGUUCGUAGGAAUUGUGAUCCGGAUCUUUUUUCUUGAUCCUUAAUUUGUUUGCCAAAAAGAGAAUUUGAGUCGAGCGUCCUAUUUUUUUGUAAUUUGUUUUGUUAUUCAUUCAUGUUUUAAAUUUCGGGUCUUUUUUCACUUUCUGCAUUUUUUGACCAAAUGGGAUUUGCCAACAUGUAUAAACCACCAAAUAAAGUUAAGAUAAUAAGCUAAAGCAAACUAUUAUUAGAAUACAUUCCUUUACAAUUUGCAUAAAGUUGUAAGGAACUUUUGGGGCUAUGAUCUUAGUUUGCUUGUGAUUUGGUCUUCGUUUUAUGUAUUCUCUUACUUUCUUGGUUUGUAACAUUUCUUGUUUUCAAUAUUUUUUUUCAUACAGUAUUGUCCAAAUGUCGAGGAAGAUGGUAUGGUUAUCGAUGGGAGGGUUGGACAAACCGAGUAAGAGUGAAGAGGAGAUUGACUAUGACUUUUAUUUGUUUGUAAUUGAGGAGGUAAUCAAACCCACUGAAAUUAAUUGAAAUAAAAGUCUGGGUUUUCUUUGAAUUAAUUAAUGGGGAAAAACUCCCAUGGAAGAAGGAAGAAGACCCAAAGCUUUGUUUUUUAGUUAAUUUCGUAUUUUGACAAGUUUCAAAUUAAAUUCAGUUGAGUACUUGGAACAUUCAAUUUCAUCCCAUGUGAUAUUUUUAGGUGAAAAGACGAAAAAACCCAUUUAUUUUAUCAUGUGUUUCAUGCUUGCGUCUGUAUUUGUGAAGAUUCGCCAUAAUAUUUGCCCUAAGUGGUUAAGUGAGUCAUAAUAACGAAGUUGGGUGUGCUUUUUUCUUUUUAUUAAGGUGGCAAAGUGCAAAAACAUGUAAAGAACAGGUGGCAAAAUGCUAUUAAACCUAAAAUUUUCAUCUAAUUAUGCGUACACAAAUCCAAGUUCCUUUUGAAAGCAAACAACUAGAGCUACAACUUUCGUGUUUGGCGUAUUCGAUGAUACAAAGUUUAUGGUACUUACAGUUACAUAGUAUGCUCAAAAUUGUGCCUGGAUUAUGAAUUGCGCUACUUACAUAGUUUCGUAUUUCUGCCAUAACUAUCUCGUCUAAAGUCCAAGUGCCUUGAUACAAAAUGUAUUCAAAAGCCAAAAAAAUAGACCUACAAUCAGUAAGGAUUUGGGUUUGCGUCUUUCAAAAUUUAAAUUUCAACUCAACGAAAAUUGAAAAAAUGCAGGUGUACUUUUGUAAAAGAGAUGAGGGAACACAAAUUUCAUUCAUAAGAUUGUAAGUUAGAACACAAUAAUAUUAUUCAUGAAUAUCGCUCAAAUCAUAAAUAAAUAAAAACAUUCACGAAUCAAAUAUAUUAAUUUCUGAUUCUUGCAAGACAAUGACAUGUCCAGUAGGGCUCCGGGCUCCAGGGGAGGGUCCGGAGCACGGCAAUAUCCUCCGGGGCAAGGAUAGGACCCACAAGACACUUUGCUACACGCAAAAGUACAAACUUAUUCAAGACAUGGUUCCAUUUUGAAACUUGGUUCACCGUUACAACUUGUACUACACAUUAUUGAAACCAAACCAUAAACAAGAAAAAUAAUUAUUAGUACUUGCUUCCUGAUUGCUUCCAUUUAGCAGAGAGUGUUCAAUAUUAUAAACUGUCAUAAUUAUGUCUUUUUAUAGGUAGAAAUAUGUAAUGUUCAAUAAUACUGCAGUUACAUGAUGCACAAAUAAAAAGUUAGGUAGGGAUUACUUGAAUUACAUGAUGAAACCAUAAUUCAAACAAAGAUGUAUGCAAUAAUAUAAAUUUUCUCUUAAUAUAAAUAUAAAUUACAAAAUGAACGACAAAGUAUAAAUUACUGUAAUAAAAAUUGACUAGGUAUUUUUAUUAAUUUGAGUUGACUAUUGUAUUAUAAAGGACUCUUUGAGUUUUGUGCCAUUUCUCAAUGAAGAAAGGUCCAACCAUAUUUUUAGUAUUAAUGAUACAUUGAACCCUUAUUUUGUUUCAAAUUUACCCUCUCCUAUCUUACUCACCGCUUGAUUUUUUUUCUUUUUGUGUUUUCUAGUUUGAAUUAUAUAUAUAUAUAUAUAUAUAUAUAUAUAUAUAUAUAUAUAUAUAUAUAUAUAUAUAUAUAUAUAUAUAUAUAUAUAUAUAUAUAUAUAUAUAUAUAUAUAUAUAUAUCUAAAUAACUUACAAAAUUACCAUAAUAAACUAGAAUUUUAUUUUUGUGUUUUGGGUUUUGUUUCUUCUAAAAUAAACUAUAAAAUUACCGUAAAUAACCACAAAAAAGUGGUAUUCAACCACAAGUUUACAAAAUAAAAAUCAACUAUAAAUUAUCGAAAUCGACUACAAAAAUAUCAAAAAGUUAUCCAAUUAACUACAUGUUAACAAAAUAAACUAAAAAAAAAAACGAAAACACCCAAAUCAUGACUUGUCAAACUAAUGAGCAAAAAGUAAUUUGACUUGUGCGAUGCACGGGGCGGAUAAAAGUUAGUUUCGAUUAAAACUCAAUUUAAUUAGUUGAUGUGUUCAAGAGAAUGUCAAAUGAAGGAACGUCUUUGGAUAUAUUAAUAAUUUUAUUAGUGUGACAUAUACUUACUAUUAAACAAGUUACAUUCAACAAUAUCUCAUAUUCAUUAACUUACAAAGCCAACUCAAUUUUCCCCUUUACAGAUUUUAUUACACCCAAAACAAUAUAUUAGAAAAAAAUGGAUAUACAUGUCAUGUUAGCUAUCAAAGAACUAAGUAGUUAGUAAUGGGAAACAAAUGGGUGACGCUUAUUACACCUUAUAAUAGUACAUAAACUUAACAUAAUUUUCCAUCAUAAACAUCAUUAGGAGUAAUUGUGAAACAAAAUAAAGAAAUUUGCUUACCAGUAUUGACACAAAAACCUAGUUCUGAGAUCUUUAUUAAGUUUUCUCUAAGGAUUUAAAGCAAUAAAUCAACGAAAGACAUGAUCUGCGUAUCAAGAAACAAAACAAAAAUAAAGGGAACAAAUUUACGAUUUUCAAAUCUGUCAAAUAUAUUUAAACUCUUUUAUACUAGUCCUGGAAAUUUUCAGGAAAUCAUCUAAUAUAAUGGAUGUAUGCAGAAUUUGAAAGUUAGUUAAUCUAGGAUAAUUAGAAUAUAUGAAAUCUCCUAGUUUUCGAAAAAUCUGCUAAUUUUUAGCAUGUAAUGGUUUCAAAAAAUGAAUUUAAUAAACAAAAUGUAGCCACAUAACAUGAAAAUCCUUUACUCUAAUGCUAAUACUAAUACUAAUAUUAAUAUUAAUGAUAAUAUACUAAAACUAAUCCUAAUAUACUAAUGCGAAUGCUAAUGUUAUUAUUAAUAUUAAUGCUACUCAUAAUUUUAUAAUUAAAAGUUAGUAUUAAUAUUAGUUUUAGAGUUAGUGUUAGCAUUAAUAUUAGUAUUAGUAUGUUGAUACAUUAAUAAUUUAAUGUAACAAAUGUUAGAGUAUAUUUUAUUAUUAAAUAUCAUAGGAUAUUAGGAUUCUAUUAUGAUUCGGCUACCUAGAUUAGUUAGGAUUUAGUUACCUAGUCAAACUCUAUUACCUUGCAAUAUUUUUCUAUAUAUAUUUCAUGUAAACUGCCCAUAACAUAAUGGGGGUUUCUAUAAUAUUAGGUAUUAUUAUUUCUCUCUUUCUCCUAUGCUAUUCUUCCUAUAUGGUAUCAGAGCACCAGGUUUUUUAACAUGGUCGUCUUUCUUCUCCAUAGGUGUGACCACCCAAUUUUCUCCCUCCCCCGGCGGUGAUACUCUAAUAUUUUUUUUUCUAUCUUUUCCAUGAACACCACUCAAAUUUCCUCCCUCCCCUAGUGGUGGUACUCUUCUCUUUUAAGUUAUAUUAUUUCCGACAUCUUCUUCUUCUUAGUCGAUUAAUCUUUUUUCUCUCUCUUUAAUCUCUGUCAGUUUUUUAAUAAUUCUUCUUCCCCUCUCAUAUUUUUUUUCUCUCUCUCUCUCUCAAUUCAUACACACACAGAAAAAAAAAAUAAAACAAAAGCAAUUUUAUUUUCUCUACACGUUAUUUUUUUUCUAUCAAUUGGACAGAUAUUUUCAGAGUGGAAUUCUCUAGCGUUGUGUUUCGCGGUUUCUGUCCAGUCUUCACUUUUGGAGUUUUAUUCAUUUCGACUGGGGGAGCGUGUUAGCAAGUGAUUGUCCAGUCUUCACAUUCGUCACGUUUCGACUGCAGAAGCGUGUUAGAGUAUAUUAUAUUAUUAGAUAUUAUAGGAUAUUAGGAUUCUAUUAUGAUUCGGUUACCAAGAUUAGUUAUGAUUUAGUUACCUAGUCAAACUCUAUUACCUUGCAAUAUUUCUCUAUAUAUAUUCCAUGUAAAUUAACCCAUAACAUAUAUUAUAUUACGUAUUAUUAUUUCUCAAUUUCUCCUAUUCUAUUCUUCCUAUAAGAAAUAUGAAAUAGUUUUAACUUUUAUUUAUUUAAUAGACUAUUGAAGUUUACCUUUUAAUUACAAUUAAUAAUAUAAAAAUAUUUCUUAGAAUUAAUAAAAUUAAUUUGGGGGUCAUUAGCAAUAAGCCCCUCAUAUAGCUAAGAAAUGGUGAUACAUCCACUCCUUAAAUCUUUCUUUGUGAUCACCCCUAGAAACGUUAUUCCCAAUAUUACCCUUGUGUUAAUUAGCUAUCCCUAAAAAUCAGCUACCAAAUUUUAAAAAAAAAAUAUUUUUUAUUAUUUUUGAAUUUUAUUUAGCUUUUUAUUGUUUUUAUAAUAAUUUUUUAAUAAUUUUUUUUUAUUUUUUUAAACAAAAAAAAUUAUUUUUUUUCUCAACAGGUUUACUACGCCGAAUGUGACUAUAGUUGAAUGUGACUAUAGUCUAAUAUGACUAUAUGUGACUAUAUUAACUGUAGUCAUAUUCUUGAUUUAUAUUACAGUUGUUUACAUUUUCAAUUUAAAAGUUCUGAUUAUAUAGUCUAGUACAAUCAUGUUUACCAAAUUAUAUUAAAAAACGAAGAUUGCCUAUUAUUUAAGAAACCAAUCCAAUCAACAUCCUCAAAAAAAAAUCACAAUUUGAAUCUUGAAACGAUAAGAUAGAACAUAUUCGAAUAUGACUAGAGUCAUAUUUAACAAUAGUCAUAUUCGAAUAUGAUUAUAGUCAUGUUAUUGUUGCUGCUCAAAUCUUAAACUAUAUAUUUGUUCACAUUUCUAGAAAAAAAAUAAAGAGAAAUCGAAAAAGACAGAAACAAUUACCAAACUUAAAUAUGACUAUAUAUGUGACCACAUAUGACUAUUAUGUAUAUGACUAAAAAAAUUGAUUCUUGUCAUUUGGCUUGCAAGUUGCACCAUUUUCAUUAGUGCAUUUCAUAGCCACCGCCACCAUUUAUUCCAAAAUUUCCUCAUAGGAUAUGAAAUAAUGCUCACAUUGCAUCUUUAAAAAAACAAUUUGACUGAUUAACAACAAUGGGAUUAUCAAAAUCAAACACAAAUGACCCCAACAAAUUUUAAAUGCAAAAUCUCUAAAAGUGAAGACUAGAAAAUGAAAAAAAAUCUCAUCAAAUUGUGAUAUUUUCACAAAUUAUAUCCGGAGCUAGGGGGCACCAAAUUCAAUCUGCUCCGUACAGUAUAUAAAAUUAUAUACUCUAAAUACUCUAUCCAAAUGUCGGCCACAUCCAAUGGUUCAAUUGCACGAAAAACGUGUCCAAUCUAGCUGCCAUGAAUUAUUCAGUAACAAAAACCAGCAGCGAGUUUUAAGAUUCGAUCUAUAUUUAGAGAAGUAUGAUUCCGAUCUCCACCAGUCAUAAGUUAUAUUGAUGUGUUACGAGUCCUGUAUAAACAUAUCAAACCGAUCCGACGGUUAGAUCUUCCGAUCUGGCCUCUGCACGAAAAACUGUUGCAUCUCAAAAACUUGAUUUUUCUCCUCUUUUUUCAUCCGCUCUUCGGAAGGAGAAUCGAAACCUGGCGCCGGCGCCGUGUGCAGCUGAGUGGUCUCCAUUGGCGAGUGGUGGAGGAUUAUGGGUCCGAAGAAAAAAAAAAGAGAGAGAGAAGUUGCGUGAGAAAGAGAGAGAAUGAAAGAGAGAUAUAUGGAGAUAAUUAAUGUAAUCCUACAAUCACGUGAGACGGUUAUGGAAAAUAAAUAUUGCAAUUAUUUUAAAAACUACUGAUAAGGAUAGUUUCGUCUUAUCACAAUUGUUGAGGGGUAUUGGCGCCAUAUUUCCGGCUACUGAAGAUCGAGGAAAUCCGCCAAGUUUUGGAAUUAAAAGAUUGGCAAAGAUUUGUUUUCCAUAUUUAUUUUGGAAUUUAUUAGAGUCCUAUUCUUAUAAUACUUCUAUUAGGACUUAGAUUUAUUUCCAUGUAUUUUAUUCUAGUUAGGUAUCUUUUGUACUUAUCUAGAAUAGAAGUAGAAAUCAACUAGGAUUCUAUUACCUAGUUAAAUAGAUUUCUUGGGGUUCAAGCUAGGUCUUAGGGCUUAUUUUCGUGGCUAUAUAAGCCUCCAAGACAUACAAAAACCAUGGGCAUUAUUUGGGAGAAAAACCACUUCAUAAGCUUUGCCAAGGCGUUCUGCGGAGCAGUACUGUGCCAUCGUUGCACUGUGCCAACAUAUACAGAUUUGCUGUAUAGAUCUCAAGGGAGAUCAACCGCGUUUUCUGAAGGGAGUUCAGGCUUGAAGAAAGUUCAAGGCACGCGGAGUGGAGCUGCUGUAGAGAGAGACACGGAGUUCGAGUUGUGUACAAGAACGGCGUAAAAAUUAAAGAGGGAGUCUUUAUUAUUUUUAAUAAGUCCUAUUAAUGUACACUGUAAAUCUGUACUAGUGAAAUCGUGUUUGCAUGUCCACGUGGAUGUAGGGCACAUUUGUGUCUGAACCACAUUAAUUCCUUGUGUUCAUUUAUUUGCUUUAAAUAGUUUAUAACUGUGUUAACACAAGAAUUAUAGUUGUAACUGAAUACUGUUUCUACAACUUAACUGUUACAACUUAGGUUAAUUGAUUUCUAUAGGCAUAUAAAUCAACAAGGGGGGUUUCACUAAUUAAGAUUGGACAUUGGGUGUGGACAAAAAUUUUAAAAGUCAAAUGAGUUUAACUCAUAAUAUUUAUGGUUUGAGGGAGGUUUUGCAUAUUUCCCCAUUAAUUUAAUAGUAACUUAUAAAAUUUAAUUAUUAAUAUUAAUAUUUCAAAUACAUAAUAGUAAAAUUUAAUUUUUGUUGUUAGUAUUACUGUAAUUUACAUUGACAUAUCAAAUAUGAGAAGCAAAACAUAUGAUAAUAUUUUAUUGACUUGUUGGAAUUAUAUAUUUGCUCACGAAGAUUGUUAAAAGAAUGUAAAUCAUUUACACUCUUGGAAAUACUCUAAAGAAUGUUAGAGAAUAUUAUAUUAUAGAACUCUCCUAAUAUUAGGAUUCUAGUAUGAUUCGGUUACCUAGAUUAGUUAUGAUUUAGUUACUCAGUAAAACUCUAUUACCUUGCAAUAUUUCUCUAUAUAUAUUCCAUGUAAUCAACUCAUAACAUAAUGGGGGUUUUUAUUAUAUUACGUAUUAUUAUUUCUCUUCUUCUCCUAUUCUAUUCUUCAUAUAUGGUAUCAGAGCACCAAUGUUUUUUAACCUAGCCGCCCUUUCUUCUUUAUGGCGGUGACCACCCAAUUUUCUCCCUCCCCCGGUGGUGGUACUCUAAUAUUUUUUAUUUUUGUUAUCCUUUUCAUGAACACCACCCGAAUUUUCUCCCUCCCCCGGUGGUGAUUCUUCUCUAUUUUUUUCCGACAUAUUUUUCUAUCAGAUCUAUGAACACCACCCGAAUUUUCUACACCACCCGAAUUUUCUCCCUCCCCCGGUGGUGCAUCUUCUCUAUCUUCUUUUCUUCUUCUUCUUCUUCUUCUUCUUCUUCUUCUUCUUCUUCUUCUUCUUCUUCUUCUUCUUCUCCAUGGCCUAAAACCUAGCCGCCGCUUCUCUUCUUCUCUAUGGCCGGCGACCACCAAACCGAAUUUUCUCCCUCUCUCGGUGGUGUAUCUUCUCUAUCUUUUUCUUCUUCUUCUUCUCCAUGGCCUAAAACCUAGUCGCUGCCUCUCUUCUUCUCCAUGGCCGGCGACCCCUCUCAUAUCUUCUCCCUCUCUCUCUCUCGAUUCAUACAUAAAAAAAAAAAAAUUGCUUAUUUUUCUCUCACCCGUUAUUAUUAUUAUUAUUCUCUAUCAAUUGGGCAGAUAUUUACACAGAUGAAUUCUCUAGCGUUGUGUUUCGCGGUUCCUAUCCAGUCUUCACUUUUUGAAGUUUAUUCGUUCCGACUGCGGGAUCGUGUUAGCAAGUGAUUGUCCAGUCUUCACGUUCGUCACGUUUCGACUGCGGGGUCGUGUUAGAGAAUAUUAUAUUAUAGAACUCUCCUAAUAUUAGGAUUCUAGUAUGAUUCGGUUACCUAGAUUUGUUAGGAUUUAGUUACUCAGUAAAACUCUAUUACCUUGCAAUAUUUCUCUAUAUAUAUUCCAUGUAAUCAACCCAUAACAUAAUGGGGGUUUCUAUUAUAUUACAUAUUAUUAUUUCUCUCCUUCUCCUAUUCUAUUCUUCCUAUAAAGAAGAUGAAAGUGUAAAAUUAUAAAACAUAUGAUACUUCAAUGCAAAACUUCAAAACCUCUCAUCAUCUCGACAAUCUUUUUGUUUUUAUGUUUGAAGUAAUUAAUUCCUAAAUUCAGUGUACGAGGCUGGUUAAAAUUUUGUAUUUCUCAACAAAUAAAUAAUAAAUAGUAAAUAAAAAAUAAAUAAAAAAUAAUAAAUAUUAAAUAAUAAAUAAUAAAAACAUAAAUAAUGAAUAAUGAAUAAUAAAUAAAAAAUAAAAAAUAAAAAAUAUAAGAGUUAGUAUACGAAUAUCCUACCUUGACAUGUGUGCUCUGGGGUGUGUUGCAUCUAUCAUAUAUAUCUGACACACUGAACAAAGUACCAAACUAUUGUCCCACUCAAAUUUGUCUUACGUUUAUAUCAGUAUUCGUCAUCUCAAACGUCAUACUUUCUAAAUCCUAUCUAUGUUUACAAAUUAAACUUGACUUUUAAAUUGAAAUUAAUCCAACUCAACCACAAACUUCCACAAUUCCUUUCUAUAUAUAUAGCAAUUAGCAUAUAUAGUGAUUCUCCAAUCCUCAUCUCUCUCUUUCUUUCUCUCACACACACUCUCACGUAAAUUCACACACACACAAUUAUGGAGCAACAGCGGCACGUGGUGUUAGUUGUACAUUUCCGGCACAAGCCCACAUCAACCCAUCCCUUCAGUUCGCCAAGAGGCUGACCGCCAUUGGCAUCAAGGUCACCUUCGCCACCAGCAUCUACGCACGGCGGCGCAUGGCCAGAACCGCCGCCGGACUGCCCAAGGGUGUCACCUUCGCCCUUCUCUGACGGGUACGACGACGGGUUCAAGCCGGGAAACGACGAUGCCGGAAAGUACAUGACGGAGAUAAGAAGCAGAGGCUCCCAAAGUCUGAGAGACACCAUCCUUGCCGCCGCCGAGCAGGGCCGCCCCGUCACCCAACUGGUGUACACCCUCCUCCUCCCCUGGGCGCCAGAGGUGGCGCGUGAGUUCCACGUCCCAAGCGCCCUCCUCUGGAUCCAACCCGCCACCGUCCUCAACAUAUACUACUACUACUUCAAUGGCUACGGAGAUGAAAUUACAGCAAACUCGAACGAUCCGACGUGGCAUUUCCAAUUCCCGGGUAUUCCCGCCCUUAAUUUUUCCAAACGCGACCUUCCGUCUUUCGUACUUCCGUCGAGCUCCGACAAGUACAGCUUCGCACUUCCGAGUUUUAAGGAGCAGCUCGAAACACUAGACGCCGAAAUAUUGAAACCAAAAGUCCUGGUCAACACCUUCGACGCGCUGGAGCCCCACGCGCUCAAAUCCAUCGACAAGUACGAGCUAUUCGGAGUGGGGCCGUUGAUUCCUUCCGCCCCUUCAGAAAAGUCAUUCCGCGGCGAUCUUUUCGAAAAAUCCGAUGACAACAGCGUAGAAUUAUGGCUCAACUCCAAGCCCGAAUCGUCGGUUGUUUACGUGUCUUUCGGCAGCAUUUUGAAGCUACCGAAAGCACAAAUGGAGAAGGUAGCGAAAGGGCUCUUAGAAUCCGACAGGCCGUUUCUAUGGGUUAUACGAACAAACGAGGAUAAGAAGAAUGAAGAAGAGGAGGAGGAGAAGUUGAGUUGUUUAGAUGAGCUCGAAAAGAUAGGAAAGAUUGUACCUUGGUGCUCGCAACUUGAGGUACUAACGCACCCUUCAAUAGGUUGCUUUGUGUCGCACUGCGGGUGGAAUUCGACUCUGGAGAGCUUGUCUAGCGGAGUUCCGGUGGUGGCUUUCCCUCAGUGGACCGAUCAAGGGACGAACGCGAAGUUGAUAGAAGAUGUGUGGAAGAGUGGGGUUAGAGUGAGAGGAGUUGGUGGAGAUGGGGUGGUGGAGAGUGGUGAGAUAAAGAGGUGCAUUGAGGAAGUGAUGGAUGGUGGGAAAAGGAGUCGGGAGUUGAGAGCGAAUGCUCGGGAAUGGAAGAGUUUGGCGAGGGGAGCUAUGGAUGAGAAUGGGAGUUCUUGUAAGAAUUUGAAGGAUUUUCUUGACGAAAAUUGAGCUCCUUGUUUUAGGGUACAUUAAGUGUAUUUACUUUGCUAGAGAGGUUUUGUUUGUUGAAUGUUAAUUUUUGCUAAUUCAAGUGAAGGUUGAAGUUCUUCCUUUUUUUCUUUACUUGUUUAACUUUGUGUGGGUAUGUUUAGUUUUUUUUAAGUAUAUCAAAAUUUGUAUUGUUUUUUGAAUAUAUUACACCUAGGGGUGAAAACGAGCGAGUCGAGUCGAGUCGACACGAACAACUGGUUGUGCUCAAGCUCAUGUGCAUUUAUAUCGAGUUUUGUGUUUGAGCUUGAUUUGGUAAGCAAUCGAGGAACUCAACACACCCCCAAACUUGAACUUUUGUUUCUCAUCAAGCAAUACUACCAACUUGCAAAGCAACAAAAUCAAUAAAUGAAUCAUCUCAUCACAUAGAUUAAAAAUUUACAAGCUUAAAAUUGUCAUGGGACUUCUCAAAAAUUUACAAGCUUAAAAUUCAACGAUAGUUAACUGAUCACCAUUGCCAAGAACCAAAAAUCAUGUUAUCGCUUCAAGCAUCCAAUAUUUGUAAUCUAAAAUAGAGAAAAUUUAUACUUACAUAGUAAUAUUAGACUCCAAAGACUCAUCGAAUUUCUCUACUCUCGAAUAAUUGAGCUAUUAAGAUCAAAGUAAACGAUAUAUUGGGCAAGUUACAAGUCCAUGAGGAGAAGAUCAAGAGAUGAAACAAAGGGCCCGGAGUAGAACAAGCUCUUCAAAAAAGACGAACCUUGGCAACCAACCAAAAUAUGAUGGUGCUCGAUUUCGUGGUAGAGGUAGUGGCCGUGGUCGUGGACGUGGUCGUGGUCAUGGCAGAGGUCGUGAAGGACAAUUCUCGUACAACAAUGAUAAUACUAAGCAAGAGAAUCGACCAACAAGACGUCGUGGAAGAGGAGGAUUCAAUUGGCCCCAAGAUAAGAAAGAUGUCGAAUGUUACAGUUUUCACAAAUACGGACACUAUGCUUGGGAGUGUCGAAAUGAGUCAAAUGAUGAAAAGACUCAUUAUGUUGAAGCAACGGAAGAACUCCCAUGGAAGAAGGAAGAAGACCGAAAGCUUUGUUUUAGUUAAUUUCGUAUUUGGAAAAGUAAUUGAGUUCAACUGAGUUCUUGAAACUUUCAAUUUACAUCCCAUGUGAUAUUUUUAGGUGAAAAGACGGAAAAAAACCCAUUUAUUUUAUCAUGUGUUUCGUGCUUGCGCCUAAAUUUGUGAAGAUUCGCCAUAAUAUUUGCCCUAGGUGGUUAAGUGAAUCAAAAUAACGAAUUUGGGUGUACAAUGUUCAAUUAUUUUUAUUAACGUGACAAAGCGCAAAAACAGGUAAAUGAUAGGUGGUAAAAUGCUAUUAAACCUAAUUUCUUAAUCUAAUUAUGCUUACACAAAUUCAAGUUCCAUUUGAAAGAAAACAAAUAGAGCUACAACUUUCGUGUUUGGCGUAUUCGAAUGUACAAAGUUUAUGGUACAUACAGUUACAUAUCGUGCUCAAAAUUGUGUCGGGAUUAUGAAUUGCGCUACUUACAUAGUUUUGUAUUUCUACCGUAACUCUUUCGUUAUUAGACUCCAAAGACUCACCGAAUUUCUCUACUCUCGAAUAAUUGAGCUAUUGGGAUCAUUGAGACUUUUUGGCUUUCAAUUGUUGGGCUCUUUGGUGAAAGGUAGAAAUAUGGGUAUAUAAGUUGCUUUUUUUUCUUCUUAAAUCGAGGUGUUUUCGCAGAGAUUUGAAGAUUUGACUUUUUGGAAUAGCUUAUUCACCUCUGAUGACUUAUUAUCCUACUCGAUUAUCAAGAGUUCAAAAGUCUCCACUUUUGCUCUUGAGGUAUGGUUCCAGUUUUUAUUCGAAUAUUUGAGCAUGUCCUCCUUUUCCCUUCUAGUUCUCUUCUUCUUCGUUCUUUUUCUGAGAAAAAGAAAAACGUAACAAAUUUUCCAUCAAAACUCCAAGGGAUUUUUAUCAAGAAUCUCCAUCUACUCUACCUUGCACGCACGCAUUGGCUAAAAGAAAGAACUCCUUUUCUUUGAGGCCCAAAUCAAGGUUCUAAGGAUAAUUUCGAUAAAAAGAUCGGCUUGAAAGGCUUAUAUGGUUCAAAUAAGGCACAAAUCAUAUCCCAAAUCACUCAACGGCUCAAUACUUCACUUUGCAAAUUCCUAAGGUGAGUUCUAAAAACGAACAUCAAAUGAUAUUUCAUAAAUUAACUCCACUAUUGAAAAACAAAAUUUUCAACAAAAGCAACACAUAAUUCAUGAUUCUCAAUAAUGACUCACUCCGAAAUUACUUUGAAUCGAAAACUCACCUAUAUUCAAGUAAUACAACAAAGCAAGUAAUAUCAUCAUUAGACAUUGGCCAUCUUUCUUCAUCAUAAUUCAUCUAUGCAUUCAACUCAAACAUUUUUUUUAAAGAAAACAAUAAAUAUAUGAAAACGACUAAAAAGAAAAAAAAAUCCUAAAGCAUGCAAUCUAAAACAUAUAAAGCACAUAAAAAGUUGUUUUCAAAAAUAUACUAUAGCAUGCAAUCUAAAACAUAUAAAACACAUAAAAAGUGUUUUUCCACCCCCAUACUUAAAGUUUUGCAUUAUCCUGAAUGUAAUUAAAACGAAGUUUAAGAAUAGAAUACACCUUGAUUAGUCAGAACGUGCGUUGCACUCCUCCAUCUCUUCAUCUUUCAAGCAAACUUUUUUUUUUCAAUUUUUCGAAAAAAAAAUAAAUAAAAAAUUAUCCAGGGGUAUUUCGGCUUGAUUUUCGGACGGUUGUCUGGGCUUUUUGUGUCCGUUUUUUGACCUAAAAAUUCAAACGUGAUUAAAUUAUUAGAUUGCAAGCUUAUAUAUAUUCUAGGAAAAUAAAAAAAAAAAAAAAAAAAAAAAAAAACACACACUAAAAAUAUGAGAAAAAAAAACGAAAAAAACAAUAAAUGCUCGGGUUGCCUCCCGGGAAACGCUAAAUUUUAAGUCUUCAACCAGAGUUUGCUUCUUAAAAUUAUUAUGUCCAAUCCAAAUUCUUGUAAAUUGUGCAUCCAUUAAUGGGCUCUACAACUUCAAUUGCAACCAAGGCAUGGAUAGCAUUGCAAUAUGUCACAGGGUCCACCUUAGCUUGUAGUCUUUAUUUUGUUGUAAUCAAUCGGUACGAAGCCAAGAUGGGAUGUUCAUCCGUCGCUCCAUUAAAUUGGUACACAAAAACCUCAAGUAUGCGUAUAACAUCCACCUCAAACGCAUUCGCCUUCUCAUCAACUACUAUUGAUGCCUUCAAAACCACAUCAGGUACAACGAUAAGAUCUUCAAUUUGAAUAUUUGCACUAACCACAUCCAUCUCCUUCUUCUCUUGUUCCGAGACAUCUAUGGAGUUUAGCUCGAUUGCAUUCUCAGAUUCAUCAUCUGUAGGCGUCUUCAUAAUUUAUGUUUCCCUCUCAUCGACACUAUUUUCUAGGUCUGAAGAAUUUUUCUCACUACAAGUUUCAGACGAAUUUUCUUUGUUGCAACCAUUCUUGAUAUCGUCUGGAAUAUUUUCAUGAGGCCUCUGGAAUUUGAUCUAUUCCAACUGUAUCUCCAAUCUUUUGGUAGAUGCUUGAGUGGAUUUCCUAAAAUUUUCAAGGAUGGAUUUCAAAUAACACUCCUCAAUAGUGGGUUCUCGUGGCCUUGCAUAAUAGGUUUGAAAAUCAUCAAAUUGCGGCUCCCGAUGUUGAAAAUCAUUGAAAGCUUGGCUGGGAACACUAUGUUCGUACGUGUUGGUGUAUGUGUUCCAAUAACCCAUGUUGGUAUUAUCGAAGAAAUUAUUCGCUUUCGGUGCUUCCCAAUAUUGGUUAGUGUAAUGAUUUCUACCACAUGUGGAACAAAAUAGCGGCAUAUCAUAGGUGUUUUGGAGGUAUUCGCCUGAUGAAAGCAAUUCGUAUCCCGUUUGAGGUGCGCGGAAAUUGUAACCUGAUAUGUAACAAAAGAAGAAAAAAAAAAAUUAAAAUUAAUUUGGGUGAAUUGAGAGAUUUGUUCGAAUCUAGAGUCAAAAUAAAUAGACAAUGUAUUAUAUGGUUUCGUCAUCUGGAUGAUUACCUUCAGAUGAAUUUGAAUGCAUUAAAUCAUCUAGUUCUUCAUGUUCAUCCUCCACUUUUCAGAGGAGGCUCUUCGGAGAAAGAAACUCAAGAAAUGAAUAAUUUUAUUCUUGGGAUAAUUUUAGCAUAUGAGGAACAACCGUAUCAGCGACAAUAUAUCUAUCGUGAUCGCGAAGAAAGUCAGAAACUAUUACGGAAAUAUUAUUUUUCUGAAAAUUGUACUUUCCAUUUUCUUAUUUUCACAGGCGUUUUAGGAUGCGCAGAGGGUUGUUUUUUAUAUUCAAAAUGAUCUUGAAAAUUAUAACACAUACUUCAUCUGAAAGAGAGAUGCACGUGGUCGUCUUGGCUUAUCAUCUAUUCAAAAAAUAACUACUGCAAUUCUGGUUUUUGCUUAUGGGGCAUCUGCUGAUUUUUACAAUGAAUAUUAAAAGAUCGGGGAGGCAACUGGUAACGAAACUUUAAGAGAGUUUUGUUCAUCCAUAAUCGAACUAUAUGGAGAACAAUACUUGCGUUCACCAAAUGAACAUGAUAUUCACCGUCUUCUACAAGAAGGAGAAUCACGAGGUUUUCCAGGUAUGCUUGGAUCUUUAGAUAGUAUGCACUAGCAAUGAAAAAAUUGUCCAACUGCUUGGCAAGGCACACACAGGGGUCACCACCACAAGCCAACAUUAAUUUAAGAAGUAGUUGCAUACCAUGAUACAUGGAUUUGACUUUCUUUUUUUUGGCAUGUCAUGUGGAAAUAAUGAUAUUAAUGUCUUGGAUCAUUCUCCACUUUUUGAUAAUAUGAUACAUAGUAGAAUGCCUCCAGUUCCUUAUACGGUGAACGGUCGUUCAUAUAUGACGGGUUAUUACUUAACUGAUGGUAUUUACCCAAAAUAUGCAACUCUUACUCAAACCAUUGUUCAUCCCACCACUGCAAAAGAAAAAUUAUUUGCGGCAAAACAAUAAUAAGUUAGAAAAUAUGUGAAGCGAGGAUUUGGUGUUUUACAAAGUAGAUGGGAUAUAACGCAAGGACUCAUCCGUUAUUGGACAAAAGAAGAUAUAUGUAACACAAAGAAAACAUGCAUUAUCCUUCAUAACGUGAUUAUAGAAGCUGAACUUGAAAUUGACAUUGAACCAUGGAUGCCACUACCAUAAGAGAAUUUUCGACCCCCUCAAUGUGAACGGGAUCCAUCAAUUUUGGCGGCACAUAUCUCAGCACGCCUUAGUCGGAUCCACAAUCGACGAACCAAUGAAAGUUUGAGAUCUGAUCUAUUUAACCAUUUGUGGAAUAUCUAUGGAGCAAAAGAUGUCUAAAUAAUCUAUUGCUUUUGAGUAUGUUUAAUUUUUUAUUUGUGAGUUAUUGUUCUUUUAUUUUCACUUGAAGAAUUAUAUUUUAUAAUUUAAUCGAAUUUAAUAAAAUUAAAUUACUACAAAAAUUAUUGUGACAUUUCUUUUAAUAAAAGUGAUGAAUACGAGAGACAAAUGUGGAGCAAUCAAUAGGAAUUCACAUUGUUAUUCAUCUUGAACAAAAAAAGUUGUAACAUCUCUUUUACUAUUAGACAUAAAAUUAAUAAUAUUUAAGAAAAAAAAAAGAUCAAAAUAAAUGUUUCGUGUAUUAUAUUUUAUAAUUGAAUUUAUUAAAAUUUAAAUAUAACUUCUUUUUAUCGAUAAAUCUAAAUGUAACAUUUCUUUUACCUACUAUUAAUAUUAAAACCAAUGAAAUUUAAUAUUGUAAUCCCUAAAAACAUAUAAUACAAUCAAAUAAUAAAAUAGAAUUAAACAUUACUUAACAAAAAAUAAAAAAAUAAUAUAUAUAUAUAUAUAUAUAUAUAUAUAUAUAUAUAUAUAUAUAUAUAUAUAUAUAUAUAAUUCAAAUUAGAAAACAUAAAAAGAAAAAAAAAAUAAAGCAGUGAGUAGGAUAGAAGAGGAUAAAUUUAAAACAAAAUAAGGGUUCAAUGUAUCCUUAAUACUAAAAAUAUGGUUGGACCUUUCUUCAUUGACAAAUGGCACAAAACUCAAAGAAUCCCUUACAAUACAAUAGUCAACUCAAAUUAAUAAAAAUAUCUAGUCAAUUUUUAUUACAGUAAUUUAUACUUAAUUAUUAUUUUUGUCAUUGAUUUUCUAAUUUAUAUUUAUAUUAAGAGAAAAUUUAUAUUAUUGCAUACAUCUUUGUUUGAAUUAUGGUUUCAUCAUGUAAUUCAAGUAAUCCUUACCUAACUUUUUAUCUGUGUAUUAUGUAACUACAAUAUUAUUGAACAUUACAUAUUUCUACCUAUAAAAAGAUACAAUUAUGACAGUUUAUAAUAUUGAACACUCUCUGCUAAAUGGAAGCAAUGAGGAAGCAAGCACUAAUAAUUAUUUUUCUUGUUUAUGGUUUGGUUUCAAUAAUGUGUAGUACAAGUUGUAAUGGUGAACCACGUUUCAAAAUGGAACCAUGCCUUGGAGAAGUUUGUACUUUUGCGUGUAGCAAAGUGUCUUGUGGGUCCUAUCCUUGCCCCGGAGGAUAUUGCCGUGCUCCGAACCCUCCCCUGGAGCCCUACUGGACAUGCCAUUGUCUUGCAAGAAUCGGAAAUUAAUAUAUUUGAUUCGUAAAUGUUUUUAUUUAUUUAUUUAUGAUUUGAGCGAUAUUCAUGAAUAAUAUUAUUGUGUUCUAACUUACAACCUUAUGAAUGAAAUUUGUGUUCCCUCAUCUCUUUUACAAAAGUACACCUGCAUCUUUUCAAUUUUCGUUGAGUUGCAAUUUAAAUUUUGAAAGACGCAAACCCAAAUCCUUACUAAUUCAUUUCUUGUAGGUCUAUUGUUUUGGCUUUUGAAUACAUUUUGUAUCAAGGCACUUGGACUUUAGACGAGAUAGUUAUGGUAGAAAUACAAAACUAUGUAAGUAGUGCAAUUCAUAAUCCAUGCACAAUUUUGAGCAUACUAUGUAACUGUAAGUACCAUAAACUUUGUAUCAUCGAAUACGCCUAACAGGAAAGUUGUAGCUCUAGUUGUUUGCUUUCAAAAGGAACUUGGAUUUUCUGUAAGCAUAAUUAGAUGAAAAUUUUAGGUUUAAUAGCAUUUUGCCACCUAUUCUUUACAUGUUUUUGCACUUUGCCACCUUAAUAAAAAAAAAUAAACAGGCACACCCAACUUCGUUAUUUUGACUCACUUAACCACUUAGGGCAAAUAUUAUGGCGAAUCUUCACAAAUACAGGCGCAAGCAUGAAACACAUGAUAAAAUAAAUGGGUUUUUUCGUCUUUUCACCUAAAAAUAUCACCUAGGAUGAAAUCGAAUGUUUCAAGGACUCAACUGAAUUUAAUUUGAAAUUUGUCAAAAUACGAAAUUAACUAAAGCAAAGCUUUGGGUCUUCUUCCUUCUUCCAUGGGAUUUUUUCCCAUUAAUUAAUUCAAAGAAAACCCAUACCUUUAUUUUAAUUAAUUUCAGUGGGUUUGAUUACGUCCCCAAUUACAAACAAAUUAAAGUCAUAGUCAAUCUCCUCUUCGCUCUUACUCGGUUUGUCCAACCCUCCCAUCGAUAACCGUACCAUCUUCAUCGACAUUUGGACAAUACUGUAUGAAAAAAUCCCGAAAAUAAGAAAUCUUACAAACCAAGAAAGUAAGAGAAAACAUAAAACGAAGACCAAAUCACAAGAAAACUAAGAUCAUAGCCCCAAAAGUUCCUUACAACUUUAUGCAAAUUGUAAAGGAACUUAUUCUAAUAAUAGUUUGCUUUAGCUUAUUAUCUUAACUUUAUUUGGUGGUUUAUACAUGUUGGCAAAUCACAUUUGGUCAAAAAAUGCAGAAAGUGAAAAAAAAAAUAGAAAUCUAAAAAAUGAAUGAAUAACAAAACAAAUUACAAAAAUAGGACGCUCGACUCAAAUUUCUCUUUUUGGCAAACAAAUUAAGGAUCAAGAAAAAAGAACCGGAUUACAAUUCCUACGAACAAAGUACUUGUGAACGAAAAAAAGAAAAAAAAAACUUUUCUUGGAGAUGCAUGUUUGUGUCUUUUGAAUUGAAUGUGAAGAGUUUUUGUUUUACGGCAGAGACGUACGUAGACAAGAGUUUGUGUGUGUGCGUGUAUUUGUGUUAGCUGCUAAACUGAUUCUGGGCACUGGUAAUUACAACCGACCAUAAUUUUAUCUUCUUUGAAUUAAUAGGGGAGAAACUCUAAUGGAAGAAAAAGAUCCAAAGCUUUAUUUUAAUUAAUUUCAAAUUUAGGAAAAUUUCAAAUUAAGUUCAAUUUACAUUGUUAUGUGCUUUGCGCGUGCGCUGUAAUUUGUGAAGAUUCGUCUGAAUAUUCGCCCUAGGUGGUUAAGUAAGUCAUAAUAACGGGUUGGGUGUGCCCGUGCAAUAUUUUUUUGCUAAGGUGACAAAGUACAAAAACAAGCAAAGUAUAAGUGGCAAAAUGCUAUUAACCUAACAUAAUAUUGAAUAACGAUAGGACAUAUUUGUUGCUGAAUCUGACUUCAUUUUCCACGAUCUGAUUUGAAGUUUUGAAUAAUAUAGUUGGAUUUUUUGAAUAAUAUGACCGAUGUUCUCAUAAUAUAACCGAUAGUUUACCUAAUUUGACUGAAUAUUGCAAUAAUAUUAUUUUUUUAUGUAAAUUACCCCCGAGGUAAGGUCUUACGUUAUCCUCAUAUGGUGUUACUUUUGACGGGAUGGUUACACUUUUGGUCCUUAUACUUAUCACCUAAAAGAAUUUUCGAUCUCAAACAUUUGCCGUCACGAAUUUAAUCCUAAAACUUACAACUUUAUGACAAUUUUGUUUCGGCCGUCUAAUUUUCCUGAUAACUUUGACGGAAACCUCAUGUGCAUUUCACAUGACGUCCACUUGUGACCCACAAAUGAGCUGGACCAAAAUUCCUUCCACCCCAUCCUUACCUCUUAUCACCCUCUUCCCCGCCAUUUCCUCCACCAACUUCUGCUGCCUUUUGACCACCUCUCAACCAUCCUCCUUCGUCAAGUUUUUUCAAAUAAUAAAGAAAAUUAGCCUCUGCAAAUCCCAAGAAGAAGAAUUAAAUGGCUCCCUCACCUUCUACUUCACCUAGGCUGGGACUCUUUAAUUUAUUCCCUACAAUUAAGAAUUGUUCGGGCAGGAUAAAGAUGGGCCAUGUGCAUUAUUUUAAUUGUCAUCCAUUGAAGUGUGUGCCGUGUAUCCGUGUAUCUUUUCCUCUUUUUUUUUGUUUUUUUUCUGUUUUGUUUAAUAAUGUUUAAUUAUUUUAUUAUUUGAUUAUAUAUAUAUAUAUAUAUAUAUAUGUAUAUAUAUAUAUAUAUAUAUAUAUUAUCUUUUUCUUUUUUGUUAAGUAAUGUUUAGCUCUAUUUUAUUAUUUGAUUGUAUUAUAUGUUUUUAGGGAUUACAAUAUUAAAUUUCAUUGGUUUUAAUAUUAAUAGUAGGUAAAAGAAAUGUUACAUUUAGAUUUAUCGAUAAAAAGAAGUUAUAUUUAAAUUUUAAUAAAUUCAAUUAUAAAAUAUAAUACACGAAACAUUUAUUUUGAUCUUUUUUUUUCUUAAAUAUUAUUAAUUUUAUGUCUAAUAGUAAAAGAGAUGUUACAACUGCUUUUGUUCAAGAUAAAAGGAACAAAUUUUCGAUUUCCGAAUCUGUCAAAUAUAUUUAAACUCUUUUAUACUUGUCCUGAAAAUUUUCAGGAAAUCUUCUAAUGGAAUGGAUGUAUGCAGAAUUUGAAAAUUAGUUGAUCUAGGAUAAUUAGAAUAUAUGAAAUCUCCUAGUUUUUUAAAAAUCUGCUAAUUUUUAGCAUAUAAUGGUUUCAAAAAAUGAAUUUAAUAAAUAAAAUGUAGCCACAUAACAUGAAAAUCCGUUACUCUAAUGUUAAUACUAAUACUAAUACUAAUAUUAAUUAUAAUAUAUUAAUGGUAAUAUACUAUUGCUAAUCCUAAUAUACUAAUGUGAAUGCUAAUGUUAUUAUUAAUAUUAAUGCUACUCAUAAUUUUAUAAUUAAAAGUUAGUAUUAGUAUUAUUAUUAGUGUUAGUGUUAACAUUGAUAUUAGUAUUAGUAUGUUGAUACAUUAAUAAUUUAAUGUAACAAAUGUUAGAGUAUAUUAUAUUAUUAGAUAUUAUACGAUAUUAGGAUUCUAUUAUGAUUCGGCUACCUAGAUUAGUUAGGAUUUAGUUACCUAGUGAAACUCUACCUUGCAAUAUUUCUCUAUAUAUAUAUUCCAUGUAAAUUACCCAUAACAUAAUGGGGGUUUCUAUUAUAUUACGUAUUAUUAUUUCUCUCUUUCUCCUAUUCUAUUCUUCCUAUAUGGUAUUAGAGCACCAGGAUUUUUAACCUGGCCGUUUUUUUUCUCAAUGGCGGUGACCACCCAAUUUUAUCCCUCCCCGGUGGUGGUACUCUAAUAUCUUUUUUUUAUCAUUUCCACGAACACCACCCAAAAUUUCAUCCCUCCCCCGGUGGUGGUACUCUUCUCUUUUAAGUUAUAUUAUUUCCGACAUCUUCUUCUUAAUCGAUUAAUCUCUUUUCUCUCUCUUUAAUCUCUAUCAUUUAUUUAAUAAUUCUUCUUCCCCUCUCAUAUUUUAUCUCUCUCAAUUCAUACACAAAAAAAAAAAAAGCAAUUUAAUUUCUCUCCACGUUAUGUUUUUUCUAUCAAUUGGGCAUAUAUUUUCAGAGUGCAAUUCUCUAGCGUUGUGUUUCGCGAUUUCUGUCUAGUUUUCACUUUUGGAGUUUAUUCAUUUCGACUGCGGGAGCGUGUUAGCAAGUGAUUGUCCAGUCUUCACGUUCGUCACGUUUCGACAGCGGGAGCGUGUUAGAGUAUAUUAUAUUAUUAGAUAUUAUAGGAUAUUAGGAUUCUAUUAUGAUUCGGUUACCCAUAUUAGUUAUGAUUUAGUUAUCUAGUCAAACUCUAUUACAUUGCAACAUUUCUCUAUAUAUAUUCCAUGUAAAUUAACCCAUAACAUAGUGGGGGUUAAUAUUAUAUUACGUCUUAUUAUUUCUCUCUUUCUUCUAUUAUAUUCUUCCUAUAAGAAAUAUGAAAUAGUUUUAACUUUUAUUUAUUUAAUAGACUAUUGAAGUUUACCUUUUAAUUACAAUUAAUAAUAUAAAAAUAUUUCUUAGAAUUAAUAAAAUUAAUUUAGGGGUCAUUAGCAAUAAGCCCCUCAUAUAGCUAAGAAAUAGUGAUACAUCCACCCCUUAAAUCUUUCUUUGUGAUAACUCCUAGAAACGUUAUUCCCAAUAUUACUCUUGUGUUAAUUAGCUAUCCCUAAAAAUCAGCUACCAAAUUUAAAAAAAUAUAUUUUUUAUUUUUUAUUAUUUUCGGAUUUUAUUUAGCUUUUUUGUUUAUUAAUUUCUUUUUAUUUUUUUUAAACAAAAAAAUGAUUUUUUUUUUCUCAACAGGUUUACUACGCCGAAUGUGACUAUAAUUGAAUAUGACUAUAGUCUAAUAUGACUAUAUGUGACUAUAUCAACUGUAGUCAUAUUCUUGAUUUAUAUUGCAGUUUUUUACAUUUUCAAUUUAAAAAUUCUGAUUAUAUAGUCUAGUACAAUCAUGUUUACCAAAUUAUAUAAAAAAAUGAAGAUUGCCUAUUAUUUAAUAAACCAAUCCAAUCAACAUCCUCAAGAAAAAAAAUCACAAUUUGAAUCUUGAAACAAUAAGAUAUAUUCGAAUAUGACUAGAGUCAUAUUCUACAAUAGUCAUAUUCGAAUAUGAUUAUAGUCAUGUUAUUGUUGUUGCUCAAAUCUAAAAUUAUAUGUUCACAUUUCUAGAAAACAAAAAUAAAGAGAAAUCGAAACAGACAUAAAGAAUUACCAAACUUAAAUAUGACUAUAUAUGUGACCACAUAUGACUAUUAUGUAUAUGACUAAAAAAACUGAUUCUUGUCAUUUGGCUUGCAAGUUGCACCAUUUUCAUUAGUGCAUUUCAUAGCCACCUCCACCAUUUAUUCUGAAGUUUCCUCAUCGGAUAUAAUAUAAUGCUCAAACUGCAUCUUUUAAAAAAAAUGACUGAUUAACAACAAUGGAAAUAUCAAAAUCAAACACAAAUGACCACAACAAAUUUUAAAUGCAAAAUCUCUAAAAGUGAAGAGUAAAAAAUGAAAAAAAAUCUCACCAAAUUGUGAUAUUUUCACAAUUUAUAUCCGGAGCUAGGGUGCACCAAAUUCAAUCUCCUCCGUACAGUAUAUAAAAAUAUAUACUCCAAAUACUCUAUACAAAUGUCGGCCACAUCCAACCAUUCAAUUGCACGAAAAACGCGUCCAAUCUAGCUGCCCUGAAUUAUUCAGUAACAAAAACCAGCAGCGAGUUUUAAGAUUCGAUCUAUAUUUAGAGAAGUCUGAUUCCGAUCUCCACUAGUCAUAAGUUAUAUUGAUGUGUUACGAGUUCUUUAUAAAAAUAUCAAACCAAUCCGAUGGUUAGAUCUUCCGAUCUGGCCUCUGCACUAAAACUGCUGCAUCUCAAAAACUUGUUUUUUCUCCUCUUUUUUCACCCGCUCUUCGGAAGGAGAAUCGAUACCCGGCGUCGGCGCCGUGUGCGGCUGAGUGGUCUCCAUUGGCGAGUGGUGGAGGAUUAUGGGUCUGAAGAGAAAAAAAAAAGAAAGGGAGAAGUUGCGUGAGAAAGAGAGAUAUAUGGAAAGAAUUAAUGUAAUCCUACAAUCACAUGAGACGGUUAGGAAAAUAAAUAUUGCAAUUAUUUUAAAAACUACUGAUAAGGGUAGUUUCGUCUUAUCAUAAUUGUUGAGGAGGGUUUUACUAAUUAAAAUUAGACUUUGGGUAUGGGCAAAAUUUUAAAAGAUCGAAUGUGGUUAACUCAUAAUAUUUAUGGUUUGAGGGGGGUUUUGCAUAUUUCCCCAUUAAUUUAAUAGUAAUUGAUAAAAUUUAACUAUUAAUAUUAAUAUUUUAAAUACAUAAUAGUAAAAUUUAAUUUUUGUUGUUAGUAUAACUGUAAUUUACAUUGACAUAUCAAAUAUGAGAAGCAAAACAUAUGAUAAUAUUUUAUUAGCUUGUUGGAAUUAUAUAUUUGCUCACGAAGAUUGUUAAAAGAAUGUAAAUCAUUUACACUCUUGGAAAUAAAAGAAUGUAAAUCAUUUACACUCUUGGAAAUACUCUAAAGAAGAUGAGAGUGUAAAAUUAUAAAGUAUAUGAUAUUUCAAUGCAAAACUGCAAAACCUCUCAUCAUCCCCACAAUCCUUUUGUUUUUAUGUUUGACGUAAUCAAUUCCUAAAUUCAGUGUACGAGGCUAGCUAAAAUUUUGUAUUUCACAACAACUAAAUAAUAAAUAGUAAAUAAAAAAUAAAAAAAUAAAAAAUAAACAAAAAAAAAAUAAAAAAAAUCAAAGAGUUUGUUUACGAAUACAUUUCCUUAACAUGUGUGCUGUCAGGUGUGUGCAUAUAUCAUAUAUCUGACAAACUAUUAUUGUCCACUCAAAUUUACCCUUUAACAUCGUCUGUUGUUUAUUGAUUGUUGUUUGUGAUUUUCUACAAUGGUUCAAACAUAGUUUAGUGUUGGUAAUCAACUGUCCUAUCAACUACGGUGGUUUAUCGACAAUAACAGUCAAAAUUGGAUUAGAGAUCAAAAUUAAAUAAUUAAUGAAAUUCGGAUUUAAAUUGAAAUUAAUUAAAUUAAAUUAAAGAAAUUUGAUCAGAAACUAAAUAAAUGGAUUUGACUAGGGUGAGACCACGUGUGUUCUAAACUUAUAUGAGGUAUGCAUUAAUCACCAUUGAUUUUCUAAGAUUAAAUUUGGACCCUGGGAAAAUAACAUGGCUUAUGUUCCAAAAAUUGAAGUAAUUUACUAAAUUAUCCACCUUCGAAUAUUUUUUUUUAUUAAAUUAAUAUAAAAUAGAUUAACAUUGAAUUGUCAAAUUUACCCCCUACUAUAUUUUAGUUAAAUAAUUAAUUUAAAUUCAUUGUGACCGAGUUUUAUUUGAUAAAUAAUCGAAAAAAAUGCAUUCAUUAGGAAUUAAACCUGUGACAUCUUAGUACAUUCAUCACUCAUAACCAUCCAAACACAUUAACUUAUUAUGAUAUAUUUAACCAUAAUUGUAUAAAUACUGUUAAAUAAAAUAUUAAUUGCAACAUUCAUUAUUAAAUGAUAUUAAAUAAAUUAUUAACAAAUUUAAUAUAAUAAAGUUUGAAAAAUAUAAAGAAUUGCAGUUCAAUACGCCAAACAUCUAUCAUUAAUUAUAUAAUAUUAGAAUUAUUAAUAAACUCCAACAUUUAAAAAUGUAAAGAAUGCUCAACUAAAUAUAAAAAAAAUGCAUAACUUAAUCCAAACUCAAUUAUGUUAUUAAAUCGAUAGUGUGACAAAUCCAAAUAAAAAAUAAAAUAAUAUGUUUAUUUAGAAGAAGAAAAAAUUAUAACUCAUUCCAAUUAAUAGUUUUCUUACUUUAAAAUAAAAUUAUAUACUACAAAUACUAUAUUUAAUUUAAUAAAAUACUAAGAUUUGAAUCGAGUAAACUCAAAUCCUUUCAAUUAGUAAACAUUAAUCAAAUAUUUGAAUCGAUUGCUUAACUAUUGACAUAACGUGUUACACAAUUGAUUUAACUAUUUAUAAGCAAUGUCUAAUAUUUUUUUAAUUCAAUUUUGUCAUAAAAAAUAAUAAAUUUAAUUCCUAACACAUGUAAGAACCUAAUCGUAAAUCGUAAUAUUUUAUCAAAGUAUAAUAUUUGAACCAAUUAAGCUCAAGCACUUUCAAUUCGUAAACAUUAUUCAAAUAUUUGAAUCGAUUAAGCGCGCUCAACUAUUGACAAGAACGUCUUAAUCAAGUUAACUAUUAUUAAUUAAAGUUUAAUACAUUUUUAAUUCAAUUUUAUCAUAAAAAAUAAUUCUUAAAUUACGUAAGAAUCAAAUCAUAUGAUUAAUUAAAGCGUAUGAUUUGAAUCAAUUAAGCGCAAGUCCUUUUAAUUUGUAAUAUUAUUCAAAAAUUUGAAUUGAUUAAGUUCAACCACUGACAAGAACGUAUUAAUCGAGUUAACUAUUUAUAAUUAAAGUCUACUAUCCUUUUAAUUAUUUUUUAACAAAAAAAUAACAAUUUAAUUCAUAAAAUCGUAAGAAUCAAAUUGUAAAUCGUAAAAUUGAAUCUAACCAUGAACCAAUUAAAUUUUACGAUUUGUACGAAUUAAAUUUUAUUAUUUUUUAUGACAAAAUUCAAUAAAAAAAAGAUACUAAAUUUUAACUAUACAUAGUUUGAUUAAUACGCUAUUGUAAAUUACUGAGUUUAACCGAUUCAAAUAUUUGAAUAUUGUCUACGAAUUGAAAUGAGUUAAGCUUAAUCAAUCAAAUCUUUGAAUAUUGUUUUUAAAUUGAAAACACAUGAGUUUAAUUGAUUCAAAUCUUACAAUUUACGAUUCAAUUCAAACUUCAAAUUCUUUCGAAAUUCAUUUUUAAAUUACACGAGUUGGUCAACAUUUCCUUAGAUUUUUAAUUUAUAUAUUGUUAGUAUGAAAUAUUUUUAAUAUAUAAUAAUAAUUAUAUGAGAAUUAAUAAUUUAUUUAACAUUAUUUAUAUAAGUUUUAUAAUUAUUAUACAUUGUAUCUUUAUGAUAUAUUCUCGUAUUGUUAGUUAAUUGUCAAUUAAAUUAUGAGUUGUGUCUUAAUGGUAAGUCUUCUUAUAUACUUUUAGAUGGCCACAAGUUCGAAUUCAGGUUGAUUCUAUUUUGGAUGUGUGGUUUAAUGAUUUUUACGAAUAAUUGAUUCAAUUUUGGAUGUGUGGUUUCAUGAUUUUUACGAAUAAUGAUAUAAUUGACUUUAUAAAUUUAAAUUAAGCAAUAAAUAUAGAUUUAAAAUUGCAUUAAAAUAGAGAGGGUAAAAUUGACAUUUCAUUAAUAAUUUAUAAUUACCGAUUUUUUUGAAAUAAUAAUUGUACAAAGGGUAUUUGCGACAAUACAUAAAUGAGAAAAAAAUAGGUUGUGUUGUUGGGACACGUGUCACAAUUUGAAGGGAUAUCUCAUAUAAGUCGUGUUCUUGGAAUCUCACCGUAGAAAGACCCUAAAUAAAUAGUGCAUGACGAGCUUAUUUAUAAAAGCCUCAUAAAAAAAUAUAGGGAAAAUGAAGGAUAACCCCCUCAAUACACAAAAUAAUAGAGUCUAGGCCCAUUUUAAUAUUUACCAUUUGUAAAGAAAUCUAAAAUUAACAUUAGGAAUUGUGAGACCCCCCUACGUGUUUAUUAUUCCAAUUUUGUCCUUUCUUCUCUCUCUCUCUCUCUCUCUCUCUCUCUCUCUCUCUCUCUCUCUCUCUCUCUCUCUCUCUCUCUCUCUCUUCUCAACCGUCAUUUUGACGUGUUGUUCUUUUAUUAUUUUUCUUCUCUCUCCUCUCUUCUCUCUCUUCGACAAUUUCCUCUCGUAUCUUUUUCUGUUACUCUCUCUCUCUCUCUCUCUCUCUCUCUCUCUCUCUCUCUCUCUCUCUCUCUCUCUCUCUCUCCCUCUCUCUCUUCCCUCAUUUCCUCUGUUCUCGUCUGUUUCUAUUUCAUUUUUUCUCUUUAUUUUUUCUAUUUCAUCUCACUACUUCAUCUUUUCUUCUACAUCUCAUUUUUUUGUCGUUGAAAUCAAUCUAUUUUCUACUCUAUGAAAUUCAUGUUUUCACCGGAGGUGAGAUUUUUAUCAUGAGUAUUCAAUUUUAUAACACCAUAGUAUCUUAAAUUGAAAAAUAAUAUAGUGAAUUAAUGGAAAAAUUAUAGAUGACUACCAAUUCUUUUAUAGUUGACAUCGGACCAAUUAUAGUUAACUAUCUAAUUUUUGUAGUUGACUCUGGCAAUAAUAUAGUUAACCACCAAUUUUUUAUAGUUGACAUCGUAAAAAUUAUAGUUGACUAUCUAAUUUUUAUAGUUGACUUUGGAAAAACUAUAGUGAACUAUCCGAUUUUAUAGUUGACUCUGAGUGUAGAUUACCACAACAUUUUAUGUUUUUCGACAACAAUGAUCUCCUCAUUGUUGUAGACUCUUGAUAAAAUAAAUUUCAUAGGAAACAAAUAUUUAUGAUUCAACAAAUAGUGCGACCAUAGAUCUGUAGAUCUAAAAAACAAUCUUGUUUACAAAUUUCAUUUUUGAGGAAUCAACCACGGAAGAAUUUUGAACCGUCGCAUAUGGUCGUUGCGUACUGUUGCAUACCGUUGAUGUAGGAGACUUUGAUUUGUCCUUUGGAGUCGCUGAGAGGGUGUCAAAAAUAGAAAUUAUGUGGUAAAUGUACAUAGAUUAAGUUAAUAGAUGUCGAGGGGAGCGAUGGGUGUAUAAGAAAUUACAUGUCUUCUUCUUGCUACCCUUCACCAUUGUUGCCGACUUGUAUUUCUCAAUGAUUCCCACACAAAUGUUAAUUUUUUUUUAUGAAAUGUAAGAAACUAGGGCAUUGUUGCGACUGGGAAAUGAUCCGAUAUAUUUGCAGAUUUGUUUUGCUAUUUUUUUGGCACAAAUAUAGCUGAAUAGCGAAAAUUGGGGAGAUAAUAUAUUGACGUUAAAAUAUGCAGUUUUAGGGAAAAUAGUAGGGAGGGUCAUCGCUAUUAGAAAUUAUGGGGUAGUUCAGUAAUUACUAAUUGUGAAGGGGUUUGAUCCAUUAAAAAUAAUUCAAGGUGGUUAGUCCUAAUAUUUGUACUAACGAGGAGUUAUUUCUCAUUAACCCAAAAACAUAAGAGUUAGUAUACGAAUAUCUUACCUUGACAUGUGUGCUGUGAGGUGUGUGUUGCAUGAGAAAUACGAUGCUACACCUAGUGAUUUUCACCGGGUGGCUCUUUUCUUGACAUAUGUUCUUUUUUAUUAUUUAUAAUUAUACUUCUAAAACUCAUUGGGCCAUAACUGAACUCGUAGUGAGAAUUUUAUUAAUUAGGGUGCCUAAUUAUAUUCACCAGGUGUAGCAUAGAAUUUCCUGCGUUGCAUCUAUCAUUUAUCUGGCACACUGAACCAAGUACCAAACUAUUGUCCACUCAAAUUUGUCUUACGUUUAUAUCGGAUUCGUCAUCUCAAACGUCAUACUUUCUAAACCCUAUCUAUGUACACAAAUUAAACUUGACUUUUAAAUUGAAAUUAAUCCAACUAAAAAAAAUUACUAGAAUCAGCGCCAAUCUCAACCACAAACUUCCACAAUUCCUUUCUAUAUAUAGCAAUUAGCAUCUCUCUCUCUCUCACACACACAGCACCCACUAGAAUCAGCGCCAAUCUCUCUCUUUCUUUCUCUCACACACACACACGCACGUAAAUUCACACACACACAAUUAUAUAUGGAGCAGCAGCGGCACGUGCUGUUAGUUACAUUUCCGGUACAAGGCCACAUCAACCCAUCCCUUCAGUUCGCCAAGAGGCUGACCGCCAUGGGCAUCAAGGUCACCUUCGCCACCAGCCUCUACGCACGGCGGCGCAUGUCCAGAACCGCCGCCGGACUGCCCAAGGGUGUCACCUUCGCCGCCUUCUCCGACGGGUACGACGAUGGGUUCAAUCCCGGAAACGACGAUGCCGGAAAGUACAUGACGGAGAUAAGAAGCAGAGGCUCCCAAAGCCUGAGAGACACCAUCCUCGCCGCCGCCGAGCAGGGCUGCCCCGUUACCCAACUGGUGUACACCCUCCUCCUCCCGUGGGCACCAGAGGUGGCGCGUGAGUUCCACGUCCCGAGCGCCCUCCUCUGGAUCCAACCCGCCACCGUCCUCAAUAUAUACUACUACUACUUCAACGGCUACGGAGAUGAAAUUGCAGCAAACUCGAACGACGCCACGUGGCAAAUCCAAUUCCCGGGAAUUCCCGCCCUUAAUUUUUCCAAACGAGACCUUCCGUCGUUCAUACUUCCGUCGAGCUCCGACAAGCACAGCGUCGAACUUCCGAGUUUUAAGGAGCAGCUCGAAACACUAGACGCCGAGAAAACAAAACCCAAAGUGCUGGUCAACACCUUCGAGGCACUGGAGCCCCACGCGCUCAAAUCCAUCGACAACUACGAGCUAAUCGGAGUGGGGCCGUUGAUUCCUUCCGCCCCUUCAGACAAGUCAUUCCGCGGCGAUCUUUUCGAAAAAUCCGAUGACAACAGCGUAGAAUUAUGGCUCAACGCCAAGCCGGAAUCGUCGGUUGUUUACGUGUCUUUCGGCAGCAUUCUCAAGCUACCGAAAGCACAAAUGGAGGAGAUAGCGAAAGGGCUUUUAGAAUCCGAUAGGCCAUUUCUAUGGGUUAUACGAAUAAACGAGGAUAACAAGAAUGAAGAGGAGGAGGAGAAGUUGAGUUGUUUAGAUGAACUCGAAAAGAUAGGAAAGUUUGUACCUUGGUGUUCGCAGCUCGAGGUACUGACGCACGCUUCGGUUGGUUGCUUCGUGUCGCACUGCGGGUGGAAUUCGACUCUGGAGAGCUUGUCUAGCGGAGUUCCGGUGGUGGCUUUUCCUCAGUGGACCGAUCAAGGGACGAACGCGAAGUUGAUAGAAGAUGUGUGGAAGAGUGGGGUUAGAGUGAGAGGAGUUGGUGGAGAUGGGGUGGUGGAGAGUGGUGAGAUAAAUAGGUGCAUUGAGGAAGUGAUGGAUGGUGGCGAAAGGAGUCGGGAGUUGAGAGCGAAUGCUCGGGAAUGGAAGAGUUUGGCGAGGGAAGCUAUGGAUGAGAAUGGGAGUUCUUGUAAUAAUUUGAAGGCAUUUCUUGAGGAUAAUUGAGCUCCUUGUUUUAGGGUACAUUAAGUGUAUUUACUUUGCUAGAGAGGUUUUGUUUGUUGAAUUUUAAUUUUUGCUAAUUUAAGUGAGGGUUGAAGUUCUUCCUUUUAUUUUUUAUUUUCCCACCUUUUCUUGUUUCUUGUUUAACUUUGUGUGGGUAUGUUUAGUUUUUUUAAGUAUAUCAAAACUUGUAUUGUCUUUUGAAUAUAUUACACUUAGGGGUGAAAACGAUCGAGUCGAGUCGACUCGACUUGAACAACUGGUUGUGAUCAAGCUCCUGUGCAUUUAUAUCGAGUUUUGUGUUUGAGCUUGAUUUGGUAAGCAACCGAGGAACUCAACACACCCCCAAACUUGAACUUUUGUUUGUCCUCAAGCAAUACUACCAACUUGUAAAGCAACAAAAUUAAUAAAUGAGUCAUCUCAUCACAUAGAUUAAAAAUUUACAAGCUUAAAAUUGUCAUGGGACCUCUCAAAAAUUUACAAGCUUAAAAUUCAAUGAUAGUUAACUGAUCACCAUUGCCAAGAACCAAAAAUCAUGUUAUCGCUUCAAGCAUCUAAUAUCUGUAAUAUAAAAAUAGAGAAAAUUUAUACUUACAUAGUAAUAUUAGACUCCAAAGACUCACCGAAUUUCUCUACUCUCGAAUAAUUGAGCUAUUGGGAUCACUGGGACUUUUUGGCUUUCAAUUGUUGGGCUCUUUGGUGGGAGGUAGAAAAUAUGGGUAUAUAAGUGGCUACUCUUUUCCUUUCGAUUCUCAUUAUUGAAUAAAGAGUUGCACUGAGCAAGAUGCUUUUUUUUUCUUCUUAAAUCGAGGUGUUUUCACAGAGAUUUGAAGAUUUGGCUUUUUGGAAUAGCUUAUUCACCUCUAAUGACUUAUUAUCCUACUCGAUUCUCAAGAGUUCAAAAGUCUCCACUUUUUCUCUUGAGGUAUGGUUCGAGUUUUUAUUCGAAUAUUUGCGCAUGUCCUCCUUUUCCCUUCUAGUUCUCUUCUUCUUCGUUCUUUUUCUAAGAAAAAGGAAAACGUAACAAAUUUUCCAACCAAACUCCAAGGGAUUUUUUUCAAGAAUCUCCAUCUACUCUACCUUACACGCAUUGGCUAAAAGAAAGAACUCCUUUUCUUUGAGGCCCAAAUGAAGGUUCUAAAGAUAAUUUCGAUAAAAAUGUCGGCUUGAAAGGCUUAGAUGGUUCAAAUAAGGCCCAAAUCAUAUCCCAAAUCACUCAACGGCUCAAUACUUCACUUAGCAAAUUCCUAAGGUGUGUUCUAAAAUCGAACAUCAUAUGAUAUCAUAAAUUAACUCUACGUUUGAAAAACAAAAUUUUCAACAAAAGCAACACAUAAUUCAGGAUUCUCAAUAAUAACUCACUCCUAAAUUACUUUGAAUCGAAAGCUCGCCAAAAUUCAAGUAUAGCUACAACAAAGCAAGUAAUAUCAUCAUCAAACAUUGGCCAUCUUUCUUCAUCAUAAUUCAUCGAUGCAUUCAACUCAAACAUUAAUUUUAAAGAAAACAAUAAAUAUAUGAAAACGACUAAAAAGAAUAAAAAAUCAUAAAGCAUGCAAUCUAAAACAUAUAAAACACAUAAAAAGUGGUUUUCAAAAAUAUCCUAAAGCAUGCAAUCUAAAACAUAUAAAUCACAUAAAAAGUGUUUUUUCCAUCCCCAAACUUGAAGUUUUGCAUUGUCCUGAAUGUUAGCAUUUGUCAUAUCUAAACUGUUUUUGGUUCGAAUCCUAAUUGUAGGAUAAAUUUUUAAGUUUUUUUUAGUAACCAGAGGUUCAGAUUCUUUACUUUCAGCCAACCCGUUGGGCAACAACGGAGUGAUUGCAGCGGGCAAUCAAAAUUAGUUCAAUGUUAAAAACUGGUUACAAAUAAUCUUGUUUGACCUUUUAGGUAAAAAGUUUAUCCACACAGUGUCGGAAAUUGGUAAAAAUAAUAUUGAUGUGGUUGACAGUAAAUUACUGUCAACUAGAGUGAUAUUAUUACGUGGACUGGUCAACAAAGCAAACAAAAUAAAAAAGUCAAAAUAAAAUUACAAUAUUUAUGUGGUUGACAUUAAUAUUAUUGUGUUUACAAUAAUUUUACUGUCAACCGUAGUAAUAUUACCGUCGACGGUCAGUGCGGAAAAAAAAGGAUGAAAAAAAAAAUCAACACUGUCAGAGACUGGCAGCGGAAAGAAAAAAUAGAAAGUAAAAACAAUGCCAGCGCUAGUCUCCAACGAUGGAAAAAAAUCACAAAAAAGAAAGUUUGAAAAAAAGGUCGAAAUUUGAUUUUUGUUGUAAAAAAUGAUGAAAUUAGAGUUAAAUGAGAAUUACAAUUAGAAAUCGUGUUUAAAGGAUUUAUGGUAAUUUUAUCAUAAACAUUGAGUUUGGAUUUAUUUAUAAGGGAUUAUCUCACAAACCCACCUCAUAUAUAUGCAAUGUCCAAUUAAGAGAGGUCCAAUUUUUUUUUUUUCCUUUUUUAAGAUAAAUCCAAAAUAUUAUUUAAUUAAUCAUAAAUAAUUUAAUUAAUUAUUAUCAGUGUUCUAAAAAUCGGUCGAGGCGGCCGAUUAAUCGGUCGCCGAGGCGGGGGCGGUCCAAAACCUUUACGAUUUUGUAAAGGUUUCAAAAAUCGGUUUUUUGCCUGUGAGGCGGUUUGAGGCGGUCCGAGGCGGUCAAACCUUUAAGGCGGGUCAAACUUCGGUGGCAAAAAUCGACAAAAAAUCGGUCAAAAAUCGGUUUUUUUUUUUUUUUUUCUAAAUCAAAAUAAAAGUUGGGACUUUAAUAAAAAAAAAUAUGAAGUUAUGCUUUAUUUUGUUUAUGUUAAUUAUUAUUUUUAAAGAACUAAUAAUGUAUGCCAAGAAUGUAUGUAAAUUAAAAAACAAAAAGUCUUUUUAUUUAUAUUUUAUAAGGAUAUUUAUGUAUUAUGAUCUUAUUAUUAUUAUUAAUUUUUUAUUAUGUUAUUAGAAUAUAUACAUGAUGGAGAUAUAACUAUGUUUAAAUAUUUUUUUAUCUAUGUUUUGAGUAUUUAUAAAUAAUAUCUACAAAUAUAUUAAAUUAAAUUUUAAAAAUCGAUUUAUUUCCGAUUUAUCACCGAUUAAUCACCGCCGAACCAAUUAAUCGUGAGUCGGUCUCUGACCGCCUCCAACCCGAUUACCGCUUUUUACAAUCUUGAUUAUUAUACCAUUUACCUAACCCUAUAACUCACGUUGUUAUUCUUUUCUUUUUAACAGUAGCCGCCUCUCUUUCUCCACGUUAGUUGCGAUCUCUUCUCCAAAUCUCGGCCCUCUUCGCCGAGGGUGAGAGAUCCUGCUCCACCACCUCCCCAUCAUCACCGCCUCUGCCUGCCUCCUCGUCAUCCACCACAUCAGCCGUCGCCGCUCGUUCAUCUUCUAGGACCAGUUCACGUCGACGUACUCGUAGUUCCCCGAUGGAAUCCGGCCGCUUUUCUCCCACUUCGGUUUGCAGAUGCUUAUAAAAAAAAUCGUCAGAAAAUGUUAGAAUUUAGGUUUAAUAUAUAUUUAAUCUAAAAAUUCGAUACCUUAACCAAUUAAGAAAGAAGCUCACCGGCGUCCAAGCCACCGCUGCACAACCGAGCCAUCAGCCGCCGUUUAAAAUCCGGCGACGAGUAAUUGUCGCCACCGACGACUUCUGUCAACACCACCUCCACCUCAGCAUGCUGCUUCUGACGGCGUCGUUUUGGUCGCAAUUGAACAAUUUCUUCAGAGAAUCUUCGAGUUCGAAAUCCGGAGAGUUGUUUUGAUCUGAUUCGUCGCCGUCGUCAAACUGGUUCCCAUUCUCACCCCGAUCGAUGACGUCAUCGUCGGUUGUUGUAAUUUGCUCUCUGAUUUCCUUCUCGAAGAAGGAAUUGACGAGAUCGGUCGCAGAGGAAUGCUCGUUGCCGCUGCUCUCGUAUCACCUAACCCUAGCCAUCUCGUCGAAGGCCGCCGCCAUCCUUUUGAACCUCACCGGAAUAUUCACCAUUUUCCCCCGCCGAUUAAUUCCGAAUUUUUAAUUUCCUUCUUCCCUUUUUAGAAAAUAUCUUUAUCAUGGUCUGAGAUUUUAUUUUCUCCUAUUUUUCAUUAAAUUUAUUUUAAAUUCUUCAAAUUGAAAGAUGAAAUUGAUGAUGUCAGCCGUUUGGGUUUAGAGAGGUGGUGUUGUACAAAACAUAAGAACAUAGAUAUAUGCAUUAGUUUGGUCUUCUGUUGGAUUAUUGUAAUGAUUUAGUUUUUUUUUUUUUUUUUUUUUUUUUUUUAACGGCUGUUUUUUUUUUCUUUUAAUUUAGGUAAUGUUUUUGUUGUUGAUGAUUUUUUGACCGAAUUGCUGAUGUGAGGAAGAAGAUGGUGAUUUUUUUUCAAAUAGUGGUUUACGUUUCAAAUAACGAGAAGAAGAUGAUUACACGGACUAUGCUCUAGGGUUCAUUGGAGAGAAGAUGGUGUUCUUUAUAAUGGCUUUAUAGCUUCAUUUUCGCAUAUUUUUUUAUGGUUGCUUGUUAGAAUUCAUAGUGAUUUUCGAUGUUUAUAUAGUUGUGUAUAUAAAGUGGUUUUCAUGUUUAUAUAUGUGUUUUAUACAGAGUGGUUUUCAUGUUUAUAUAGUUGUUUAUACGAAGUGGUUUUUAUAAUGCAGGCUUUGUCUUUGAUAAAUUUAUAGUGGUUUUCAACAACUUUUGUUCAGAUUUUAAUAUAAUUGUAUAUACAAAGUGGUUUUUAUGUUGACAUAGUUGUUCUACAGAGUUAUUUUAAAGUUUACAUAGUCGUUAUACAUAGUGAUUUUCAUGUUCUAUAGUUGUUAUAUAGAGUGGUUUUCAUGUUUAUAUAACUGUUUAUACAUGGUGGUUUUCAUGUUUAUACAGAGUAGUUUUUAUUUAAAAAAAUAGGAAAGAAAAAAAAACCAUUAUUAUAAAAAAUUGAAAUUAAGAAAAAAGAAAAAUCAUGAAAAAAUAAAAUAAGAAUAAAACCAUUUAUUUAAAUUAAAAUAAAAAACAUGAAAAUAUAAAUAAGAAAAAAAAAUUAAAAUAAAAAAUCGAAAAAAAAGAAAAAUAAAAAAAAUAAUUACAAAAUCUUCUUUUAAAUCAAAAUAAAGAAAAACAUUAAAAAAAAAUAAAAAAAAAAAGAAACGGAAAAAAAACUGAAUUGGCGUGAUGAGGGGAAUAAUUUAUGGAGAACAUUUGGGUGUAGAUUAUGGGUAUAAUUUUUUUAAUUAAAUAAUUAUACUAAUUAAUAGUUAGUGGGGCCAUAUAUGGUUUUUCAGGCCCAUUGGAUUUAUCUCAAAUAUCAUUUAUAAAUAAUGGGUAUUUACAAAUAAUCUCAUCAAUGGAUACUUAUUCAUAAAGAGAUGAAGACAAAAAACUCAUUUACAAAUAAAUCCACACAUGGUCCAGAUUUUUGUAAAAGACUAAAAUAGCCUAUCAUACUUCUUUAAUAUGCUCCAAUUUCAUCCUAAAUUUAAUUUAACCUCAAUUUGAACCCAAAUUUCACGUAUUGUUCAAUUUUGACCCAAAACUUUUUUAUUUUCAAAAAAAAAAUUUCCCGCUAGAUUCCGGCGUUAACUUUUAGAUUUUUUUUUCUUCCAGUUUUUUUCGCCGGUUUCUGGCGUUGACUUUUUUUUUUUUACCUGAUUUUUCCGCCACAGAUUUCCGGCGUUGACCGGCGGUCAACGCCUGUCUCCGGCGUUGACUUUUUCAUUUUUUUUUCUUUUUUUCUGUAACAUUUUUUUUUUCGUUUAAACAACAAUAUUGUUGUGAGUGAGUGUAAUAUUAACUAUAUUACUGUUAAACACAGUAAAAUUAACUAUACUACAGUUUAACACAGUAAUAUUGCUAUAUUAAUCUCUACCACAGUAAUAUUAACACAACAAAACUCAUUAUUAUUGUGUAAUAGAGUAAUAUUACUAUGUUGACCGUUCAACAAAUGCAAACAUUAUAAAAAGCCAAAAGAAUUAAUAUUACUGUGAGUGACCGUAAUGUUACUAUAACAACAGUAAUAUUACCGUCAACCACAGUAAUAUUACAAUAAUAGACAGUAAUAUUAUUACGUUACUCCAUGAAUAACUCAAACAAACAAAAAAAUCCAAACAAAAUAAUAAUAUUGAUGUGGUUGACAGCAAUAUUACUAUAACAACAGUACCGUCAACCACAAUAAUAUGAUUGUGUUUACAGUAAUAUUACAAUAAUAUACAGUAAUAUUAUUACGUUACUCCGUGAAUAACUCAGACAAAACAAAAAACCCAAAAAAUAAUAAUAUUGAUGUUGUUGACAGUAAUAUUAUUGUGUUUACAUUUAUUUUACUGUCAACGACAGUAAUAUAACUACGUUGACUUGUCAACAAAUCAAACAAAAUAAAAAUGAAUAACGGGAAAUAAAAAAUAAUAAUAUUACGUUAAAUUACUGUCGCAGAACAAUUACAUAAAUGUAUUGUCAACGACAGUACAAUUACGUUAAUUAACUCUCAUUAGCAGUAUAAUUACAUUAAUUUACUGUCAGUGACAACACAAUACGGUCAACGUUUAGCGGAGGACGUAAAAAAGAAAAUAAAACUAAAAAAAACACUAAAAAAAGUUUACGCCGGAAUCCGGCGGCGGAAAAAAAAAGUCAACGCCGAAAACCGGCGAAAAAAUCCGGAAGAAAAAAAAAUAAUAAAAAAAGAAUAUCUAAAAGUCAACGCUGGAAUCCGGCGGCAAAAAUUUUUAUUUUGAAAAAAAAAGAUUUUUGAAAAAAAAUAAAGUCAAAAUUAGAUUUUUGUGAUCAAGUACUAGAUUGUUUGUGCUUUUGUAUCAUAAUAAAUUAAGUAAUAAUUAUUUAUAUAGCAUAAUAACAAUAGAAACGUUUAGUUAUCAUAAUAACAUUAAUUUCAACAGUAACAUUAAUUUCUUAAUAAUUUUAAUUUCGCAUUAACACUAAAUGUUUUUUACAGUUUCGUUUUUAUUUUUCUAUGUUUCACUGUAACAUUAUUUUUUGUACAACUUUUUUCCCCUCCUUCCGCUAAUGUAAGGCUCAGUUUGGAUUGGAGGAUUUCAAACGAAUGGAUUUCAAAUCCCCUGAACUUGAAAUACCUUGUAUUCGAAAUCCAUACAAUUUAAAAUCAGUUGUUUGGAUCAUUUAUACGAAGGAUUUCAAAUAAAUUUACUGUUUGGCUUAAGAUUAGUGGAUUAAAAUUAUUUAAUUAUUUUUACAAACAUUUUCGUAUAAUACAAAUGUGAUGUUGCAAGUAUUGAUUUUCUGAGAAACGCCUGCAAGUUUCAUUAAAUAAUAACACUACCUAAAAAUAGAAAUAAUAUAUAGAUGAUCCAAACGUACAAAUGAAUUGUCUACUUACAGUUUCUACCAGAGCGUACAAAAUGUUGUUGCAAUAGUGCUAUUUGUUUUAUCAUGACAAAGAAUAUGCAAGAAAAGUGUCACAAUUUCUUUUACCGUCACAUUCUUUGUUUAUACCAAUCCAUUAGGCAUUCUAUUAUUUACCCGUAAUUGCUGCAAGCAUGUUGGAUCAUGACAUCAAGAUCUCAUUCAAAGUUUUGUUUUUUAAACUCUUUCGUCAUUUUCACUCAAUAAUAAGUGUUUCGAUAAGUACUUGCCAUGAUGCAAAGCUCCAAUAAUACCAAUUAAAUAGCUGAACAAAGACGUAAUAAUUUUUAUCUUUCUUCAUAUUUUUCUAUUUCCCCUCUUGAACGUUUUCAAUGAACAAUAUCCAUUUAAUCAACAUCCAAAUUUGCUGCAAUUAUUUAGUUAAACAUACAAGUAAUUUAAACUAAGACCUUCUUAGACACAUAAUGAAAUUAACUAUCAAAUAGGGCUGAAUGGGACCUUAACCAAAGAAAAUUGAGAAAUAGGGUUGAUGCUAUAGUUUGACAUUAGGCUUCAAAUCAUGCACUACAAUAGCAUGAAAUCACCAAAUGCACCAUUUAUUUUUUUGUGAAAUUUUAAAAAACAAGAACAAGACAUAUAAAAAUUUACAUAAACAAAUUAAAUAUGAAAACAGAGAAGUGAACUUACCAGUUUUUUGUCGAAAAAACUUCAGUUGCGCCGAAGUUGAGGACCGCCGUCGAGCGCCGCCAUUGAAGACAAAUAUUCCCGAGCUAUAGAAGGUUGAUGAUUGAAGACGAGAGAAAUCCAUAUGGGUCCAUUUGAUGGAAAUGAAUAAGCUAGAUUCGUUAAUCAAGUUCAAAGUAUUGAAGGUUCUAGAAUUAUCUAGAAUUCAUGAAUGUGGAAGAAUACAUGAAUUUGUCUUUCGGAGAGAUUCAUGUAUAAUGCUAUGGAGGAAGAAUAUUAUUAAUUAUGUCCUCAUUUAUUUAUUUAGAUACAUGUUAGGAAAAUCCGAUAAAUAUUCUAUCUAGUUUUUUAUUUGGAGUAUAUCAAAAACAAGAAGAAAUAUUCUAGAGAAAAAAAGAGAGUUCUUGAGUAAGUUUGUAUAUUUGUGAUGAUUGAGUGAGUAAUAUAUUUUUCUCUCCUCUCCACUACUCCUCCACUCUAUUUUAAGUUAUUCCGCUGCGUAUUUAUCACUCAAUAUUUUAAAUCAAUCCAACAAAGUGGCAUCUGAGCCACAUCUUAAUAGAAAAGAGCGAUGGCAACAAGUGGAGCUUUCCCAUUUCAAAAGCUUGCAAAAGAGAACUAUGAUCGAUGGAGCAUACAAAUGAAUUUUUUUCUUGGUGGACAAGACGUUUGGGAAGCCGUUGAAGAAGAAUAUGUUGAGCUGGAGAAUUUGGCUUUGGGAAGCCAAGCCCAAAGGAAGACAUCAAAGAAGCCAAUGUGAAAGAUCAAAUAGCGCAGUUCAUAAUCCAACUCGGUGUAGACAAUAGUAACUUUGAUAAAAUUUCUCAAGCUACUACGGCAAAGCAAGCGUGGGAUAUUCUUAGCGAUGCUUUGAAAGGCAUUGAUAAGGUGAAGAAGGUACAAAUCCAAUCAUUUCGUGGAGAGUUCGAGUCUUUGAAGAUGAAAGACUCCGAAGAAGUUUCCUACUACGUCUCUAGGGUGGUUUUGAUCGUUAACCAACUUGAGAGAAAUGGUGAAAUAAUGGAAGAGAGAAGAGUGGUUGAAAAAUACUCCGAUCCCUUGACCCUAAGUUCGACUACAUCGUCGUGGAAAUUGAAGAGUCAAACGACGUUGAGAAUCUUAAAGUGAACGAUAUAUUUGGCAAGUUACAAGUCCAUGAGGAGAAGAUCAAGAGGCGAAACAAAGAGCCCAAAGUAGAAUAAGCCCUUCAAAAAGGACGAACCUUGGCGACGAACCAAAAUACGAUGGUGCUCAAUUUCGUGGCAGAGGUAGUGGCCGUGGUCGUGGAUGCGGUCGUGGUCAUGGUAGAGGUCGUGAAGGAGAAUUCUCGUACAACAAUGAUAAUACUAAGCAAUAGAAUCGACCAAAAAGACGUCGUGGAAGAGGAGGAUUCAAUCGGCGCCAAGAUAAGAAAGAUGUCGAAUAUUACAGUUGUCACAAAUACGGACACUAUGCUUGGGAGUGUCGAAAUGAGUCAAAUGAUGAAAAGACUCAUUAUGUUGAAGCAACGGAAAAACUCCCAUGGAAGGAGGAAGAAGAUUACCCAAAGCUUUGUUUUAGUUAAUUUCGUAUUUGGACAAGUAAUUGAGUUCAAAUGAGUCCUUGAAACUUUCAAUUUACAUCCCAUGUGAUAUUUUUAUGUGAAAACACGAAAAAAACCCAUUUAUUUUAUCAUGUGUUUCAUGUUUGCGCCUGAAUUUGUGAAGAUUCGCCAUAAUAUUUGCCCUAAGUGGUUAAGUGAAGCAAAAUAACGAAUUUGGGUGUGCAUGUGCAAUUAUUUUUAUUAAGGUGACAAAGUGCAAAAACAGGUAAAGGAUAGGUGGCAAAAUGCUAUUAAACCAAAAAUUUUCAUCUAAUUAUGCUUACACAAAUUGAAGUUCCAUUUGAAAAAAAAACAAAUAGAGCUACAACUUUCGUGUUUGGCGUAUUCGAAGAUAUAAAGUUUAUGGUACAUACAGUUGCAUAUUAUGCUCAAAAUUGUGCCUGGAUUAUGAAUUUCACUACUUACAUAGUUUCGUAUUUCUACCAUAACUAUCUCGUCUAAAGUCCAAGUGCCUUAAUACAAAACGUAUUCAAAAGCCAAAAUAAUAAACCUUCACGAAAUGAAUCAGCAUGGAUUUGGGUUUGCUUUUUACAAAUUUGCAACGCAGCGAAAAGUGCAGGUCAUGUACUUUUGUAAAAGAAAUGAGGGAACACAAAUUUUAUUCAUAAGAUUGUAAGUUAUAACACAACAACAUUCAUGAAUCCCUCAAAUCAUAAAUAAAUAAAAAUAUUCACGAAUCAAAUAUUUUAUUUUCCAAUUCUUGCAAGACAUGUACAUGUCCAGUAGGGCUCCAGCGGAGGGUUCGGAGCACGGCAAUGUCCUCCGGGGCAACGAUAGGGCCCACAAGACACUUUGUUACACGCAAAAGUACAAACUUCUCCGAUGCAUGGUUCCAUUUUGAAAAUUGGUUCACCAUUACAACUUGUACUACACAUUAUUGAAAUCAAACCAUAGACAAGAAAAAGAAUUAAUAGUUGCUUCCUCAUUGCUUCCAUUUUGUAGCAGAGUGUUCAAUAUUAUAACUGUCAUAAUUUGUGCCUUUUUAUAGGGAGAAAAUAUGUAAUGAUUUAAUAAAAUUUCAAUUUUAAUAUUGCUUGGAUUGAAGGUAUAAUAUUGCAGUUACAUGAUACACAAAUAAAAAAUUAGGUAGGGAUUACUUGAAUUGCAUAAAGAAACCAGAAUUCAAACAAAGAUGUAUGCAAUAAUAUAUAUAUUUUCUCCAGAUAUAAAUAUAAGUUACAAAAUCAACGACAAAAGUAAUAAUUAAAUAUAAAUUACUGUAAUAAAAAAAAGGCACUUUACAAAUAAGUCCAUCAAUGAGUACUUAUUCAUAAAGAUAUCAAGACAAUAAACUUUUUUACAAAAAAGUCCACACAUGGUCUAGAGGUUUGUAAAAGACUAAAAUAGCUCCUCAUACAUUUAUAUGCUCUAAUUUCAUCCUUUAAUUUAAUCUAACCUCAAUUUGACCUCAAAUUUCACAAAUUAUUCAAUUUUGACCCAAAAUACAUUUUUAUGGACAAUUUCGUCUGUCACCGCCGUUGACCACCGGUCUCCGACGUUGACUUUUUUUUUCUUCCAGAUUUUUUCGCCGGUUUCCGCGUUGUUUGUUUUUUUCUUGUGGUAACAUCUUUUUUUUUCGUUUAAACAACAAUAUUGCUAUGAUUGAUAGUAAUAUUAACUAUAUUCCUGUUAAACACAGUAAAAUUAACUAUACUACAGUUUAACACAGUAAUAUUGCUAUAUUAAUCUCUAGCAUAGUAAUAUUAACACAACAAAACUCAUUAUUAUUGUGUAAUAGAGUAAUAUUAAUAUGUUGAUUGUUCAACAAAUGUAAGCAUAAUAAAAAGCCAAAAGAAUUAAUAUUACUGUGAGUUACAGUAAUAUUUCUAUAACAACAGUAAUAUUACCGUAAACCACAGUAAUAUUACAAUAAAUAGACAGUAAUAUUAUUAGGUUACUCCCUGAAUAACUCAAACAAAACAAAAAAAAAUUAUAAUAUUGAAGUGGUUGACAGUAAUAUUAAUAACAACAUUAAUAUUACCGUCAACCACAAAAAUAUUAUUAGGUUACUACGUGAAUAACUCUAACAAAACAAAACAAAAAAACCCUGUGGUUGACAGUAAUAUUAUUGUGUUUACAGUUAUUUUACUGUCAAAGACAAUAAUAUAAUUACGUUGACUUGUCAACAAGUCAAACAAAAUAAAACAAAAAUAACAAAAAUAAAUAAAUAAUAAUAUUGUUAUUGACUCUAAUUGUACUGUCAAUUAAAUUAUUUAUGAUUAAUUAAAUAAUAUUUUGGAUUUAUCUUAAAAAAUGAAAAAAAAAAAUUGGACCUCUCUUAAUUGGACAAUGCAUAUGAGGGGGGUUUGUGAAAUAAUCCCUUAUAAAUAAAUCAAAACUUAAUGUUUAUGAUAAAAUUAGCAUAAAUCCUUUAAACACAAUUUUCAAUUAUAAUUCUAAUUUAACUCUAAUUUCAUCAUUUUUUACAGCAAAAAAAUAUAAUUUUGACCUUUUUUUAAAACUUUCUUUUUUGUGAUUUUUUUUCCAUCGUUAGAGACUUGGCGCUGGCAUUGUUUUUACUUUCUAUUUUAUCUUUCCGCUGCCAGUCUCUUUCAGUGUUGAUUUUUUUUUGCAUCUUUUUUUUAACGCCGCUCACCGUCGCGGUAAUAUUACUAUGGUUGACAGUAAAAUUAUUGUAAACACAAUAGUAUUAAUGUCAACCACAUAAAUAUUGUAAUUUUGUUUUGACUUUUUUAUUUUGUUUGUUUUUUUGACUUGUCCAUGUAAUAAUAUCACUCUGGUUGACAGUAAUAUUACUGUCAACCACAUGAAUAUUAUUUUUACCAAUUUCCGACACUGUGUGUAUAAACUUGUUACCUAAAAGGUCAAACAAGAUUAUUAGUAACGAGUUUUUAACAUUGAACUAAUUUUGAUUGCGCGCUGCAAUCACAUCGUUGCUGCCCAACGGGUUGGCUGAAAGUAAAGAAUCUAAACCUCUAGUUACUAAAAAAAACUUAAAAAUUUAUCCUACAAUUAGGAUUCGAAUAAAAAAACAGUCUAGAUAUGACAAAUGCUAUGCUAGUACUUAGAUUGUUGGUGCCUUUGUGUCAUAAUAAAUGAAGUAUAAUUAUUUAUAUAGCAUAAUAAGAAUAGAAACGUUUAGUUAUCAUAAUAACAUUAAUUUCAACAGUAACAUUAAUUUCUUACUAAUUUUAAUUUCGCAUUAACACUAAAUGUUUUUUACAGUUUUGUUUUUAUUUUUCUAUGUUUCAAUGUAACAUUAAUUUUUGUACAACUUUUUUCCUCUCCUUCCACUAAUGUAAGGCUCAGUUUGGAUUGGAGGAUUUCUAAUGAAUGGAUUUCAAAUCCUCUGGCCUUGAAAUACCUUGUAUUCGAAAUCCAUACAAUUUAAAAUCAGUUGUUUAGAUCAUUUAUACGAAGGAUUUCAAAUAAAUUUACUGUUUGGCUUAAGAUUAGUGGAUUAAAAUUAUUUAAUUAUUUUUACAAACAUUUUCGUAUAAUACAAAUGUGAUGUUGCAAGUAUUGAUUUUCUGAGAAACGCCUGCAAGUUUCAUUAAAUAAUAACACUACCUAAAAAUAGAAAUAAUAUAUAGAUGAUCCAAACGUACAAAUGAAUUGUCUACUUACAGUUUCUACCAGAGCGUACAAAAUGUUGUUGCAAUAGUGCUAUUUGUUUUAUCAUGACAAAGAAUAUGCAAGAAAAGUGUCACAAUUUCUUUUACCGUCACAUUCUUUGUUUAUACCAAUCCAUUAGGCAUUCUAUUAUUUACCCGUAAUUGCUGCAAGCAUGUUGGAUCAUGACAUCAAGAUCUCAUUCAAAGUUUUGUUUUUUAAACUCUUUCGUCAUUUUCACUCAAUAAUAAGUGUUUCGAUAAGUACUUGCCAUGAUGCAAAGCUCCAAUAAUACCAAUUAAAUAGCUGAACAAAGACGUAAUAAUUUUUAUCUUUCUUCAUAUUUUUCUAUUUCCCCUCUUGAACGUUUUCAAUGAACAAUAUCCAUUUAAUCAACAUCCAAAUUUGCUGCAAUUAUUUAGUUAAACAUACAAGUAAUUUAAACUAAGACCUUCUUAGACACAUAAUGAAAUUAACUAUCAAAUAGGGCUGAAUGGGACCUUAACCAAAGAAAAUUGAGAAAUAGGGUUGAUGCUAUAGUUUGACAUUAGGCUUCAAAUCAUGCACUACAAUAGCAUGAAAUCACCAAAUGCACCAUUUAUUUUUUUGUGAAAUUUUAAAAAACAAGAACAAGACAUAUAAAAAUUUACAUAAACAAAUUAAAUAUGAAAACAGAGAAGUGAACUUACCAGUUUUUUGUCGAAAAAACUUCAGUUGCGCCGAAGUUGAGGACCGCCGUCGAGCGCCGCCAUUGAAGACAAAUAUUCCCGAGCUAUAGAAGGUUGAUGAUUGAAGACGAGAGAAAUCCAUAUGGGUUCAUUUGAUGGAAAUGAAUAAGCUAGAUUCGUUAAUCAAGUUCAAAGUAUUGAAGGUUCUAGAAUUAUCUAGAAUUCAUGAAUGUGGAAGAAUACAUGAAUUUGUCUUUCGGAGAGAUUCAUGUAUAAUGCUAUGGAGGAAGAAUAUUAUUAAUUAUGUCCUCAUUUAUUUAUUUAGAUACAUGUUAGGAAAAUCCUAUAAAUAUUCUAUCUAGUUUUUUAUUUGGAGUAUAUCAAAAACAAGAAGAAAUAUUCUAGAGAAAAAAAGAGAGUUCUUGAGUAAGUUUGUAUAUUUGUGAUGAUUGAGUGAGUAAUAUAUUUUUCUCUCCUCUCCACUACUCCUCCACUCUAUUUUAAGUUAUUCCGCUGCGUAUUUAUCACUCAAUAUUUUAAAUCAAUCCAACAAAGUGGCAUCUGAGCCACAUCUUAAUAGAAAAGAGCGAUGGCAACAAGUGGAGCUUUCCCAUUUCAAAAGCUUGCAAAAGAGAACUAUGAUCGAUGGAGCAUACAAAUGAAUUUUUUUCUUGGUGGACAAGACGUUUGGGAAGCCGUUGAAGAAGAAUAUGUUGAGCUGGAGAAUUUGGCUUUGGGAAGCCAAGCCCAAAGGAAGACAUCAAAGAAGCCAAUGUGAAAGAUCAAAGAGCGCAGUUCAUAAUCCAACUCGGUGUAGACAAUAGUAACUUUGAUAAAAUUUCUCAAGCUACUACGGCAAAGCAAGCGUGGGAUAUUCUUAGCGAUGCUUUGAAAGGCAUUGAUAAGGUGAAGAAGGUACAAAUCCAAUCAUUUCGUGGAGAGUUCGAGUCUUUGAAGAUGAAAGACUCCGAAGAAGUUUCCUACUACGUCUCUAGGGUGGUUUUGAUCGUUAACCAACUUGAGAGAAAUGGUGAAAUAAUGGAAGAGAGAAGAGUGGUUGAAAAAUACUCCGAUCCCUUGACCCUAAGUUCGACUACAUCGUCGUGGAAAUUGAAGAGUCAAACGACGUUGAGAAUCUUAAAGUGAACGAUAUAUUUGGCAAGUUACAAGUCCAUGAGGAGAAGAUCAAGAGGCGAAACAAAGAGCCCAAAGUAGAAUAAGCCCUUCAAAAAGGACGAACCUUGGCGACGAACCAAAAUACGAUGGUGCUCAAUUUCGUGGCAGAGGUAGUGGCCGUGGUCGUGGAUGCGGUCGUGGUCAUGGUAGAGGUCGUGAAGGAGAAUUCUCGUACAACAAUGAUAAUACUAAGCAAUAGAAUCGACCAAAAAGACGUCGUGGAAGAGGAGGAUUCAAUCGGCGCCAAGAUAAGAAAGAUGUCGAAUAUUACAGUUGUCACAAAUACGGACACUAUGCUUGGGAGUGUCGAAAUGAGUCAAAUGAUGAAAAGACUCAUUAUGUUGAAGCAACGGAAAAACUCCCAUGGAAGGAGGAAGAAGAUUACCCAAAGCUUUGUUUUAGUUAAUUUCGUAUUUGGACAAGUAAUUGAGUUCAAAUGAGUCCUUGAAACUUUCAAUUUACAUCCCAUGUGAUAUUUUUAUGUGAAAACACGAAAAAAACCCAUUUAUUUUAUCAUGUGUUUCAUGUUUGCGCCUGAAUUUGUGAAGAUUCGCCAUAAUAUUUGCCCUAAGUGGUUAAGUGAAGCAAAAUAACGAAUUUGGGUGUGCAUGUGCAAUUAUUUUUAUUAAGGUGACAAAGUGCAAAAACAGGUAAAGGAUAGGUGGCAAAAUGCUAUUAAACCAAAAAUUUUCAUCUAAUUAUGCUUACACAAAUUGAAGUUCCAUUUGAAAAAAAAACAAAUAGAGCUACAACUUUCGUGUUUGGCGUAUUCGAAGAUAUAAAGUUUAUGGUACAUACAGUUGCAUAUUAUGCUCAAAAUUGUGCCUGGAUUAUGAAUUUCACUACUUACAUAGUUUCGUAUUUCUACCAUAACUAUCUCGUCUAAAGUCCAAGUGCCUUAAUACAAAACGUAUUCAAAAGCCAAAAUAAUAAACCUUCACGAAAUGAAUCAGCAUGGAUUUGGGUUUGCUUUUUACAAAUUUGCAACGCAGCGAAAAGUGCAGGUCAUGUACUUUUGUAAAAGAAAUGAGGGAACACAAAUUUUAUUCAUAAGAUUGUAAGUUAUAACACAACAACAUUCAUGAAUCCCUCAAAUCAUAAAUAAAUAAAAAUAUUCACGAGUCAAAUAUUUUAUUUUCCAAUUCUUGCAAGACAUGUACAUGUCCAGUAGGGCUCCAGCGGAGGGUUCGGAGCACGGCAAUGUCCUCCGGGGCAACGAUAGGGCCCACAAGACACUUUGUUACACGCAAAAGUACAAACUUCUCCGAUGCAUGGUUCCAUUUUGAAAAUUGGUUCACCAUUACAACUUGUACUACACAUUAUUGAAAUCAAACCAUAGACAAGAAAAAGAAUUAAUAGUUGCUUCCUCAUUGCUUCCAUUUUGUAGCAGAGUGUUCAAUAUUAUAACUGUCAUAAUUUGUGCCUUUUUAUAGGGAGAAAAUAUGUAAUGAUUUAAUAAAAUUUCAAUUUUAAUAUUGCUUGGAUUGAAGGUAUAAUAUUGCAGUUACAUGAUACACAAAUAAAAAAUUAGGUAGGGAUUACUUGAAUUGCAUAAAGAAACCAGAAUUCAAACAAAGAUGUAUGCAAUAAUAUAUAUAUUUUCUCCAGAUAUAAAUAUAAGUUACAAAAUCAACGACAAAAGUAAUAAUUAAAUAUAAAUUACUGUAAUAAAAAAAAGGCACUUUACAAAUAAGUCCAUCAAUGAGUACUUAUUCAUAAAGAGAUCAAGACAAUAAACUUUUUUACAAAAAAGUCCACACAUGGUCUAGAGGUUUGUAAAAGACUAAAAUAGCUCCUCAUACAUUUAUAUGCUCUAAUUUCAUCCUUUAAUUUAAUCUAACCUCAAUUUGACCUCAAAUUUCACAAAUUAUUCAAUUUUGACCCAAAAUACAUUUUUAUGGACAAUUUCGUCUGUCACCGCCGUUGACCACCGAUCUCCGACGUUGACUUUUUUUUUCUUCCAGAUUUUUUCGCCGGUUUCCGCGUUGUUUGUUUUUUUCUUGUGGUAACAUCUUUUUUUUUCGUUUAAACAACAAUAUUGCUAUGAUUGAUAGUAAUAUUAACUAUAUUCCUGUUAAACACAGUAAAAUUAACUAUACUACAGUUUAACACAGUAAUAUUGCUAUAUUAAUCUCUAGCAUAGUAAUAUUAACACAACAAAACUCAUUAUUAUUGUGUAAUAGAGUAAUAUUAAUAUGUUGAUUGUUCAACAAAUGUAAGCAUAAUAAAAAGCCAAAAGAAUUAAUAUUACUGUGAGUUACAGUAAUAUUUCUAUAACAACAGUAAUAUUACCGUAAACCACAGUAAUAUUACAAUAAAUAGACAGUAAUAUUAUUAGGUUACUCCCUGAAUAACUCAAACAAAACAAAAAAAAAUUAUAAUAUUGAAGUGGUUGACAGUAAUAUUAAUAACAACAUUAAUAUUACCGUCAACCACAAAAAUAUUAUUAGGUUACUACGUGAAUAACUCAAACAAAACAAAACAAAAAAACCCUGUGGUUGACAGUAAUAUUAUUGUGUUUACAGUUAUUUUACUGUCAAAGACAAUAAUAUAAUUACGUUGACUUGUCAACAAGUCAAACAAAAUAAAACAAAAAUAACAAAAAUAAAUAAAUAAUAAUAUUGUUAUUGACUCUAAUUGUACUGUCAAUUAAAUUAUUUAUGAUUAAUUAAAUAAUAUUUUGGAUUUAUCUUAAAAAAUGAAAAAAAAAAAUUGGACCUCUCUUAAUUGGACAAUGCAUAUGAGGGGGGUUUGUGAAAUAAUCCCUUAUAAAUAAAUCAAAACUUAAUGUUUAUGAUAAAAUUAGCAUAAAUCCUUUAAACACAAUUUUCAAUUAUAAUUCUAAUUUAACUCUAAUUUCAUCAUUUUUUACAACAAAAAAAUAUAAUUUUGACCUUUUUUUAAAACAUUCUUUUUUGUGAUUUUUUUUCCAUCGUUAGAGACUUGGCGCUGGCAUUGUUUUUACUUUCUAUUUUAUCUUUCCGCUGCCAGUCUCUUUCAGUGUUGAUUUUUUUUUGCAUCUUUUUUUUAACGCCGCUCACCGUCGCGGUAAUAUUACUAUGGUUGACAGUAAAAUUAUUGUAAACACAAUAGUAUUAAUGUCAACCACAUAAAUAUUGUAAUUUUGUUUUGACUUUUUUAUUUUGUUUGUUUUUUUGACUUGUCCAUGUAAUAAUAUCACUCUGGUUGACAGUAAUAUUACUGUCAACCACAUGAAUAUUAUUUUUACCAAUUUCCGACACUGUGUGUAUAAACUUGUUACCUAAAAGGUCAAACAAGAUUAUUAGUAACGAGUUUUUAACAUUGAACUAAUUUUGAUUGCGCGCUGCAAUCACAUCGUUGCUGCCCAACGGGUUGGCUGAAAGUAAAGAAUCUAAACCUCUAGUUACUAAAAAAAACUUAAAAAUUUAUCCUACAAUUAGGAUUCGAAUAAAAAAACAGUCUAGAUAUGACAAAUGCUAUGCUAGUACUUAGAUUGUUGGUGCCUUUGUGUCAUAAUAAAUGAAGUAUAAUUAUUUAUAUAGCAUAAUAAGAAUAGAAACGUUUAGUUAUCAUAAUAACAUUAAUUUCAACAGUAACAUUAAUUUCUUACUAAUUUUAAUUUCGCAUUAACACUAAAUGUUUUUUACAGUUUUGUUUUUAUUUUUCUAUGUUUCAAUGUAACAUUAAUUUUUGUACAACUUUUUUCCUCUCCUUCCACUAAUGUAAGGCUCAGUUUGGAUUGGAGGAUUUCUAAUGAAUGGAUUUCAAAUCCUCUGGCCUUGAAAUACCUUGUAUUCGAAAUCCAUACAAUUUAAAAUCAGUUGUUUAGAUCAUUUAUACGAAGGAUUUCAAAUAAAUUUACUGUUUGGCUUAAGAUUAGUGGAUUAAAAUUAUUUAAUUAUUUUUACAAACAUUUUCGUAUUGAUUUUCUGAGAAACGCCUGCAAGUUUCAUUAAAUAAUAACACUACCUAAAAAUAGAAAUAAUAUAUAGAUGAUCCAAACGUACAAAUGAAUUGUCUACUUACAGUUUCUACCAGAGCGUACAAAAUGUUGUUGCAAUAGUGCUAUUUGUUUUAUCAUGACAAAGAAUAUGCAAGAAAAGUGUCACAAUUUCUUUUACCGUCACAUUCUUUGUUUAUACCAAUCCAUUACCCGUAAUUGUUGCAAGCAUGUAGGAUCAUGACAUCGAGAUCUCAUUCAAAGUUUUCUUUUGUAAACUCUUUCGUCAUUUUCACUCAAUAAUAAGUGUUUCGAUAAGUACUUGCCAUGAUGCAAAGCUCCAAUAAUACCAAUUAAAUAGCUGAACAAAGACGUAAUAAUUUUUAUCUUUCUUCAUAUUUUUCUAUUUCCCCUUCUUGAACGUUUUCAAUGAACAAUAUCCAUUUAAUCAACAUCCAAAUUUGCUGCAAUUAUUUAAUUACAAUAGAACAUACAAGUAAUUUAAACUAAGACCGUCUAGUAUUAUUAAUUAUGUGCUCAUUUAUUACAUGUUAGGAAAAUCCUAUAAAUAGUCUAUCUAGUUUUUUAUUUGGAGUAUAUCAAAAAUAAGAAGAAAUAUUCUAGAGAAAAAAAAGAGAGUGUAACAACAAAUUCUUAUCUGCGAUUUAAACAAACAAGAAAAACUUGCACAAAGAUAAUAUAUUGAAUUAAAAUAAAAUAUUGCGGGUUACAAACUCUAAUUUAAUCCUCUGAUUCUUCUCUCAAGAACAAUAUGCGUUUGACUUUGAAUUUCGGAGUCGGGUCGUUGACUUGAUCUUCUCCGGAUUUGAUUUGGAUUUGAAUAACGUCUUCCAAGGGUCUUACGACUUGAAUCUCGGAUCGAACGCUGAACUUUGACAGGUUUUGACUUGAAGAUCUUGGAGUUCUUGAUGGAUUUGGCUCUUCAAUCUUCCUUCGAUCUUGAUUUGUUGGAGAACGCCCUCGAUUUGAUGAAAAACGCCUUGAAUUUGUUGAAGAACGACUUGAAUAUUGUAGAGAGAAUUUUCUCCUACGGUUUUUCUUCUUCUUGAGUUGUCUUUUGAAUUGUGUAGGGAGGGUCCCUAUUUAUAGUGGUAGAAUAAGAGUCUUACAUGAAGUCUUCUUGAUGACGUGGCGCGAUUUGAUUGGCUCUCUUCAAAUUGAUAUUUAUCUCUUAUAACUUGGAAGAGAAGAAACAAUCCUAUUGGUCAAUAAUUAAUUGAUAAUUAUCUCCAUGACUUAUUUUGAAAGAUAAAUCAUAAUCUUGGGAUUCAAUUUAAUAUAAUAUAAAUUAUAUUAAAUUUACGUGUCUACAAAUGCCCCCUCGAGACUUGUUCACGGACAAUGUGUCUUGGAGUGAAUGAGUCUCGAUAAUUGCUUAACUUCUAUUGCAGCUUGAUCUAGCAAAGCACAUACAUCUUUUGAAAUCAUGACUGGACUUAGAGAGAUUCUAAGUUGCCUACGUGCCCUAUAGAGGGAUCAAGUCAUAACGUAGUUCAAAAUAUAUCCUUUUGAGGGAUGUCAUGCACAGUUUACACUCAUGUGGACAAGGAGAAACAUUCAUAGUUUAUGCUCGUAUCGAGGAGCCUUGACUUGAUUUGGAUAUAUAGAUAGUUUAUGCUCGUAUCAAGGAGCCUUGACUUGAUUUGAUUAUGUAGAUAGUUUAUGCUCGUAUCAAGGAGCCUUGACUUUGAUUUGGAUAUAUGGAUAGUUUAUGCUCGUAUCAAGGAGCCUUGGUUUGAUUGGGAUAUGUUGACAUUUUAAACUCGUGUCAAGGAGUACUUCAUUUGAUAUGGACAUGUAGACCUUUUAAACUCGUGUCAAUGAGUACUUUAUUUUAUUUGGACAUGUAGACCUUUUAAACGCGUGUCAAGGAGUACUUCACUUUAUUUGGACAUGUAGACCUUUUAAACUCGUGUCAAGGAGUGCUUCACUGGAGUUGGACAUGUAGACCUUUUAAACUCGUGUCAAGGAGUGUCUGAUUUGGACAUGUAGACCUUCUAAACUCGUGUCAAUGAGUGCUUGAUUUGGACAUGUAGACCUUUUAAACUCGUGUUAAGGAGUGCUUGAUUUGGACAUGUAGACCUUUUAAACUCGUGUCAAGGAGUGCUUCACUUGAUUUGAACUUGUAGACCUUUUAAACUCGUGUCAAGGAGUGUUUCAUUUGAUUUGGACUUGUAGACCUUUUAAACUCGUGUCAAGGAGUGUUUCAUUUGAUUUGUACUUGUAGACCUUUUAAACUCGUGUCAAGGAGUACUUCACUUGAUUUGGACAUGUAGACCUUUUAAACUCGUGUCAAGGAGUGUUUCACUUGAUUUGGACUUGUCAUAUUGCAUAGGGUGUUGGUUCCUCAAAACACUUGCCCCCAUCCUCAUGAUCUUCUUGUUCUUCUUCAACAUGUUCUUCAUUGAGCUGGUACGGAUUUUGGAAUGGUGGUUCUUCAAUUUGAUUUGCAAGUAUGCUCAACUCCAUAUCAUGUGCUCGAGUGGCCAACUCUUCAAAACAUUUAGGUUGAAUUACUUGAAGGAUAUAUCGGAGUCCCCAUUGCAUUCCUUGGAUGCACAGUUCAAUAGCUGAUGUCUCAGACAGUCGAUCCUUACAAUUAAGACUCAAAUUUCUCCAAUGGUUGAUGUAGUGGAUGACAGGUUCCUUCUUCCAUUGGCGGGAAUUGGUGAGCUCAAUCAUGCUAACUGUUCUUCGAGUGCUGUAAAAGCGGUUGAGAAAUUUUUCCUCCAAGUGCUUCCAACUAUCAAUGGAGUUUGCCCCCAAAUCAAUGUACCAAUCAAACGCGUUGUCUUUGAGCUAUCGGACGAAUUGCUUGACGAGGUGAUCUUCGUAUGUCCCGACAUCAUUGCAAGUCUCCACGAAGUGUGCCACAUGUUGUUUGGGGUUGCCUUUGCCGUCAAAUUGUUGAAACUUUGGAGGUAUAUAGCCCAUUGGCAUCCUUAGAUCAUCAAUCAUUUGCGUGUAUGGCUUGAAAUAGGUUGAUGGAGACUUCGAGCUUCCUUCCAACUUGUCUUUGAUGAUUCCACUGAUCAGCGUCAUCACUUGAUCUACAUGAAUCAUCCCUUAUGGAGAAACUUGAAGUUCUUGAGCUGGAGCCUUCUCGUUUUCAACUGGUUGUUGCUUUGUGGAUGUCUCGACUUCGUCUUGAACCUCUAUCUGAUUCUCCACACCUUGACUAGCAUCGGCUUUGUCCAUCUUGUUGAUCAACUCGGCAAUUUGAGAAUCUCGUUGUUGAACAUGCCUUGCGAGUCCCUCAAUGGCCUUUGUCAAACUUGCAAUUUGCUCCUCCAUGGUUGUAGCGUUUGUUGUCAUGACGGAUGCCACCUCUGAGUAGCUUGAUGUUGAACGAGGCGUGGGCUGUGAAAUCUCUCGUUUUGAGCCUUCCACGUUUGCACUUGUAUUGACAAGAGGUGGUAAGCCUUUCUGAAUGGUUUGAGGCGUCGAGUUAGUCUCGGAGUAUGCUUGCAGCUUCUUAGCCAUACUCCUUGUACCCAAGCCCACAAUUGAUGAAUCCGAAGUAGCAAUCUUCAUUGUGAACGUAGAGCAGUCACUGCAACACUUCGAGGAUCUUCGAGAGAGAGAGAAGAGAUGAGAGGUAGAGAUGUCCCACCGGGCAUGCCAAAAUUUGUAACAACAAAUUCUUAUCUGCGAUUUAAACAAACAAGAAAAACUUGCACAAAGAUAAUAUAUUGAAUUAAAAUAAAAUAUUGCGGGUUACAAACUCUAAUUUAAUCCUCUGAUUCUUCUCUCAAGAACAAUAUGCGUUUGACUUUGAAUUUCGGAGUCGGGUCGUUGACUUGAUCUUCUCCGGAUUUGAUUUGGAUUUGAAUAACGUCUUCCAAGGGUCUUACGACUUGAAUCUCGGAUCGAACGCUGAACUUUGACAGGUUUUGACUUGAAGAUCUUGGAGUUCUUGAUGGAUUUGGCCCUUCAAUCUUCCUUCGAUCUUGAUUUGUUGAAGAACGCCCUCGAUUUGAUGAAGAACGCCUUGAAUUUGUUGAAGAACGACUUGAAUAUUGUAAAGAGAAUUUUCUCCUACGGUUUUUCUUCUUCUUGAGUUGUCUUUUGAAUUGUGUAGGGAGGGUCCCUAUUUAUAGUGGUAGAAUAAGAGUCCUACAUAAAGUCUUCUUGAUGACGUGGCGCGAUUUGAUUGGCUCUCUUUAAAUUGAUAUUUAUCUCUUAUAACUUGGAAGAGAAGAAACAAUCCUAUUGGUCAAUAAUUAAUUGAUAAUUAUCUCCAUGACUUAUUUUGCAAGAUAAAUCAUAAUCUUGGGAUUCAAUUUAAUAUAAUAUAAAUUAUAUUAAAUUUACGUGUCUACAGAGAGUUCUUGAGUAAGUUUGUAUAUUUGUGAUGAUUGAGUGAGUAAUAUAUUUUUCUCUCCUCUCCACUACUCCUCCACUAUAUAUUAAGUUAUUCCACUGCGUAUUUAUCACUAAAUAUUUUAAAUCAAUCGAACAAAGUGGCAUCUGAGCCACAUCUUAAUAGAAAAGAGCGAUGGCAACAAGUGGAGCUUUCCCAUUUCAAAAGCUUGCAAAAGAGAACUAUGAUCGAUGGAGCAUACAAAUGAAUUUUUUUCUUGGUGGACAAGACGUUUGGGAAGCCGUUGAAGAAGAAUAUGUUGAACCGGAGAAUUUGGCUUUGUGAAGCCAAGCCCAAAGGAAGACAUCAAAGAAGCCAAUGUGAAAGAUCAAAGAGCGCAGUUCAUAAUCCAAUUUGGUGUAGACAAUAGUAACUUUGAGAAAAUUUCUCAAGCUACUACGGCGAAGCAAGCGUGGGAUAUUCUUAGCGAUGCUUCAAAGGCAUUGAUAAGGUGAAGAAGGUACAAAUCCAAUCAUUUCGUGGAGAGUUCGAGUCUUUGAAGAUGAAAGACUCCGAAGAAGUUUCCGACUACGUCUCUAGGGUGGUUUUUAUCGUUAACCAACUCGAGAGAAAUGGUGAAAUAAUGGAAGAGAGAAGAGUGGUUGCAAAAUACUCCGAUCCCUUGAUCCUAGGUUCGACUACAUCGUCGUGGAAAUUGAAGAGUCAAACGACGUUGAGAAUCUUAAAGUGAACGAUAUAUUUGGCAAGUUACAAGUCCAUGAUGAGAAGAUCAAGAGGCGAAACAAAGAGCCCAAAGUAGAAUAAGCCCUUCAAAAAAGACGAACCUUGGCGAGCAACCAAAAUAUGAUGGUGCUCGAUUUCGUGGCAGAGGUAGUGGUCGUGAUCGUGGACGCGGUCGUGGUCAUGGCAGAGGUCGUGAAGGACGAUUCUCGUACAACAAUGAUAAUACUAAGCAAUGGAAUCGAGCAAAAAGACGUCGUGGAAGAGGAGGAUUCAAUCGGCGUCAAGAUAUGAAAGAUGUCGAAUGUUACAGUUGUCACAAAUACGAACACUAUGGUUGGGAGUGUCGAAAUGAGUCAAAUGAUGAAAAGACUCAUUAUGUUGAAGCAACGGAAAAACUCCCAUGGAAGAAGGAAGAAGAUUACCCAAAGCUUUGUUUUAGUUAAUUUCGUAUUUGGACAAGUAAUUGAGUUCAAAUGAGUCCUUGAAACUUUCAAUUUACAUCCCAUGUGAUAUUUUUAUGUGAAAACACGAAAAAAAAAAACUCAUUUAUUUUAUCAUGUGUUUCAUGCUUGCGCCUGAAUUUGUGAAGAUUCGCCAUAAUAUUUGCCCUAAGUGGUUAAGUGAAGCAAAAUAACGAAUUUGGGAGUGCAUGUUCAAUUAUUUUUAUUAAGGUGACAAAGUGCAAAAAUAGGUAAAGGAUAGGUGGCAAAAUGCUAUUAAACCUAAAUUUUUCAUCUAAUUAUGCUUACACAAAUUGAAGUUCCAUUUGAAAAAAAACAAAUAGAGCUACAACUUUCGUGUUUGGCAUAUUCGAAGAUACAAAGUUUAUGGUACAUACAGUUGCAUAUUAUGCUCACAAUUGUGUCUGGAUUAUGAAUUGCACUAUUUACAUAGUUUCGUAUUUCUACCAUAACUAUCUCGUCUAAAGUCCAAAUUCCUUAAUACAAAACGUAUUCAAAAGCCAAAACAAUAAACCUACACGAAAUGAAUCUGCAUGGAUUUGGGUUUGUUUUUCACAAAUUUGCAACUCAGCGAAAAGUGCAGGUCAUGUACUUUUGUAAAAGAAAUGAGGGAACACAAAUUUUAUUCAUAAGAUUGUAAGUUAGAACACAACAAUAUUCAUGAAUCCCUCAAAUCAUAAAUAAAUAAAAACAUUCACGAAUCAAAUAUUUUAAUUUCCAAUUCUUGCAAGACAUUGACAUGUCCAGUAGGGCUCCAGCGGAGGGUCCGGAGCACGGCAAUGUCCUCCGGGGCAACGAUAGGGCCCACAAGAUACUUUGUUACACGCAAAAGUACAAACUUCCCCGAUGCAUGGUUCCAUUUUGAAACUUGGUUCACCAUUACAACUUUUACUACACAUUAUUGAAAUCAAACCAUAGACAAGAAAAAUAAUUAAUAGUUGCUUUCUCAUUGCUUCCAUUUUGUAGCAGAGUGUUCAAUAUUGUAACUGUCAUAAUUUGUGCCUUUUUAUAGGAGAAAAUAUGUAAUGGUUUAAUAAAAUUUCAGUUUUAAUAUUGCUUGGAUUGAAGGCAUAAUAUUGCAGUUGCAUGAUACAGAUAAAAAAUUAGGUAGGGAUUACUUGAAUUGCAGUAAAGAAACCAGAAUUCAAACAAAGAUGUAUGCAAUAAUAUAUAUUUUCUCUAGAUAUAAAUAUAAGUUACAAAAUCAACGACAAAAGUAAUAAUUAAAUAUAAAUUACUGUAAUAAAAAAAAAGGCACUUUACAAAUAAGUCCAUCAAUGAGUACUUAUUCAUAAAGAGAUUAAGACAGUAAACUUUUUUUUAAAAAAAUGCACACAUGGUCUAGAGGUUUGUAAAAGACUAAAAUAGCCUCUCAUACAUUUAUAUGCUCCAAUUUCAUCCUUUAAUUUAAUCUAACCUCAAUUUGACCCCAAGUUUCACAAAUUAUUCAAUUUUGACCCAAAAUACAUUUUUAUGGACAAUUUCGUCGGUCACCGCCGUUGACCGCCGGUCUCCGACGUUGACUUUUUUUUUCUUCCUGAUUUUUUCGCCGGUUUCCGCGUUGUUUUUUUUUCUUUUGGUAACAUCUUUUUUUUUCGUUUAAACAACAAUAUUGCUAUGAUUGAUAGUAAUAUUAACUAUAUUACUGUUAAACACAGUAAAAUUAACUAUACUACAGUUUAACACAGUAAUAUUGCUAUAUUAAUCUCUAGCAUAGUAAUAUUAACACAACAAAACUCAUUAUUAUUGUAUAAUAAAGUAAUAUUAAAAUGUUGACUGUUCAACAAAUAUAAGCAUAAUAAAAAGGCAAAAGAAUUAAUAUUACUGUGAGUUACAGUAAUAUUUCUAUAACAACAGUAAUAUUACCGUCAACCACAGUAAUAUUACAAUAAUAGACAGUAAUAUUAUUACGUUACUCCGUGAAUAAAACAAAAAAAAAAAAGAGUAAAAAGCAGUUUACCCCCUAAAUUAAAGGUUGUUUUGCACUUUGCCCCCCAAACAAAAAAAAAUUGCACGUUUUUACCUAAACUUGUUAAUUCAUUGCACGGUACCUCCUAAAAGGAAUAUUCCGGCAAUUUUGACCGGGAUGAGAAACCAUGUGCGUUGCACGUGAAAUUUGUAGGGGUAAAUUUGUCCCUUCACUUAUAUCCUAUGUAUUAAUAUAAACUAAUCAUUAAAAAUAAAAUUAAAAAAGAAAAAGAAAAAGUAAGCUGCCACCAUCCCGUUGGCCAUUAAAAAAAACCCCAAACUCUUCCCACACCACCAUUUUUCAUCUAUCUUCAUAGAUCAACUCUGUUUCUUCUUCUUCUCAGGCUACAUCGAAGAAUUCCACAGUUCACACGGGAUUUCAUACCCAUAUUAUAAAAUACAUAAAGUUUAUGAAUCACUCGUAUCUAACUAUUAAAAAGAAGGAAAAAAAAUAAAAAAAGAAUAUUGUCAUCUUCUUCCCUUGGCCGACCCCUGCCUGCAAAUCAUCAUCAUCACCUCCAACUUUCCUACCUUCAUUUCGACCUCUAAACAUUCAUUCCAUGAGUCCUGCUAACCACCACUGCCCGAUUCGUUGGCUUAAUAACCCCCUUCCCUCUCAGCUUCAUCAACGCCGACAAAGCAAUACCUGUGCGCGGGCAGACAAACAUUCCGGUCGAAUCCACCAUUGCCACGGCGUCCAUCAGAGCAUAAACUGCUUUGUCUAUUGAAAAUGGGUCGGAGUUCUUCAGAGCAUAAACUGCUCUGUCGAUUGAAACUGGGUCGUCGAUUUGAAAAGCAGCUGCGAACGCGUCUUUCGCUUUCACCGAAUUCUUCUCACACUGUUUGAUCGACGAGCUCCUAAUUUUUCUCACACUGUUUGAUCGAAUUGCUAGGUAGAUCGGGAGGUUGGUAGGUAGAUCGGCCUGAAUUUCACUUCAAAUGGGGCGAGAUUGCUUAGGGCGAAAAGAGGGAAAUUGGGAGAAUAGGGCUGAUUUUUUGCAAGAUUAUCCCUGCAUAGAAUUGAUUGAAGAUCUUGUUAUCGAUGGAGAUGAAGUUUAAUUGCUCCAUUCGUUAAUGAUCUCUGUUCUUUUGGCAGGGGAAUGGGUUUGGGAGGUUGGUGGGGGAAGAAGAUGAUAAUUUUCUUUUCUUUUUUUAUUUUUUCUUUUUGUUUAUUUUUGUUUUUUAAUGAUUAAUUUAUAGGGGUUAAUAUGUUUAGGUCCCUCCUUCCAAACUUAAUUAGAACUAAAUUACAACCUCAAACUAAUUUUUUUAAAUACACCUCUAUUUUAAAAUAAAAUAUGACCGACAUCCUUUUGUUUUUUUUAAUUCCUAAUUUGCCCUUAUACCCUAAAUAUAACCUCUAUUUUACGGUUCUUCAAACCAGAUCUGAAUUUCUUUUUCAAUUCUCUCUCUUUCUCUCGCUUCUUUACGUUUCUCUCGAUGCUUCCUUUCUCUUUAUCUCUCUCUUUUAUCUCUCUCUCUCUCUCUCUCUCUCUCUCUCUCUCUCUCUCUCUCUCUCUCUCUCUCUCUCUCUCUCUCNNNNNNNNNNNNNNNNNNNNNNNNNNNNNNNNNNNNNNNNNNNNNNNNNNNNNNNNNNNNNNNNNNNNNNNNNNNNNNNNNNNNNNNNNNNNNNNNNNNNNNNNNNNNNNNNNNNNNNNNNNNNNNNNNNNNNNNNNNNNNNNNNNNNNNNNNNNNNNNNNNNNNNNNNNNNNNNNNNNNNNNNNNNNNNNNNNNNNNNNNNNNNNNNNNNNNNNNNNNNNNNNNNNNNNNNNNNNNNNNNNNNNNNNNNNNNNNNNNNNNNNNNNNNNNNNNNNNNNNNNNNNNNNNNNNNNNNNNNUGAUAGUGUCGGUGGUGCUCGACUUUGGGGGGAGGGGGGUGGCGGCGGUUCUGAUUGUUGGUGGUGGCGGCGCUCAGGGCUGGUGAUAGUGUCGUGGUGCUCGACUUUGGGGGGAGGGGGGUGGCAUCUUUAGUGACGUGGUGAUGUUAGAGUCGCAGAUCUAGGGUUUGGUGUAGGAGAUCUACGGUUUGGUGGAGCGAAUCUAAACUUUUUCGAUUUCAUGUCUAUAGAUGUCUAUGAGUAUCUAUGGGUAUCUAUGGUGUCUGGCGACUAGGGUUCAAAGGAAGAAAUAGGGUUUUAAGAAUACGUGACUACGGAUUACUACAGUGUUCUACAAGUGUCUAUACAUGACUCCGGGCUACUACGGUAUCCUACAGAUUUCUAUAGAAGACUAUGGCCGACAAAAAUUAAAAAAAAAAUCAUAAUUUGCAAUAUUAUGUUGAAAAAAUUAGAAAAAAUACGAAAAUGCAAAAAAAAAAAAAAUUGUUCUACGGAAAAAAUAAUAACAAAAAUGAUAGAUGCGAAAAUAAAAAUGUUAAAUGCAGAAUGAUAAAAAUGAUAAAUACAGUUUAAAUAUUACUUGGUGCAUAUUUCAUUUUUUGUAUGUGGGGGCAUUUUUGGAAUGAAAUUUAUAAAGGAUGUCAAGCAAAUGUUUAAUUAGACUUGUCAUUUAGUUCAAAUUAGUUUUGUCACUAGGGACCUAUAUCUUAAAGCCCCUAAUUUAUAUUUAAUAUAUAGAAUUUUAGUGAAUAGACAAAUUUACCCCUGCAAAUCACACGUGCAUCGCACCUGAUAUAACAUUCCGUUCAAAAUUGCCGGAAAAUUGAGUUUAGGGGGCACCGUGCAACGGACUAACGAGUUUAGGUAAACCCGUGUAAAUUUUUUUUGUUUGGGGGGCAAAGUGCAAAACGACCAUUAAUUUAGGGGGCAAACUGCUUUUUACUCAAAAAGAAAACAAAAAAAAUUAGAAUACUGAAGUGGUUGACAGUAAUAUUAAUAACAACAGUAAUUAAUAUUACCGUCAACCACAAAAAUAUUAUUAGGUUACUCCGUGAAUAACUCAAACAAAACAAAACAAAAAAACCCUGUGGUUGACAGUAAUAUUAUUGUGUUUACAGUUAUUUUACUGUCAAAGACAGUAAUAUAAUUACGUUGACUUGUCAACAAAUCAAACAAAAUCAAAAAAAAAUAACAAAAAAAAUAAAUAAUAAUAUUGUCAUUGACUCUAAUUGUACUGUCAACGGCAGUACAAUUACAUAAAUGUAUUGUUAACGGCAGUACAAUUACGUUAAUGUACUGUCAGUGAAAGUAUAAUUACGUUAAUUUACAGUCACUGUCAGUGACAGUAUAACCGUUAAUGACAGCACAAUUACAGUCAACAUUUAGCGUCGAACGUUAAAAAAAUUUAAAUAAAAUAAAAAACAACUAAUAAACACUAAAAAGUCAACGCUAGAGACCGGCGGUGAACGCGGUUCGGAAUCCGGCGGCGGAAAAAAUAGACCAGAAAAUAAAAAAAAAUGAAAAGUCAACGACGAAAUCCGGCAGAAAAAAAACUUUUUGAAAAAAAAAAUCAAAAUUGGAUUUUUGUGGUUAAAAUCGAUUAAAUUGGGGUUACAAUUAAAAAUUCCGUGUAAAGGGUUGUGGGUAAUUUUAUUAUAUACAUAAAUUUUUCUUUUAUAUAUAAUAAAUAUUAAAGGGAUGAAUUUAUUGAUGAAAGAGAUAUAGCCCAUAAACCUAGAUUAAUAAUGAUGUUUGGUUAGGGACUUGUGCACAAAAACCCGAAUAAAAAAUUGACUUAAUAUUUUUAUAAAUUUGAGUUGACUUUGUAUUAUAUGGGACUCUUUGAGUUUUGACUUUUGUGCCAUUUUUCAAUGAAGAAGGGCCCAACCAUAUUUUUAGUAUUAAGUAUAUAUUUAACUCUUAUUUUGUUUCAAAUUUACCCUCUUCUAUAUUGCACAUUGCUUGAUAUGUUUUGUUUUAAUUUUUUUUUUUUCUGUAAAGAACUAUAAAAUUGUGGUAUUCAGCCACAAGCUUACCAAAUAAAAAUCAACUACAAAUUAUUGAAAACGACUACAAAAAUAUAAAAAAUUUAUACAAUGCAACUACAUGUUAAUGAAAUAAACUAAAACGAAAAAAGAAAACACCCAAAUGACUUGUGAAACAAAUGAGCGAAAAGGUAAUUUGACUCGUACAAUGCCGGGGUGGAUAAAAGUUAAUAUUGAAUACAAUUCAAUUUAAUUAGCUGAUGUGUUCAAGAGAAUGUCUAAUGAAGCAGCAUCUUUGGAUAUAUUAAUAAUUUUAUUUGUGCGACAUAUACUUACUGUUAAGAAAAUUAAAUUCAACAAUAUCUCAUAUUCAGUAAAUUAUAAAGCCAACUCAAUUUCCCCCUUUACGAAUUUUUUUACACCCAAAACCAUAUAUCUAAAAAAAUGGAUAAGAACUGAGUAGUUAGUAAUGGGAAACAAAUGGGUGACGCUUAUUUCACCUUAUAAUAAUAAAGAAAAUUAACUUAAUUUUCCAUCAUAAACAUCAUUAGGAAAAUAAUUGUAAAAAAAACGCCAAUAAUUGUGAAACAAAACCAAAAAAUUGCUUACCAGUAUUGACACAAAAACCUAGUUCUGAUAUCUCUAAUAAAUUUUUCUGCAAGGAUUUUAAGUAAUAAAGCAAUGAAAGACAUGAUAUGUGUAUCAAGAAACAAAAUAAAAAUAAAGGGAACAAAUUUACGAUUUUCAAAUCUGUCAAAUAUAUUUAAACUCUUUUAUACUAGUCCUGCAAAUUUUCAGGAAAUCUACUAAUAUAAUGGAUGUAUGCGGAAUUUCAAAAUCAGUUAAUCUAAGUUAAUUAGAAAAUAUGAAAUUUCCUAAUUUUCGAAAAAUCUGCUCAUAUUUAGCAUAUAACGGUUUCAUUUAAUAAAUAAAAUGUAGCCGCAUAACAUGAAAAUCCGUUACCCUCUAAUGUUAAUACUAAAACUAAUAUUAAUUAUAAUAUAUUAAUCAUAAUAUACUAAUACUAAUCCUAACAUACUAAUGCGCGAAUACUAAUGUUAUUAUUAAUAUUAAUGCUACUCCUAAUUUUGUAAUUAAAAGUUAAUGUUAGUGUUAGUGUUAGUGUAAGUGUUAAUAUUAAUAUUAGUAUUAGUAUUAGUAUGUUGUGAUAUUAAUAAUUUAAUGUAAGGAAUAUAAAAUAGUUUUAACUUUUAUUUAUUUAAUAGACUAUUGAAGUUUACCUUUUAAUUACAAUUAAUAAUAUGAAAAUAUUUUUUUAAAUUAAUUUAAUAGUAAUUGAUAAAAUUUAUUUUGUAAUAUUAAUAUUUUAAAUAUAUAAUAGUAAAAUUUAAUUUUUGCUUUUAGUAUAAUAAGUUUUAAACUUUUGGUAUAAUUGAUAUUAAAAAAUAAAGUAAUUAAUUAUUUAAUAUAAUUGCAAAAAUAUGACCACAAAUUAAAGUACAAGAUUGUACAAAUUUUAAUAUUUUAUUGGUUUGUUGUAAUUUACAUUGACAUGUCAAAUAUGAGAAGCAAACCAUAUGAUAAUGUUUUAUUGGCUUGUUGGAAUUAUAUUUUUGCUCAGGAAGAUUGUACGUUAAAAGAAUGUAAAUCAUUUUACACCCUUGUAAAUACUCUAAAGAAGAUGAAAGGGUAAAUUACUCUACCCGUUCCAUAAUAUCUGUUGGGCGGCCGCUAUAUGCAAGUCCAUUUUUUUAUUAGUUGAAACCCACAUAAAGGAGUUUAUUAGUUCAAGCCCGUAAAAUAGAUUAAUUUUAUUACAUCAAGACCAAUGAGGACGAAUAUACCGUUAUCAAUAAAUAAUACAAAAAUACAAACAAAAUCUAUUUUUAAUUUGUUCAAGACCAAAAAAAAAAAAGUAAGAAAAAAACAAAAAAAAAAAAAAUAGAAAAAACUCACAACUGCCGCCGCCAGACCGCUGGGACACCGACCAGCGAGACUUCCACCGCGUUGACGACGACCAGCGACCCACCCACCGCAUCACCUCCACCGUACCAUCACCACCACCCCACCACCACCAACAAGUCCUUUUUAACUAAACUUUUGUUUGUCAAUUCCAAAACAUUAAUCGAACAUCGAUUCUUGAUAAAUACGCGUGGAUGAACAUUAACCUAUGCUUACUUCUUGUUGAGUUGCAAUGCUUUAGCCGAUUUUGGAAAAAAAAUUGAGAUUGAAAUUGAUUUUUUGUGUGUUUUCGUUGGUUUCCCAAAUCGGUUUAUCCAGACCGAUUUUGUACACGAAAAUCGGCGUCACAAUGCCGAUUUUUGUUAACCAAAUUGGCGACACAACGUCGACUUUACAAGUCAAAAUCGGCGUUGUAAUGCCGAUUUUUUUUAAUGAUUUAUGUUUUUUAUUUGGUUUUGAAUUUCAUUAAGGGUAAAUUAGUAUUUUUAUGUUGGAGGUCUUGAACUAAUAAAAAAAUGGGCUUGCAUAUAUCCGCCGCCUAUCUGUCGCUUUGAAGAAUUCUUUUUGUUCCAUAUUAUCUAUCAGUUUAAAUUUCCAACACUUCAUUAAUUACUUAAUUUACAAUUUAUACCCUAAUUAACUCUUUCCAAUACCCUUUUUUUUAACUAAUUUCUCUCUCUUAUUAAUUAUAACACAAGGUCAUUUUAGUCUAAAAACAUACAGUUUCCUAAAAUCAAGAUACAUAUUAAUCAUAAUAUACUAAUACUAAUCCUAAUAUACUAAUGCGAAUACUAAUGUUAUUAUUAAUAUUAAUCCUACUCCUAAUUUUAUAAUUAAAAGUUAGUGUUAGUGUUAGUGUUAAUAUUAAUAUUAGUAUUAGUACGUUGUGAUAUUAAUAAUUUAAUUUAAGAAAUAUAAAAUAGUUUUAACUUUUAUUUAUUUAAUAGUAAUAGACUAUUGAAGUUUACCUUUUAAUUACAAUUAAUAAUAUAAAAAAAAAAUUUAAAAUUAAUUUAAUUGUAAUUGAUAAAAUUUAUUUUUUAAUAUUAAAAUUUUAAAUACAUAAUAGUAAAAUUUAUUUUUUGCUUUUAGUAUAAUAAGUUUUAAACUUUUGUAUAAUUAAUAUUAAAUAUAAAUAAAGUAGUUAAUAAUUUAAUAUAAUUGCAAAAAUAUGACAAUCCUUUAGAUUAAAACAUAUGAUAUUUCAAUGCAAAACUGCAAAACCUCUAAUCAUCCCAACAAUCCUUUUGGUUUUAUGUUUGAAGUAAUUAAUCCUGAAUUCGGCCAGCUAAAAUUUUUUAUUUCUCAACAGUUAAAUAAUAAAUUAAAAAAAAAUAAAAAUAAAAAAUAAAAAAAGAGUUAGUUUACGAAUACCUUACUUAACAUGUGUGCUGUCAGGUGUGUGCACAAACUAUUAUUAUUGUCCACUCAAAUUUCCCCAAUAAGAUGACAAAUUUGUCUUACGUUCAUAUCCAUAAUCUGGCAAUCCGGGUGUUUGCAAAUGCUUAUUUAAAAACAGAUAUUAGUGAUUGUGAGUUAAGUUGAUUUUAAGUUUUUAAUUCUAAGGUGGUGUUAGCAAAUGUUUUUUGAAAGUGAUUAUGUUCUUUUUUUUGCUUAUAAUCUGUUUGCAGGUGUUUGCAAAAUCAACUUUUGCUUUUGCUUAUCUUAAAAUAAUUUGUUUUAAGCUAUUUUUUUAAAAGCACCCAUAAUCCUGCUUUUUCUAUUUAAGUUUAUUUUCCGGAAUAAUUGCAAACACCCCUAACUUUUAGAAAUAAGCACUUAAAAUUGGCUUAACCCACAAUCACUAAAUUCUGCUUUUAAAUAAUCAUUUGCAAACACCACCUAAUAGUUGGGGGUGUUUGCAAAUAUUUCGGGAAAUGAACUUAAAUAGAAAAAACAUGCUUAUAGGUGCUUUUAAAAAAUAGCUUAAGUCAGAUUAUUUUGAGAGAAACAAAAACAAAAGUUGAUUUUGCAAACACUUGAAAACAGAUUAUGAGCAAAAACAAGCUCAUAAUCACUUUCAAAAAGUUUUUGCAAACAGUACCUAAGUCAUCCUAAUAAGAGAUUAUAUGUAUAUAAAUCAACUAAUAAGAUCCAAUUUUCAGUAAAUUUAUUAAUUUUUUAUGUGUCAAAAAUACUAUGAUAUAUGGAAAUAUAAAUUGUCAAAAUAAAUUCUCAUAUUUUAAUCCCCUUUCAUUUGACCCAUUUGUUACCAAAUCUGACCACCGUUCCGGAAAAAUCCCAAAUUGCAAAUUCCAGAGCUCUGAAAAAAUAGAUUUCUUCAAUACCAAAGCCUAUACAAGAAUUGCAUCGCGCCUGCCAUAGUUUAAGUCUUCGAAGCAUUCGCAAUUAACCAAAUUCCGUUUGCUAUCUGAUUUGUGGAACCAGUUUGCCAUUUUUCGUUUGCUAGUUGGAGAUCGAUUGAUGUUUGAAGACAUCGUCUGUUGUUUAUCGUUUGUUGUUUCUGAUUUCUACAAUGGUUCAAAUGCGAUUUACUUUUGGUAAUCAACACUCUUAUUACCUACAACGGCUAAUUAACAAGCGACGAUGGUUAAAAUUGGAGUCAAAAUUGUAAUAAAUUAAAUAAUAAAUGAAAUUUGAGGUCAAAUUAAUAUUAAAUUAUAUUAAAAGUAUAAAAUUAGGACAUAUUAAAAUGCGAGAAAGUAUUUUAGCCUUUUUAUCAAAAUUAAAUAAUUAAUAAAAUUUGGGGUCAAAGUAAUAUUAUAUUAUAUUAAAAGUAUAAAAUUAGGACAUAUUAAAAUGCGAGAGCGACCAACCCUCAUUAGAAGAGUUGGUACCUAGCCUUUACCAAUAGGAUAACGGUUUAGGGUUCGAGUCUCCCCUCCCCUACUUCCCCUUGUAAUGGACUUGAAUUUAGUAUUAGCCUUUUAUAUGCAUCUAAACUUAUUUGCAAUAUCCCCGUAUAAAAAUAUAAGAGUUAGGAAUAUCUUACCUUAACCUGUGUGCAUCUAUCAUAUAUAUCUGACCCUGACAGUAAACAAAGUACCAAACUAUUGUCCACUCAAAUUUGUCUUACGUUUAUAUCCGCAAUCGUCAUCUCAAACAUCAUACUUUCUAAACUGUAUUCAUCUAUGUAUACAAACUCGUCUUUUAUACUUAUUACUCCGUAAAAUUAAACUAAAAAAAUUAGGGUAAAUUACAAUCAAAUCUGAGGUAUAGUUAAUUUACGAAAAAAAAAAAUUUUUUCUGGAUAAUUACAUAUACCCACCCCUUCAAUUAUAAUUUUUUUUUUCUUACACAUCCACUAUUAUGGUGUCGAACUCAACAUAAUUAUGUAGAUUUCGUGGAAUAUGCUCUAGUUUGGGAUGUAGAUUUCGUGUAUUAGUUUUGUGUAAAAAUACAGUUUCUGAUGCACCAUAAUCUGAUAUAUGCAAGCAACAAAACACAUAUUAUGAUCAUCUUGCUUCAAAAUGUGGGAUUCGAAUGGGAUAAAACAAGUAUAAAAGUGAUAAUAUUCCAUAUAAUCUAGAAGAUUUCACAAAAUUUAAAACCGCAAGGAUGAACGUGUAAGAAGAAUUAUAGUUGACGGUGGUUGUAAUUACCUAAAUAGGAUGGGUGUUUCGUAAUUUACCCAAAACAUCAAUCAAGAGAAUCAGAACCACAAACUUCCACACUUCCUUUCUAUAUAUAUAGCAAUUAGCAUAGUCAUUCUGCAAUCCUCAUCUCUCUCUCACACUCACAACACCAAUCUCUCUCUUUCUUUCUCUCUCACACUCAUGCACAUAAAUUCACAUGUGUGCGCAUUGAGUGAAUGUGGUUUGAUGCGUGGUUGUACAGUGGUGAAUGUGGGCAAUGUAAAUGUUUCUUUCUAUUUACGUAAUUCUCGUAAUUGUUUUUUGUAUUGGAUUAUGUUAAUAUUUUAGUGGAUUUCGAUAUUUUUGUAGUGUGCAGCGAUGCGAUUGUAGUGGAUUGAUCAAUUUUUUAAUGAAUUAAAUUUACACAUUGUUGUCUUCUUUUUCUUCGGUUCAUGUCCUUAGCAGGCGGACGCCGCCAUUUGUUAGCACCCCAUGACGACGGAGGCCUUGCAUCAGAAAUAAUUGCGGCGGUCGGAGGAGGAAUCGUGGUAGGUGGUGGCGCGGAUGACUUGCUGCUUGAAUAUCUUUCCUUAACUGUUUUUUUUUUUUUUUUCUAUAAUGGAUUUUGGAGUAUACUUGUUCACAUAUGCUUGACACAGAGUGGUUUUCAAAUAUUUUGUGGCUGGAAAGGUGGAGUGGUUUUCAAAUAUUUUGUGGAUGGAAAGGUGGAGUGGUUUUCAAUAAUUAUUUACAGAUUUUUUAUAGUGGUUUUCAAUAAUUAUGUACAAAUUUUUAUAGUGGUUUUCAAUAUUUUACAUAAACCACAAUAAAAAUCUCUAUAAAAAUUAUAGUUGUUUUCAAUAAUUAUUGUACAUAUUUGUAUAUAACUGUAUAUACAGAGUGGUUUUUAUGUUGACAUAGUUAUUAUAUUUAGUGGUUUUCAAGUUUACAUAGUUGUUAUACAUAGUGGUUUUCAUGUUAUAUAGUUGUUAUAUAUAGUGGUUUUAUUGUUUAUAUAGUUGUUUAUACAGAGUGGUUUUCAUGUUUAUAUAGAGUGGUUUUUAUUUAAAAAAACUAGAAAGAAAAAAAAACCAUUUAAAAAUUCAAAAUUAAGAAAAAAGAAAAACCAUGAAAAAACAAAAAUAAAAAUAAAACCAUUUUUCUAAAUAAAAAUUAAAAAACAUGAAAAAUAUAAAUAAGAAGAAAAUAAUUUAAAAUAAAAAAUUGAAAAUAAAAUAAUACAAAAUUUUCUUUCAAAUUGAAAUAAAGAAAACUAUUAAACAAAAAAAAAAAGAAAAGGAAAAAAAAAAAAACUGAACUGGCGUGAUGAGGGGAAUAAUUUUUGGAGAAGAUUUGGGUGUAGAUUAUGGUAUAAGUUUUUUAAAAUUAAAUAAUUACACUAAUUAAUAAUUAGUGGGGGCAUAUAUAGUUUUUCAGGCCCAUUGGAUUUAUCUUAAAUGUUAUUUAUAAAUAAAGAAUUUAUUAAGAAUUAAAAUCCCAGUGAAGGAUGUUUGGCAUAUAACCCCUAGUUUUUUUAAGUAUAUCAAAAUUUGUAUUGUUUUUUGUAUAUAUUACACCUAGGGGUGAAAACAAUCGAGAAGAGUCGAGUCGACACGAACAACUGGUUGUGAUCAAGCUCUUGUGCAUUUAUAUCGAGUUUUGUGUUUGAGCUUGAUUUGGUAAGCAAUCGAGAAACUCAACACACCCCCAAACUUGAACUUUUGUUUCUCCUCAAGCAAUAAUACCAUCUUGCAAAGCAACAAAAUCAAUAAAUGAAUCAUCUCAUCACAUAGAUUAAAAAUUUACAAGCUUAAAAUUGUUAUGGGACUUCUCAAAAAUUUACAAGCUUAAAAUUCAACGAUAGUUAACUGAUCACCAUUGCCAAGAACCAAAAAUCAUGUUAUCGCUUCAAGCAUCAAGUAUUUGUAAUCUAAAAAUAGAUAAAAUUUAUAGUUACAGAGUAAUAUUAGACUACAAAGACUCACCGAAUUUCUCUACUCUCGAAUAAUUGAGCUAUUUGGAUCAUUGGGACUUUUUGACUUUCAAUUGUUGGGCUAUUUGGUGCAAGGUAGAAAAUAUGGGUAUAUAAGUGGCUACUCUUCUCCUUUCAAUUCUCAUUAUUGAAUAAAGAGUUGCACUGAGCAAGAUGCUUUUUUUUUUCUUCUUAGAUCGAGGUUUUUUCGCCGAGAUUUGAACAUUUGACUUUUUGGAAUAGCUUAUUCACCUCUAAUGACUUAUUAUCCUACUCGAUUCUCAAGAGUUCAAAAGUUUCCACUUUUGCUCUUGAGGUAUGGUUCCAGUUUUUAUUCGAAUAUUUGCCCAUGUCCUCCUUUAUCCUUCUAGUUCUCUUCUUCUUCGUUCUUUUUCUGAGAAAAAGAAAAACGUAACAAAUUUUCCAGCCAAACUCCAAGGGAGUUUUUUCAAGAAUCACCAUCCACUCUACCUAACACGGAUUGGCUAAAAGAAAGAACUCCUUUUAUUUGAGGCCCAAAUCAAGGUUCUAAGAAUAAUUUCGAUAAAAAGGUCGCUUGAAAGGCUUAGAUGGGUCAAAUAAAGCACAAAUCAUAUCCCAAAUCACUCAACGGCUCAAUACUUCACUUUGAAAAUUCCUAAGGUGAGUUCUAAGGCUGAACAUCAUAUGAUAUAUCAUAAAUUAACUCCACGUUUGAAAAAUAAAAUUUUCAACAAAAGCAACACAUAAUUCAUGAUUCUCAAUAAUGACUCACUCCUAAAUUACUUUGAAUCAAAAACUCGCCAAAAUUCAAGUAUAACUACAACAAAGCAAGUAAUAUCAUCAUCAAACAUUGGCCAUCAUUCUUCAUCAUAAUUCAUCGAUGCAUUCAAAUCAAACAUUUUUUUUAAAGAAAACAAUAAAUAUCUGAAAACGAAUAAAAAGAAAAAAAAUCCUAAAACAUGCAAUCUAAAACGUAUAAAGCACAUAAAAAGUGGUUUUCAAAAAUAUCCUAAAGCAUGCAAUCUAAAACAUAUAAAGCACAUAAAAAGUAUUUUUCCACCCCCAAACUUAAAGUUUUGCAUUGUCCUGAAUGUAAUUAAAAUGAACUUUAAGGAUAGAAUACACCUUGAUUAGUCGGAACGUCCUCCACGCGUUGCACUCCUCCAUCUCUUAGCUUCAUCUUUCAAGCAAACUUUUUUUUUACAAUUUUUCGAAAAACAAAUAAAUAAAAAAUUCUCCAGGGGUGUUCUGGACGGCCAUCUCACCUUUUGCACUGUUUUGAGACGACCGGUUUAAUUUCCGAACAUUCACAACUUGUCGUAACUUCUUCGGACGACCGUCUAGAGUUUUGGCUUGCUUUCGGACGGCCGUCUGGGCUUUUUGUGUUCGUUUUUUGACCUAAAAAUUCUAACAUGAUUAAAUUAUUAGAUUGCAAGCUUAUAUAUAUUCUAGGAAAAUUUAAAAAAAAAAGAAGAAAAAAAUCUAAAAAUAUGAGAAAAAAAACGAAAAAAACAAUAACUGCUCGGGUUGCCUCCCGGCAAACGCUAAAUUUUAAGUCUUCAGCAAACUUUGCUUCUUAAAACUGUUAUGUCCAAUCCAAAUCCUUGUAAAUUGUGCAUCCAUCAAUGGGCUCUACAACUUCAAUUGCAACCAGGGCAUGGAUAGCAUAGCAAUAGGUCACAGGGUCCACCUUAGCUUGUAGUCUUUUUUUGAUGUAAUCAAUUGGUACGAAGCCAAGAUGGGAUGUUCAUCAGUCGCUCCCUCGAAUCGGUACACAAAAACCUCAAGUCUGCUUAUAACAUCCACCUCAAACGCGUUCGCCUUCUCAUCAACCACUAUUGAUGCCUUCAAUAUCACAUCAGGUACAACGAUAAGAUCUUCAAUUUGAAUAUUUGCACUAACCACAUCCAUCUCCUUCUUCUCUUGUUCCGAGACAUCUAUGGAGUUUAGCUCGAUUGCAUUCUCAGAUUCAUCAUCUUUAAGCGUUCUCAUAAUUUAUUUUUCCCUCUCAUCAACAUUAUUUUCUAGGUCUGAAGAAUUUUUCUCACUACAAUUUUCAGACGAAUUUUCUUUGUUGCAACUAUUCUCGAUAUCGUCUGGAAUAUUUUCAUGAGACCUCUGGAACUUGAUCUCUUCCAACUGUAUCUCCAGUCUUUGGAUAGAUACUUGAGUGGAUUUCCUAAAAUCUUCAAGGAUGGAUUUCAAAUAAUACUCCUGAAUACUGGGUUCUCGUGGCCUUGCAUAAUAGGUUUUAAAAUCAUCACAUUGCGGCUCCCGAUGUUGAAAAUCAUUGAAAGCUUGGCUAGGAACGUUCUGUACGUACGUGUUGGUGUAUGUGUUCCAAUAACAUAUGUUGGUAGUAUCGAAGAAAUUAUUCGCUUUCGGUGCUUCCCAACAUUGGUUAGUGUAAUGAUUUCUUCCACAUGUUGAACCAAAUAGCGGCAUAUCAUAGGUGUUUUGGAGGUAUUCGCGAGAUGGAAUUCGUAUCCCGUUUGAGGUGCGCGAAAAUUGUAACAUGACAUGUAGCAAAAGAAGAAAAAUAAUUAAAUAAAAAUAAAACAAAUAAAAAAUUAAAAUUAAAAUUAAUUUGGAUGAAUCGAGAGCGUUGUUCGAAUCUAGAGUCAGAAUAAAUAGACAAUGUAUUAUAUGGCUUCGUCAUCUAGAUGAUUUCCUUCAGAUGAAUUUGAAUACAUUAAAUCAUCUUGGGAUAAUUUUAGUAUAUGAGAAACAACCGCAUCAGCGACAAUAUAUCUAUCGUGAUCGCGAAGAAAGUCAGAAACUAUUACGGAAAUAUUAUUUUUCUGAAAAUUGUACUUUCCAUUUUCUUAUGUUCGCAGGCGUUUUAGGAUGCGCAGGGAGUUGUUUUUUUAUAUUCAAAAUGAUCUUUAAAAUUAUAACACAUACUUCAUCCGAAAGAGAGAUGCACGUGGUCGUCUUGGCUUAUCAUCUAUUCAAAAAAUAACUACUGCAACUCUGCUUCUUGCUUAUGGGGCAUCUGCUGAUUUUUACAAUCAAUAUUAAAAGAUCGGGGAGGCAACAGGUAACGAAAAUUUAACAGAGUUUUGUUCGUCGAUAAUCGAACUAUAUGGAGAACAAUACUUGCGUUCACCAAAUGAACAUGAUAUUCACCGUCUUCUACAAGAAGGUGAAUCAUGAGGUUUUUUCCAGUUAUGAUUGGGUCUUUAGAUUUUAUGCACUGGCAAUGAAAAAAUUGUCCAACUGCUUGGCAAGGCACACACAGGGGUCACCACCACAAACCAACAUUAAUUUUAGAAGUAGAUGCAUACCAUGAUACAUGUAUUUGACAUUUUUUUUUGGCAUGUCAGGUGGAAAUAAUGAUAUUAAUGUCUUGGAACAUUCUCCACUUUUUGAUAAUAUGAUACAUGGUAGAAUGCCUCCAGUUCCUUAUACGGUGAACGGUCGUUCAUAUAUGAUGGGUUAUUACUUAACUGAUGGUAUUUACGUAAAAUAUGCAACUCUUACUCAAAUCAUUGCUCAUCCCACCACUGCAAAAGAAAAAUUAUUUGCGGCAAAACAAUAAUCAGUUAGAAAAUGUGGAGUGAGCAUUUGGUGUUUUACAAAGUAGAUGGGAUAUAACGCAAGGACUCAUCCGUUAUUGGUCAAAAGAAGAUAUAUGUAACAUAAAGAAAACAUGCAUUAUCCUUCAUAACGUCAUUAUAGAAGGUGAACGUGAAAUUGACAUUGAACCAUGGAUGCUACUACCAGAAGAGAAUUUUCGCCCCCAUCAAUGUGAACGAGAUCCAUCAAUUUUGGAGGCACAUAUCUCAGCACGCCUUAGUCGGAUCCACAAUCGACGAAUCGAUGAAAAUUUGAGAUAUGAUCUAUUGAACCAUUUGUGGAAUAUCUACGGAGAAGAAGAUGUCUAAAUAAUCUAUUGCUUUUGAGUAUUUUUAAUUGUAUUUUUGAUUUAUUGUUCUUUUAUUUUCACUUGAAGAAUUAUAUUUUAUAAUGUAAUCGAAUUUAGUAAAAUUAAAUUACUACAAAAAUUAUUGUGACAUUUCUUUUAAUUAAAGUGAUGAAUACGAGAGACAAAUGUGGAGCAAUCAAUAGGAAUUCACAUUGUUAUUCAUCUUGAGCAUAAAAAAAUGUAACAUCUCUUUUACUAUUAGACUUAAAUUAAUAAUAUUUAAGAAAAAAAGAUCAAAAUAAAUGUUUCGUGUAUUAUAUUUUAUAAGGGAUUAUUUUAGAGACCCACCUAAUUUCCAAAUUAUAUCUAACUAACUACCAUGCGGAUUCCACCCUAUGGCUAUCCCCCUAAUUUAGAAAAUAAUUUGACAGACCCCCCUGGGCAUACAUGAAGUACCUAAACUGCCCUUAGUAGCCCUUUUCCUAAACGCGGACGUUGCCAUGUAUACAUGAUCACAGCGUUUUAAAUCCAUGUGAAUGCGGAAAACGUGCGACGUAUCAGGGAACCUGAUUUUUCUUCGGGAUUUCGUGAGAUAUUCGUUAUGUUUCAAACCUUUCGAUUUUCGUAUUCGGUGUAAUUUGUGGUUCUCUGUAUCAUUCGUUUUCGAAUACGUUGACGUCAUCUCUGUAAGUGUUUUUAAAAUUUGAACACAUCAGAAUUAAUUGUCGACGAAUAUUUAUGUAUUAUGUAAAUUAUUUAUAAUUUUUGUAGAUCUUGCGUUUCUUUUUGUUUUUGUCUUUAUAUGUGUUUAUGGAGUGAUCCUGUGUUCAUGUAUUCUCUGUUUUUGUGUUUUUCAUUUGGUAGUUACAUGUAGUAAUGUUUAUCAGAUUUCGCGUAUGUAGAGUUCGUUGGCAAUGUGUAUCCAUAUGUAAGAUAUAUUUGUAAGACCAGUUAUAGUUUAGUACUAGUUUUAUAUGAUUUUGUUGGUUUUUGUGUUUGAGGUGGUGUGAAAGAGUUCAUACAGUGUGUUUGCGUUCAUGCAGGCCGAAGAAUAAAAGAAUUCCAUUUGUUCGGGAAAACAUAUCAAGGAAGAUGAAGUGUAGCAUGUGUAAUCACAUUGGCACCCACAACAAGAGACCUUGUAUUAGGAGCAUGACUUAGAAUUUUAACAUUUUUCUGAAUUUAUUUUGCUGGAUUGUUUUUUAUUGUUUGUUGACGUUUGAAAUUGAACUAAUUACAAAUUGUUGUUGGUUUUGCAUUCGUUGAUGUGUUUUCCUAUUUGUUGAUGGUGUGUCAAACUAGUUCAAUGUGUAUUGCGCGUGUGCACAACAUCACUCGGUCCACAAUUAUGUGUAGUUACGUAUAGUUGUAUGUAGUGAUAUUGUGCUGAAAAGCAUAUAAUCCGACUCUAAGUAUGAAUAGGAUGACUUGAAACGAUUACUUUGGAAAUAAGCAUCUAUAUCUACGUUAAAAUUGAAGUUUUGGGUAUGUUUUAGCUGUUUAUUCGUGUAUGAAAUUGCAUGUGUUGUAAAUAUAAACAAGUAUUUUUCUAUAUUUGUAGUUAUAGUUACAUGUAGUUAUAUUAUUGUUGUUGUCUUCAAGUCUCAGUUUAUAUGUAGGUUUAUCAGUUGCAAAUUCUCAUGAGCUAAUUGAUUGUUUCUGGGGAAAAUAUUUGGGACAAUGGGAUGAAACUUUUAAUUAUAAUAAAAGCAUAAUACAGAGAAGUGCAAUAUCUAAAGCAAAACAUUAUCGAAAAUAACAAAAUAAGUUUAAUCCCAAGAGUCUACAGAUUCCCAAUCGUGCUCGCCCGUCUCUUCAUCUUCCAGACAGUAGUCUGAAGACGAUUCAUCAGAAACACAGAACACAGAAACGGAAAAAAAAUCGAGAAAUAGUGCCAAUACCCAUUUACAGAGUUUUUUGUAAAAAGUACAUGUUUUCUUCAUAGCUUUUGCCUUUUUCACCAUUGUUCUGGUUUUCGGGGAGAAACUUUAAAACGACGGCGAAGAAACGAGUAGUUUUGUUGUCCGUCGGAGGUGAAAGACGGUGGGUUUUGAGGUCGGCGGUUUCCAUAGGCGGUGGUAGGUUGGAGACGACAAUCUUCUCUGCUGAUAUGUUGCGUGUAAUUUAGAUUUUUGGGGAAAUGCGCGGUUAUAUGGGGAUUUGAUUUUGUUGAUUUAUUUAUUUAUUCCCCAACAUAUUUAUUCCCUAACUCCAGGGGGUAUAUCAAAGGAAGAUUUUUCAUUGGGUUUAUCCCUAGUUAAUUUGCCUCUUCGGGGGUAUGUAAAAUAAGCCCAUUUUAUAAUUGAACUUAUUAAAAUUUAAAUAUAAGUUUUUUUUAUCGAUACAUCUAAAUGUAUAAUUUCUUUUACUAUUAAUAUUAAAGCCAAUGAAAUUUAAUAUUGUAAUCCGUAAAAACAUAUAAUACAAUCAAAUAAUAAAAUAGAAUUAAACAUUACUUAUUUUAUAAUGUUUAAUUAUUUUAUUAUUUGAUUAUAUUUAUAUAUAUAUAUAAUCAAAUAAUAAAAUAAUUAAACAUUAUAAAACAAAACAGAAAAAAAAACAAAAAAAGAAAAAGAAAAAGAAAAAGAGGAAAACAUACACGGAUACACGGCACACACUUCAAUGGAUGGCAAUUAAAAUAAUGAACAUGGCCCAUAUUUAUCCUCUCCGAACAUUUCUUAAUUGUAGGGAAUAAAUUAAAGAGUCCCAGCCUAGGUGAAGUAGAAGGUGAGGGAGCCAUUUAAUUCUUCUUCUUGGGAUUUUUUGCAGAGGCUAAUUUUCUUUAUUAUUUGAAAAAACUUGACGAAGGAGGAUGGUUGAGAGGUGGUUAAAGGCAGCGGCAGGUGGUGGAGGAAAUGGCGGGAAGAGGCACUACAACAAAAUGAAGAUAAUGGGACACUUGAUUAGAGACGUUUUCUUAUAAAUGUCCCAAAGAUAAAUUAUUAGGACACUUAUAAUUUGUGCUUCAAUUACUAAACAUAUAGGGACACUUAAUUAUCAAAUAAUUUAGCAUAUUUUUAUAUAAGUUAAUUUUUGAUUCUUUUUAGCCCACCUCACCUUUCACUUUCUCCAAUCGUAUCUUUUAUUUUAUUUUCUUUCACUUCUUCUCCCAAUUUUUCUAAUCUAUAAUCUAGGGUUUAUAUUGACUAAUAUUUUUCAUUUCUUUUUCUCGAUUCGACAGUAGCAGAUUUUCUUUCUCAUUGUAGAAGAUCUAAAUGGUUAAAGUUUCUUUGAAAUCGUGAAAGCGGCUAAUAGUUUUCUUGUCUGUAGUCUCAAAUCGACGGCCGAAGAUGCUUAAUGUCAUCAAUUAAUCGACGGCGGUAAGACGAGCUAGGGCAACGACGAUGAAGGAUUAAUUGAUGAGUUGGGGCACAACGAUGAAAGGUAUUUCGUUUUUUUCUUUUUGGGAGUGGUAAUAACAGACUCUAUAGAGUUUUGCGGUGAAUCAAUUCAAUAUAGAAGUGCAAUUUUAAUUGUUCAUUGUUCAAACUUGAUGAGCUAUACUUAUGAUUUUUGCAUUUGGGUUAAUGAUUUUAGUCAUGGAUUAUUCGAUUAGGUAUAUAUGCAACUGGUAAAAUUUUGGUACCGCUAAUUUACAAAAUAGUCGUUCAUAGUUAGACAUUGGACUUAAAGAUAUUAUUUGAGACUAUAUGUUUGUACAUGAUUUUGCUACUGAAUUAGGAUUUAGAAAUAUAUUAUUGGUGAAUGUCUCUUAUCUGCUAGUUGUAUAUUUAUUUUGACUAUGCAGUUUAUCGUUGACUGUGAAAUGAGACGAACUUAUAUAGAAGAUUGUGCUAAGAAGUAUACAUAAUUGAUUGUAAUGGUAGCUAUGCAUUUAUACGUGUUAAUUAAAAUAUUGCUUUUACUGCUGAAACUAUAUUUUGGAAUUAGAUUUCUAUUGCAGAUUCUUCAUCCUGAGCCCGCUUCACUAUUGAUGUUUCACCCGGAAUCACAGAUUGGCUCUCUCCUGAGGUGUCCCCCAAGAUAUCUGAUAUCAAUUAUCCAUUGAACAGGUGAAGAAGUUAUAUUAACUUUGUACAAAUGUUAAGUACAAUUUACAUUCUUAGAGGUGAUAGAAUGAUUUAGUCUCUCAUAGAAUUUUUGUUGUUUUAAUUUUUAUAAUAGGUUACUUGUCUUUGUUGCAUCUGUUGUUACUGCCCACAGGUUUGCACAUUAACUUGAUAUUUUUUUUGGUUAUAUAUAAUUCAAAAUGGCACUCUAUCGAUGCAUGUCUUGUGAUGUUCUAGUUUUUUAUUAGAUAUGAUAUAUACAGGUUAGUUGAUAUUUUUGUUUCCAUAUCCAGUUAUUUAUGUCUUUUAGACAAAUAACUGUCACUCUGCCUACUGGAAUAUCUAUCGAAGUGAUAGUGAGCUUCUUUGUUCAAUUUACCUAGUCGAAUUUAGAUUUGGAAAUGUUGUUAUCUCGUUAUUGUUUUGAUAUGACAUCUAACCUAUGUAGAUACAUUGGCUCGUGAAGUAAUUUUAUAUUGUCUUUUGUGCAGAUCACAAGAUAAGACUCAAAAUUGCUUAAUUGGGCAGUAGUUUAUGCUUUGUCAGACAUGAGUUUAUCAAAGGUGAGUUUUUUAUAUUACACUAGACAUUUAACUGUUUUAUUAGGUAUUCUCGGUUAGUUACUAUUAACUUAAGAGAAUUUCUUUAGAGAUCUUCCAAUCUCUGAGCAAGUUAUAUUAUAUACGUUCUAUUUUUGAUCUUUGUGAUUAUUGUAACAGGCUGAUUUCAAAAAAUGAUCAUGGAGAAAAGCUUAACUCACACAAGAGAAAGAGCAAAACCUCCAAAGGAUAAAAGCAACUUGCCAAUAUGCGAUUUAGUCAUAGGACUCUUGUAUGUUUUGUCUAUUUGUCACUGAAUACUAGUUGACCAUUUGUUGGCAACUCAUGAAAAUACAUUGAAUUAAUUGUGGAUUUUAAUAAAUGGAUUACUUUUGAUUUUAUUUCAUAUUCUUUUGUACCUUUAUUAUAUACUGUACUUCUAGUAGAUUACAUGCUUUGAUAACGCAGCUGAAAUAUUAGAAAUUAUCGUAUUUUUUUUUUGAGUAAGAAAUUAUCGUAUUAAUUGUAUUUGAUAACAUUUGUAAUACAUAUAAGUGUCUCUAAACAGGUUAUAUUACUCUUUUAAAGUCUGUUAUAGGACAUUUAGUUUUGUCUCAACUAUAUGUAGUGAUAAUUUUGAAUGUCCCAAUAUAUUCGUUAUGUGACACUUAUAUUUGUCUCCAAAUCAAAUAAGGAUGUCUAUAAUUGUCCCGAUACAAUAUAUUUCGGGACACUUAAUUUUGUCUCCAACUCUAUCGAGAUAUUUAUAAAUUGUCCCGAUAAAACACUAUAUUGAGACACUUUAAGUGUCCCUAACUUUAUAGGACACUCAAACAUGCGACACUUGCAACAAUUGUCUCUAAAAGUCCAAGUGUCCCAAUACAUGUCUUAUUGGGACACUUAUCCAUGCCCUAAAAGGGAGUUUUUGUUGUAGUGAGGGUGAUAAGAGGUAAGGAUGGGGUGGAAGGAGUUUUGGUCCAGCUCAUUUGCGGGUCCCAAGUAGACGUCACAUGAGAUGCACAUGAGGUUUCCGUCAAAGUUAACAAAAAAAUUAGACAGCCGAAAUAAAAUUGUCAUAAAGUUGUAAGUUUUUAGGAUUAAAUUCGUGCCGGCAAAUGUUGAGAUCGAAAAUCCUUUUAGGUGAUAAGUAUAAGGACAAAAAGUGUAAUUAUCCCGUCAAAAGUAACAUCAUAUAAGGAUAAUGUAAGACCUUACCUCGAGGGUAAUUUACAUAAAAAAUACUAUUAUUACAAUAUUCAGUCAAAUUAGGUAAACUAUCGGUUAUAUUAUGAAAACAUCGGUCAUAUUAUGCAAAAAAUCCAACUAUAUUAUUCAAAACUUCAGAACUUCAGAUUCAGAUCGUGGAAAAUGAAGUCAGAUUCAGCAAAAAAUAUGUCCGAUCGUUGUUCAAUAUUAUGUUAGUUAAUAGCAUUUUUCCAGUUUUUUUUUUUUUUUUUUUUGAGAAAAAGAUGGCUAUAUUAGGCACACAUGGCCAGAUGUGAAGGGAGAAUAUACCCUUCUAGAGUAUCUGAAACAGAAAAAGCAGCCAAAGCAUGAGCAAGAUGAUUACCCUGUCUCUUUACAAAGGAAAAGGAACACGAUGAUAAAGAAUUAACGAGAAUUAAACAAUUAUCUAAAAUGGCCCCAAAGGAGUGGAGCGAAUGGUCACCCUUACGCAAAGCUUCCAUUAUUUGAAGGCAAUCUCCUUCAAUGAUGAUAUCCUCCCACUGCCAAGAGAUAGCCAAUAAGAUGGCUUGGCGCACCGCUUCGGCUUCACCUUCAACUGGGCGAACACGGCCGGCAAUCUUCCUUACUUUCCACCAGACACAAUCACCAUUAGCAUCUCUAACCACGACAGCGGUAUUGAAGAAAUCUGCACUAGGCGGAAAUGAGGCAUCCACAUUAAGUUUUAGAACUCCUAACGGCGGCGGCUUCCAGGCGGUCAGGUGCGCGAUCGUCUUGACUGUUACAUGCGCGAAUCGGGCAUCUUGAAAGGUCGCCAAAUAAGAGCUACACCAAACCACAAUAUCGUCCAGCUUAAUCGUAUCCUUGCCAUGCAAAAUACAAUUCCGACGGUCCCAUAUUUUCCAACACAAUAUUACAGCAAGAAGAAAUAAUUCAUCAACCAAAGAUUUAGAGAGAAGAUCAAACCAAGCCCAGAAAGACAUUUCCUCGCCCAUGUGUCGAAUUUUGAAAGGACCUUUCAUCCACAGCUCCUUCAGCCCAUUACACCCGUAGAUAGCGUGAGCCGUUGUCUCGGGAUAUUGACCACAAAUUGGGCACAUCGGGUCUAAAAUGAUUUUUCGUCUGAACAACUCCACCUUACAUGGGAUAAUCUCCGAGCAUGCUCGCCACACAAAAACACGGAUCUUUGGUGGAACCUGUAAAUGCCAGAUUCUUUUCCAAUUUUGACUAGGAGUGCCACUAGGUUCCCCAUAGUGGUCACUUGAGAAAGAAUAGCGACUGAGUCGUUCCAUAAUAAGGUGGUAGCAAGUUUUAACUGUAAAUUGCCCCGUAGUUGACGGGCCCCAAAUCAGGCGGUCCCGAGUAGAAGGGCCCCCAAUCGGAACCGCAAGAAUACGUGCCUUGUCCACCGGCCAGAAGAGAUUGCUUAUCACAUCCACAUUCCAGAGACUUGUAGACGGGUCGAUGAGGUCCGAAACGGAAUUAGGGAAAACGGAGUGGACUGGUCUCGGAGUGAAGAUUCUUGGAUUAUCGUCUUUAGAAAUCCAGGGAUCCCACCAAAUAGAGGUAGAGGAUCCGUCGCCAAUUCGAACCCGAAUUCCUUCUCGGAGGUAUGUACGAGAUGCAAGGAUACUACGCCACGUCGCCGAGGGACGGUUGCCAGUCGUUGCCGACCAUAGAUCAUUUGUAGGAUAAUACCGCGCUUGGAGAAUGCGGGUGAGAAGAAGCUCGGGUUUCGUAGCAAUUCUCCAAGUUUGCUUUGCAACAAGAGCCAAAUUAAAGGCUCGAAGAUUACGAAAGCCCAAACCCGAGAAGAAGCUCGGGUUUCGUAGCAUUUUUCCAGUUAUACUUUGCUUGUUUUUGCACUUUGUCAACUUAACAAAAAAAUAUUGCACGGGCACACCCAACCCGUUAUAAUUACUUACUUAACCACCUAGGGCGAAUAUUCAGACGAAUCUUCACAAAUUACGGCGCACGGGCAAAACACAUAACAAUGUAAAUUGAACUUAAUUUGAAAUUUGCCUAAAUUCGAAAUUAAUUAAAAUAAAGCAUUAUUGGAUCUUUUUCUUCCAUUGGAGUUUCUCCCCCAAUAAUUCAAAGAAGAUAAAAUUAUGGUCGGUUGUAAUUACCAGUGCCAAGAAUCAGUUUAGCAGCACACACAAACACUUGUCCACGUCCGUCUCUGCAGUAAAAAAAAGAAAAAAUAAAAAAAUAAAAAUAAAAAAAACUCUUCACAUUCAAUUCAAAAGACACAACAUGCACCUCGAAGAAAAGUUUUUCUUUUUUAUUUAUUUAUUUCGUUCGCAAGUACUUUGUUCGUUGUAAUUGUGAUCCGGUUCUUUUUUCUUGAUCCUUAAUUUGUUUGCCAAAAAGAGAAAUUUGAGUCGAGCGUCCUAUUUUUUGUAACUUGCUUUGUUAUUCAUUCAUGUUUUAGAUUUCUGAUCUUUUUUCACUUUCUGCAUAUUUUGACCAAAUGAGAUUUGCCACAUGUAUAAACCACCAAAUAAAGUUAAGAUAAUAAGCUAAAGCAAACUAUUAUUAGAAUACGUUCCUUUACAAUUUGCAUAAAGUUGUAAGGAACUUUUGGGGCUAUUGAUACGAUCCAGAGAUGCUCCAGGACGAAGAAUUGGAAGACGCGAAAGCGUACGAGUUUAAAGACAUUAUUCGAGCUGUCCUUGGAGAGUAAAGGGUUGAAUAAGACCAUUGAAGAGUCCGUGGUUUGGAAUUGGAAGAAAAGAAAGAGAAGAAGUCGUUGGACAAGUCGAAUUCCAUGCAUCCGAGAUUCUCGCUUAUUCUGGCAGAGUUUACCAUUUGAGUUAUAACUCUCGCAUCUGAAGUCCAUUUAAGCUGAUUCAAAAUGGUUCGGAAAGCUAACUGAAAUAUCUACAACUUUGAUGUUUUGAGCGAAGAUAUAUUCGAAGUGGAACAGUGUCGAAAUUGAGCUUUAAUUGCAUGCACGUGCACAGCCCAAUGUCGCGAGUUAAGAAGGGUGAUCGAGAAGUCGACUUGAAGAUCAAGUUAUUAAAUUUAUUUAUGCACGUUUUUAAUUUAGUAUUUAUUAUGUUUUUAUUAGUUUAGAGUCUUUUAUGGUUAGGAUUUGCUUAUUUACAUGUUUCCUUAUUAUAGUUUAGGUAGGAGUCCUUUUCCUUGUGAAAAAGGAGUCUUUUUAGCAUUUAUUAAUAGGUUGCCAAUUUGGCUUAUUUUAUAGGACGAAUUUUAAUGAUUUAAUUGAGAAUAUUCUCUUUGGUUCUUUAAGAACUCUUCGAACAUAUCGGUGGAUUCCGUUUGUUCACCUCGACUUAUCAAUCGAUCUUUCGCAAUCGAUUGUGGCGUCUUCACAUACCAAGGUUCUUGUCUCUUUAUAGGCAACGGGUCGCGGUUCCACCCCUUUGAAUCUUUGUUUUUGGAUGUUUUCGAUCUUGCUUCCGCCUAAGGUAUUAGGGUCUCAUAACAAGUUCUACGGGGUUCGUAUCAGGGCUAUGAUCUUAGUUUGCUUGUGAUUUGGUCUUCGUUUUAUGUUUUCUCAUACUUUCUUGGUUUGUAACAUUUCUUGUUUUCGGGAUUUUUUCAUACGGUAUUGUCCAAAUUUCGAGGAAGAUGGUACGGUUAUCGAUGGGAGAGUUGGACAAACCGAGUAAGAGAGAAGAGGAGAUUGACUAUGACUUUAAUUUUUUUGUAAUUGGAGAGGUGAAAAAACCCACUGAAAUUAAUUGAUAUAAAGGUAUGGGUUUUCUUUGAAUUAAUUAAUGGGGAGAAACUCCCAUGGAAGAAGGAAGAAGACCCAAAACUUUGUUUUAGUUAAUUUCGUAUUUUAACAAGGUUCAAAUUAAAUUCAAUUGAGUCCUUGAAACAUUCAAUUUCAUCCCAUGUGAUAUUUUUAGGUGAAAAGAUGAAAAAACACAUUUAUUUUAUCACGUGUUUCAUGCUUGCGCCUGUAUUUGUGAAGAUUCGCCAUAAUAAUUGCCCAAAGUGGUUAAGUGAGUCAAAAUAACGAAGUUGAGUGUGCUUGUUCAUUUUUAUUUAAUUAAGGUGGCAAAGUGCAAAAUCAUGUAAAGAAAAGGUGGCAAAAUGCUAUAAAAUCUAAAAUUUUCAUCCAAUUAUGCUUUCACAAAUCCAAGUUCGUUUUGAAAGCAACAACUAGAGCUACAACGUCUUCCAUGUUUGGCGUACUCGAUGAUACAAAGUUUAUGGUACUUACAGUUACAUAGUAUGCUCAAAAUUGUGCAUGGAUUACGAAUUGCGCUACUUACAUAGUUACGUAUUUCUACCAUAGCUACCUCGUCUAAAGUCCAAGUGCCUUGAUACAAAAUGUAUUCAAAAGCCAAAACAAUAGACCUACAAGAAAUGAAUCAGUAAGGAUUUGGGUUUGCGUCUUUCAUAAUUUAAAUUGCAACUCAACGAAAAUUGAAAAAAUGCAGGUGUACUUUUGUAAAAGAGAUGAGGGAACUCAAAUUUCAUUCAUAAGAUCGUAAGUUAAUACACAAUAAUAUUAUUCAUGAAUAUCGCUCAAAUCAUAAAUAAAUAAAAACAUUCACGAAUCAAAUAUUUUAAUUUCCGAUUCUUGCAAGACAAUGACAUGUCCAGUAGGGCUCCAGGGGAGGGUUCGGAGAACGGCAAUAUCCUCCGGGGCAAGGAUAGGACCCACAUGACACUUUGCUACACGCAAAACUACAAACUUCUCCAAGGCAUGGUUCCAUUUUGAAACUUGGUUCACCAUUACAACUUAUACUACACAUUAUUGAAACCAAACCAUAAACAAGAAAAAUAAUUAUUAGUACUUGCUUCCUCAUUGCUUCCAUUUAGUAGAGAGUGUUCAAUAUUAUAAACUGUCAUAAUUGUGCCCUUUUAUAGAUAGAAAAUAUGUAAUGUUCAAUAAUACUGUAAUUACAUGAUACAAAGAUAAAAAGUCAGGUAUGGAUUACUUGAAUUACAUGAAAAAACCAUAAUUCAAACAAAGAUGUAUGCAAUAAUAUAAAUUUUCUCUUAAUAUAAAUAUAAAUUACAAAAUCAACGACAAAAGUAAUAAUUAAGUAUAAAUUACUGUAAUAAAAAUUGACUAAAUAUUUUUAUAAAUUUGAGUUGACUAUUGUAUUGUAAGGGACUCUUUGAGUUUUGUGCCAUUUCUCAAUAAAGAAGGGUCCAACCAUAUUUUUAGCAAUAAGCAUACAUUGAACCCUUAUUUUGUUUAAAAUUUACCCUCUCCUAUCUUACUCACUGCUUGAUGUUUUUUUUCUUUUUGUGUUUUCUAAUUUUAUUUUUGUUUAUAUAUAUUCUAAAUAACUUACAAAAUUACCAUAAUAAACUAGAAUUUUAUUUUUAUGUUUUGGGUUUUUUUUCUUCUAAAAUCAACUAUAAAAAAUUACCGUAAAUAACCACAAAAAAAUGGUAUUCAACCACAAGUUUACAAAAUAAAAAUCAACUAUAAAUUAUCGAAAUCGACUACAAAAUAUCAAAAAGUUAUCUAAUUCAACUACAUGUUAAUGAAAUAAACUAAAAAUAAAAAAGAAAACACCCAAAUCAUGACUUGUCAAACUAAUGAGCGAAAAGUAAUUUGACUCGUGCGAUGCACGGGGUGGAUAAAAAUUAAUUUUGAAUAAAAUUUAAUUUAAUAAGUUGAUGUGUUCAAGAGAAUAUCAAAUGAAGCAGCAUCUUUAAAUAUAUUAAUAAUUCUUUAAAUAUAUUAAUAAUUUUAUUAGUGCGACAUAUACUUACUAUUAAGCAAGUUAAAUUCAAUAAUAUUUCAUAUUCAGUAACUUGCAAAGCCAACUCAAUUUUCCCCUUUACGAAUUGUUUUACGCCCGAAAACAAUAUAUAAAAAAAAAGGAUAUACAUGUCAUGCUAGUUUUCAAAGAACUGAGUAGUUAGUAAUGGGAAUAAAUUGUUGACGUUUAUUACACCUUUUAAUAAUAAAGAAAAAUAACAUAAUUUUCCAUCAUAAAUAUCAUUACGAGUAAUUGUAAAAAUAGAGCCAAUAAUUGUGAAACAAAUUAAAAAAAUUGCUUACCAGUAUUGACACAAAAACCUAGUUCUAAGAUCUCUAUUACGUUUUUCUCUAAGGAUUUCAAGCAAUAAAGCAACAAAAUACAUGAUUUGCAUGCGUAUCAAAAAUAAAAAAAUAAAGGGAACAAAUGUACGAUUUCCAAAUCUGUCAAACAUAUUUAAACUCUUUUAUACUAGUCCUGCAAAUUUUCAGGAAAUCUACUAAUAUAAAGGAUGCAUGCAGAAUUUGAAAAUCACUUAAUCUAGGAUAACUAAAAUAUAUGAAAUCUCCUAGUUUUCGAAAAAUAUGCUAAUUUUUAGCAUAAAAUGGUUUCAAAAAAUGAAUUUAAUUAAUAAAAUGUAGCGACAUAAAAUGAAAAUCCGUUACUCUAAUGCUAAUAUAAUACUAAUAUUAAUUAUAAUAUAUUAAUGCUAAUCCUAAUAUACUAAUGCUACUAAUGUGAAUACUAAUGUUUUUAUUAAUAUUAAUGAUACUCCUAAUUUUAUAAUUAAAAGUUAGUAUUAGUAUUAUGUUAGUGUUAGUAUUAGUGUUAGUGUUAGUUUUAGUGUUAACGUUAGUGUUAGUAUUAAUAUUAGUAUGUUGUUAUAUUAAUAAUUUAAUGUAAGAAAUUUAAAAUAGUUUUAACUUUUAUUUAUUUAAUAGACUAUUGAUAAUAUAAAGUUAUUUUUUACAAUUAAUAAAAUUCAUUAAAUAGAAAUUGAUAAAAUUUAAUUAUUAAUAUUAAUAUUUUAAAUACAUAAUAGUAAAAUUUAAUUUUGGUUUUAGUAUAAUUGAUGUAUAAUAAGUUUUAAACUUUUGGUAUAAUUAAAUUAAAUACAAAUAUAGUAAUUAAUAUUUGAUAUAAUUUUAAAAAUACUUUAUUAUAACAAAUGACCACAAAGUACAAGAGUGUACAAAUUUUAAUAUUUUAUUGGUUUGCUGUAUUUUAUAUUGACAUGUUAAAUAUGAGAAGCCAAACAUAUGAUAAUAUUUUAUUGGCUUAAUAGAAUUAUAUGUUUGCUCAUGAAGAUUGUUAAAAGAAUGUAAAUGAUCAUUUACACAUAUCUCGACAAUCCUUUUGUUUUUAUCUUUAAAGUACUUAAUUCCUAAAUUCAGUGACGAGGCUGGCUAAAAUUUGGCAUUUCUCAACAAAUAAAUAAUAAAAAUAAAAUAUAAAAUAAAAAAAUAAAAAAUAAAAGAAUUUGUUUACUAAUACCUUACCUUAACAUGUGUGUUGUCAGUUGUGUGAUUGUAUCAUAUAUCUGACAAACUAUUAUUGUCCACUCAAAUUUGCCCUUUAAGAUGACAAAUUUGUUAGGUUUAUAUCCAUAAUUGUUGAGUGACAAUUUAUUAUAUGUGUAUAAAUUCAACUAAUAAGAUUCAAUUUUUAGUAAAUUUAUUAUUUUUUAUGCGUGAAAAAUACCUCUACUGAUUUAAGCAAAAAUAAAUUCUGAAAAUAAUAUCCCUUAUUUUUCUUCCCCUUUCAUUUGACCCAUCUGUUACCAAAUCAGAUAACGGUUCCGAAAAAUCUCAAAUCCCAAAUUCUACAGCCCCGGAAAAUCAAUUCCAUUAAUACCAAACCCUAAACAAAAAUUACAUCGGGCAUGCCAUAUUUUGAGUCUUCCAAGCGUUUGCAAUUUAAAAACUUCUGUUUGUUAUAUGAUUUGUGGAACAAGUUUACCAUUUUUUAUUUGCUAUUUGGAGAUCGAUUGAUGUUUGAAGGCAUCGCCUGUUGUUUAUUGUUUGUUGUUUGCGAUUUCUACAAUGGUUCAGACACGAUUUAAUCUUGGUAAUCAACACCCCUAGCGGCUGACCGACGACGGUCAAACUUAGAGUCAAAAUUGUAGUAGAGGUCAAAAUUGAAUGAUUGACAAAAUUAAAUAUGAAAUUAGAAUAUACUAAAAUGCAAUGGGGGUAUUUUAAUUUUUUAAACAGACCUAAACUCAUUUGUACUAUCUUCCCUUAAGAUGUGUGCAUCAAUGAUAUAUCUGACACUAAACAAAGUAUCAAACUAUUGUCCACACAAAUUUCUUCUUCAAGAUGACAGUUUGUCUUACGUUUAUUAUAUCCGUAAUCAUCGUCAUCUCAAACGUCAUACUUUCUAAACCCUAUCUAGGUUUACAAAUUAAACUUGACUUUUAUGCUUACUACUCCAUGAAAUUAAUCCAACUAAAAAAAAUUACUAACCACAAACUUCCACAAUUCCUUUCUAUAUAUAGCAAUUAGCAUAGUGAUUCUCCAAUCCUCAUCUCUCUCAGUCUCUCUCUUUCUUUCUCUCACACACACUCGCACGUAAAUUCACACACACACACACAACACAACUAUGGGCAUCAACCCAUCCCUUCAGUUCCGGCACGUGCUGUUAGUAACAUUUCCGGCACAAGGCCACAUCAACCCAUCCCUUCAGUUCGCCAAGAGGCUGACCACCAUGGGCAUCCCUUCAUCAUAUAGAUUAAAAAUUUACAAGCUUAAAAUUGUCAUGGGACUUAUCAAAAAUUUACAAGCUUAAAAUUUAACGAUAGUUAACUGAUUACCAUUGCCAAGAACCAAAAAUCAUGUUAUCGCUUCAAGCAUUCAAUAUUUGUAAUCUAAAAAUAUAGAAAAUUUAUACUUACAUAGUAAUAUUAGACUCCAAAGACUCACCGAAUUUCUCUACUCUCGAAUAAUUGAGCUAUUGGGAUCAUUGAGACUUUUUGGCUUUCAAUUGUUGGGCUCUUUGGUGCAAGGUAGAAAAUAUGGCUAUAUAAGUUGCUUUUUUUUUCUUCUUAAAUCGAGGUGUUUUCGCCGAGAUUUGAAAAUUUGACUUUUUGGAAUAGCUUAUUGACCUCUGAUGACUUAUUAUCUUACUCGAUUAUCAAGAGUUCAAACGUCUCCACUUUUGCUCUUGAGGUAUGGUUCCAGUUUUUAUUCAAAUAUUUGCGCAUGUCCUCCUUUUCCCUUCUAGUUCUCUUCUUCUUCGUUCUUUUUCCGAGAAAAAAGAAAAACGUAACAAAUUUUCCAACAAAACUCCAAGGGAUUUUUUUCAAGAAUCUCCAUCUACUCUACCUUGCACGCAUUGGCUAAAAGAAAGAACUCUUUUUUCUUUGAGGCCCAAAUCAAGGUUCUAAGGAUAAUUUCGAUAAAAAGAUCGGCUUGAAAGGCUUAGAUGGUUCAAAUAAGGCACAAAUCAUAUCCCAAAUCAUUCAACGGCUCAAUACUUCACUUUGCAAAUUCCUAAGGUGAGUUCUAAAAACAAACAUCAUAUGAUAUUUCAUAAAUUAACUCCACGUUUGAAAAACAAAAUUUUCAACAAAAGCAACACAUAAUUCAUGAUUCUCAAUAAUGACUCACUCCGAAAUUACUUUGAAUCGAAAGCUCGCCAAAAUUCAAGUACUACAACAAAGCAAGUAAUAUCAUCAUCAAACAUUGGCCAUAUUUCUUCAUUAUAAUUCAUCUAUGCAUUCAACUCAAACAUUUUUUUAAAGAAAACAAUAAAUAUAUGAAAACGACUAAAAAGAAAAAAAAAUCCUAAAGCAUGCAAUCUAAAACAUAUAAAGCACAUAAAAAGUGUUUUUCCACCCCCAUACUUAAAGUUUUGCAUUAUCUUGAAUGUAAUUAAAACGAAGUUUAAGGAUAGAAUACACCUUGAUUAGUCGGAACGUCCUCCACGCGUUGCACUCCUCCAUCUCUUCAUCUUUCAAGCAAACUUUUUUUUUUUCAAUUUUUCGAAAAACAAAUAAAUAAAAAAUUAUCUAGGGGUGUUCCGGACGGCCGUCUCACCUUUUGCACUGUUGUAAAGAUGACCGUCUCAAUUUCCGAACAUUCACAACUUGUCGUAACUUCUUCGUACGACCGUCUGGAGUUUUGGCUUGAUUUUCGGACGACCGUCUGGGCUUUAUGUGUCCGUUUUUUGACCUUAAAAUUCAAACGUGAUUAAAUUAUUAGAUUGCAAGUUUAUAUAUAUUCUAGGAAAAUAAAAUAAAAAAUAAAAAAUAAAAAAAAAACACACUAAAAAAAUAUGAGAAAAAAAAACGAAAAAAACAAUAAAUGCUCGGGUUGCCUCCCGGGAAACGCUAAAUUUUAAGUCUUUUUUGCUUCUUAAAAUUAUUAUCCAAAUCCUUGUAAAUUGUGCAUCCAUUAAUGGGCUCUACAACUUCAAUUGCAACCAAGGCAUGGAUAGCAUUGCAAUAUGUCACAGGGUCCACCUUAGCUUGUAGUCUUUUUUUUUUGUUGUAAUCAAUCGGUACGAAGCCAAGAUGGGAUGUUCAUCAGUCGCUCCAUCAAAUCGGUACACAAAAACCUCAAGUCUGCGUAUAACAUCCACCUCAAAAGCAUUCGCCUUCUCAUCAACCACUAUUGAUGCCUUCAAAACCACAUCAGGUACAACGAUAAGAUCUUCAAUUUGAAUAUUUGCAAUAACCACACCCAUCUCCUUCUUCUCUUGUUCCGAGACAUCUAUGGAGUUUAGCUCGAUUGCUUUCUCAGAUUCAUCAUCUUUAGGCGUCUUCAUAAUUUAUUUUUCCCUCUCAUCGACACUAUUUUCUAAGUCUGAAGAAUUUUUCUCACUACAAGUUUCAGACGAAUUUUCUUUGUUGCAACCAUUCUCGAUAUCGUCUGGAAUAUUUUCAUGACACCUCUGGAACUUGAUCUCUUCCAACUGUAUCUCCAAUCUUUGGGUAGAUGCUUGAGUGGAUUUCCUAAAAUCUUCAAGGAUGGAUUUCAAAUAACACUCCUCAAUAGUGGGAUCUCGUGGCCUUGCAUAUUAGGUUUGAAAGUCAUCAAAUUGCGGCUCCCGAUGUUGAAAAUCAUUGAAAGCUUGGCUGGGAACACUAUGUUCGUACGUGUUGGUGUAUGUGUUCCAAUAACCUAUGUUGGUAUUAUCGAAGAAAUUAUUCGCUUUCGGUGAUUCCCAACAUUGGUUAGUGUAAUGAUUUCUAACACAUGUGGAACAAAAUAGCGGCAUAUCAUAGGUGUUUUGGAGGUAUUCGCCAGAUGGAAGCAAUUCAUAUCCCGUUUGAGGUGCGCGAAAACUGUAACCUGACAUGUAACAAAAGAAGAAUAAUAAAUAAAUAAAUAAAUAAAUAAAACAAAAAAAAUUAAAAUUAAAAUUAAUUUCGGUGAAUCGAGAGAGUUGUUUGAAUCUAGAGUCAAAAUAAAUAGACAAUGUAUUAUAUGGUUUCGUCAUCUGGAUGAUUUCCUUAAGAUGAAUUUGAAUACAUUAAAUCAUCUAGUUCUUCAUCUUCAUCCUCCUCUUCAGAGGAGGCUCUUCGGAGAAAGAAACUCAAGAAAUGAAUAAUUUUAUUCUUGGGAUAAUUGUAGCAUAUGAGGAACAACCGCAUCAGCGACAAUAUAUCUAUCGUGAUCGCGAAAAAAGUCAGAAACUAUUACGGAAAUAUUAUUUUUCUGAAAUUUGUACUUUCUAUUUUCUUAUUUUCACAGGCGUUUUAGGAUGCGCAGAGAGUUGUUUUUUAUAUUCAAAAUGAUCUUUAAAAUUAUAACACAUAGUUCAUCUGAAAGAGAGAUGUACGUGGUCGUCUUGGCUUAUCAUCUAUUCAAAAAAUAACUACUGCAAUUCCGGUUCUUGCUUAUGGGGCAUCUGCUUAUUUUUACAAUGAAUAUUAAAAGAUCGGGGAGGCAACUGGUAACGAAACUUUAAGAGAGUUUUGUUCAUCCAUAAUCGAACUAUAUGGAGAACAAUACUUGCGUUCACCAAAUGAACAUGAUAUUCACCGUCUUCUACAAGAAGGCGAAUCACGAGGUUUUCCAGGUAUGCUUGGAUCUUUAGAUAUUAUGCACUAGCAAUGAAAAAAUUGUCCAACUGCUUGGCAAGGCACACACAGGGGUCACCACCACAAACCAACAUUAAUUUUAGAAGUAGUUGCAUACCAUGAUACAUGGAUUUGACAUUCUUUUUUUUGGCAUGUCAGGUGGAAAUAAUGAUAUUAAUGUCUUGGAUCAUUCUCCACUUUUUGAUAAUAUGAUGCGUAAUAGAAUGUCUCCAGUUCCUUAUACGGUGAACGGUCGUUCAUAUAUGACGGGUUAAUACUUAACUGAUGGUAUUUACCCAAAAUAUGCAACUCUUACUCAAAACAUUGCUCAUCCCACCACUGCAAAAGAAAAAUUAUUUGCGGCAAAACAAUAAUAAGUUAGAAAAGAUGUGAAGCGAGCAUUUGGUGUUUUACAAAGUAGAUGAGAUAUAACGCAAGGACUCAUCCGUUAUUGGUCAAAAGAAGAUAUAUGUAACACAAAGAAACCAUGCAUUAUCCUUCAUAACCUGAUUAUAGAAGCUGAACUUGAAAUUGACAUUGAACCAUGGAUGCCACUACCAUAAGAGAAUUUUCGCCCCUCUCAAUGUGAACGAGAUCCAUCAAUUUUGGCGGCACAUAUCUCAGCACGCCUUAGUCGGAUCCACAAUCGACGAACCAAUGAAAGUUUGAGAUCUGAUCUAUUUAACCAUUUGUCGAAUAUCUACAGAGAAGAAGAUGUCUAAAUAAUCUAUUGCUUUUGAGUAUUUUUAAUUUUAUUUGUGAGUUAUUGUUCUUUUAUUUUCACUUGAAGAAUUAUAUUUUAUAAUGUAAUCGAAUUUAAUAAAAUUAAAUUACUACAAAAAUUAUUGUGACAUUUCUUUUAAUAAAAGUGAUGAAUACGAGAGACAAAUGUGGAGCAAUCAAUAGGACUUCACAUUGUUAUUCAUCUUGAACAAAAAAAGUUGUAACAUCUCUUUUACUAUUAGACAUAAAUUAAUAAUAUUUAAGAAAAAAAAGAUCAAAAUAAAUGCUUCGUGUAUUAUAUUUUAUAAUUGAAUUUAUUAACAUUUAAAUAUAACUUUUUUUAUCGAUAAAUCUAAAUGUAACAUUUCUUUUGCUAUUAAUAUUAAAACCAAUGAAAUUUAAUAUUGUAAUCCCUAAAAACAUAUAAUACAAUCAAAUAAUAAAAUAGAAUUAAACAUCACUUAACAAAAAAGAAAAUAUAUAUAUAUAUAUAUAUAUGUAUAUAUAUAUAAAAUCAAAUAAUAAAAUAAUUAAACAUUAUUAAACAAAACAGAAGAAAAAAAGAAAAAAAAAAAAGAGGAAAAGAUACACGGAUACACGGCACACACUUCAAUGGAUGACAAUUAAAAUAAUGCACAUGGCCCAUCUUUAUCCUGCCCAAACAUUUCUUAAUUGUAGGGAAUAAAUUAAAGAGUCCAAGCCUAGGUGAAGUAGAAGGUGAGGGAGCCAUUUAAUUCUUCUUGGGAUUUGCAGAGGCUAAUUUUCUUUAUUAUUUGAAAAAACUUGACGAAGGAGGAUGGUUGAGAUGUGGUCAAAAGGCAGCGGAAGGUGGUGGAGCAAAUGGCGGGGAAGAGGGUGAUAAGAGGUAAGGAUGGGGUGGAAGGAGUUUUGGUCCAGCUCAUUUGCGGGUCACAAGUGGACGUCAUGUGAAAUGCACAUGAGGUUUCCGUCAAAGUUAUCAGGAAAAUUAGACGGCCGAAACAAAAUUGUCAUAAAGUUGUAAGUUUUAGGAUUAAAUUCGUGACGGCAAAUGUUUGAGAUCGAAAAUUCUUUUAGGUGAUAAGUAUAAGGACCAAAAGUGUAACUAUCCCGUCAAAAGUAACACCAUAUGAGGAUAAUGUAAGACCUUACCUCGGGGGUAAUUUACAUAAAAAAUAAUAUUAUUGCAAUAUUCAGUCAAAUUAGGUAAACUAUCGGUUAUAUUAUGAGAACAUCGGUCAUAUUAUUCAAAAAAUCCAACUAUAUUAUUCAAAACUUCAGAUCAGAUCGUGGAAAAUGAAGUCAGAUUCAGCAACAAAUCAAUAUUAUGUUAGGUUAAUUGCAUUUGGCGACUUAUACUUUGCUUGUUUUUGCACUUUGUCACCUUAGCAAAAAAAUAUUGCACCGGCACACCCAACCCGUUAUUAUGACUUACUUAACCACCUAGGGCGAAUAUUCAGACGAAUCUUCACAAGUUACGGCGCACGCGCAAAGCACAUAACAAUGUAAAUUGAACUUAAUUUGAAAUUUGCCUAAAUUUGAAAUUAAUUAAAAUAAAUCUUUGGAUCUUUUUCUUCCAUUAGAGUUUCUCCCCCAUUAAUUCAAAGAAGAUAAUAUUAUGGUCGGUUGUAAUUACCAGUGCCAAGAAUCAGUUUAGCAGCUAACACAAAUACACGCACACACACAAACUCUUGUCCACGUCCGUCUCUGCCGUAAAACAAAAACUCUUCACAUUCAAUUCAAAAGACACAAACAUGCACCUCCACGAAAAGUUUUUUUUUUUUUCUUUUUUUUCGUUCGCAAGUACUUUGUUCGUUGGAAUUGUGAUCCGGUUCUUUUUUCUUGAUCCUUAAUUUGUUUGCCAAAAAGAGAAAUUUGAGUCGAGCGUCCUAUUUUUUGUAAUUUGUUUUGUUAUUCAUUCAUGUUUUAGAUUUCUGAUCUUUUUUCACUUUCUGCAUUUUUUGACCAAAUGGGAUUUGCCAACAUGUAUAAACCACCAAAUAAAGUUAAGAUAAUAAGCUAAAGUUGUAAGGAACUUUUGGGGAUAUGAUCUUAGUUUGCUUGUGAUUUGAUUUUCGUUUUAUGUAUUCUCUUACUUUCUUGGUUUGUAACAUUUCUUGUUUUCGGGAUUUUUUCAUACAAUAUUGUCCAAAUGUCGAGGAAGAUGGUACGAUUAUCGAUGGGAGGGUUGGACAAACCGAGUAAGAGCGAAGAGGAGAUUGACUAUGAGUCAUGACUUUAAUUUAUUUGUAAUUGGGGAGGUAAUCAAACCCACAGAAAUUAAUUGAAAUAAAGGUCUGGGUUUUCUUUUAAUUAAUUAAUGGGGGAAAACUCUCAUGGAAGAAGGAAGAAGACCCAAAACUUUGUUUUAGUUAAUUUCGUAUUUUGACAAGUUUCAAAUUAAAUUCAGUUGAGUCCUUGAAACAUUCAAUUUCAUCCCAUGUGAUAUUUUUAGGUGAAAAGACGAAAAAACCCAUUUAUUUUAUCAUAUGUUUCAUGCUUGCGCCUGUAUUUGUGAAGAUUCGCGAUAAUAUUGUUAUAGUAGGUGACCAACAAGCCAACAUGUGGCUGUGGUCUUUCGUAUUUAUUAUUGUAAUAAACGAACCUUUAUUCGUAUUAAUGAUAAAAGACCUUGGCAUUCUAUAUCUUUGUCCCUUUGUCACAAGCAUAGAUAUAGUCCUUACAGUUAUUACAAGUACUGGUAAUUGAUCGUUAGGAUCGUGAGAUAUUUACUUAAGUAUUAUAACUGUUAAACGUGUUCCUAGUCGAAGGGUUACGCCACCAAUGAGGAUAUCGGCCUUUCCCAUUAAGAGACUAGCACUUAGUGUAUGUGUACUGCAUCUGAUCAGUAAACGGUAUUGUGAUAUCGGCAUGCAUAAGUGGGUACUCGUAAGUUGGCGAGUUCACUGAACUCCCUCACCCUAGAAAUCUCUAAGUGGUUCCCAAUAAUCGAGUAGAGAUAUCUAUGGUAUAGUUGUACACCAUUAGUCCUUAUGACCUAGACAUCACCGUGACUUCACUAGAGGACCAGUUGUAUCGUGACCUGUCCCUGAGUUCCACCGAGGACCAUCCCAAGGGCCAGUGUUCGUGCAGUCCGAAAUCUAGUGGGAGGUCUGUGCAUUGUAGUCGGGGAUUCGAUCGCUAGAAAAGUCUUGGAUGUCCUGUGUGUUCUGAAAGUUUGUAAUCAUUCUAAGUCUCUGGCCAGAGCUGACUAAGUGAUGAUUAGAGAAUUCGAUUCUCUAAGUCAUGCACGUAAGGAUUACAACACUUAGAACGAUCGCACUGUCAUUGAACAAAUAAAGAGGUCUCGAUGAACCAAUGCCUCUAGUUCAAUCGGGACAUAUGAAUCGAAGGGACCGUACUGUACGUUAACUAUAUCUGAAGGUUCUUGCAGGCACUUCAUUUGUAUCUAGGGAAUCAUGACGCGUAGUUGCUAGACGCCAAUCUUGAUUCGUUGGGUGAUUAAGGUGAAAUGAGUUUCAUCUUAAUCGUAACUCUAAGGGGACGAGUUUUGACCACAAAGGGUUGUGGGCCCACGGCUAGCUUACACCUGAACCAUCGAGGGUCACACUGCUCGUGCACAUGAGAUCUUUGAAUAAACGGUCAGAGAUAAAAUAGUUUAUCUUUGAAUGAUUGGAAGUCAAUAUGAUUGGGUCCAACAUUCGUAAUUUGGAAUUAUGAAUGAGAAUAAGAAAAGGAAAAGAAUAGGCAAACGUAUUAGUGGACUUUCUAAAUCGGGAAGUUUCCAAAUUUAGAAAGUGCACUGAAUUAGGGUUUCCACUUUUGGAAAGUUGGAAUUCGAGAGUUGGCACUCGUAAUGACGAGGACAUUAUAAUGAUUCCGAAAAUGUAAUCGUUACAUUUUUCCAAUCAUUGAAUUGAGAGGGACGAGCAAGUAAAGGAACUAACGAACUUAAGCUGUUGGGCCCGGUCCAACUUAAGCCCGUUAGGGUUUUAUGCAAGACACUAUAAAUACAAGAUUUAUAGGUCCUACAAAAUACACAACACGUCCAAAAACCCUAGCCGCUCCCUCUCUCACGCUCGGCCAUCUCCCCUCGGCCACCGCGCCGUCGUCGCCGGAAAUCGCCGGAAUCGGCCAUCCAUUGGCCGAUCCUUUUGGUAUUUCUUUCCUUCGUUCUGUUCUUCCGUUUUUCUAACUAUUACGUGUCUAGUGCCACGUAUUUAGUAGAUCGAAGUAUACGAGGUGAAAUCCAAGAGGAGGAAGAUCGAAGAAUCGAAGAUGCGAGAAGGCAAUUCUGAAAAACUGCUCUCUGAUUUUCUGCGCUGUCCAGCAAGAAAAUUCGCCAUAAAUCAACCGGUGAUCGGAUGGACGUGAAAUUUUGACAGCAGCUUCAAGACUCAUAAAUAUACAAUUUUCCAGAAGGAAUUGUUCAUCCAGUAAAUAAGCAUGGAGAUAUUGAAGUCGGAGCAAGGCUGUAAUUUCAGAUCAGCAAACAGGUUGGAUCAAUAGGAGUGGGAAGAGCAGCUAGCCAUCUUCUCGAGUCGUCGUUCGAUUCAUUCUUCAAGGACAGCGCGUGAAUCACACGCGCCGCCGUAGCUCGGAUCAUCGCCGUCGAUGCAUUGCCGUUGCUGCCCCGGAUUGCACGGAUUGGUUUCCGUGGCAAUCUAGCUUUGCUUAGUGCGCCUACCUCACGCUUCAAGAGGUAAUGUUUUGAAUCUAUUGUUAUUCGAUUCGGUUACGUUUAAAUUAAUAUAUGCAUGUUCGUUUUAAUAAGAAACUUGUAUGAUUUUAUAUGACUACAUGAAAUUGGUUUUAUUAUUGCGAGCAUGAUUAUUUGAUUUAAACGCGAGCAUGCUAAUUGAUUUAAUUUUGAUUAAGUAAUUAAGCAUGUAUGUUGGUACGCAAUGUAUGUUGUUUUUAAUUUCGCUGGAAACGCAAAGGUACGCAAUUAAUUGUUUUCAAUUAUCGGGCAUGUGUUUAUGUGUUUUAAAGUUGUUUAAUUCGCAUAAAAUUUUUGUUUUCCGCUGCGUACACGUGCCCGUUACCCAACAAAUAUUUGCCCUAAGUGGUUAAGUGAGUCAAAAUAACGAAGUUCGGUGUGCCUGUUUUUUUUUUUUUUUUUUUAGUAAGGUGGCAAAGUGAAAAACCAUGUAAAGAAUAGGUGGAAAAAUGCUAUUAAACCUAAACUUUUCAUCUAAUUAUGCUUUCACAAAUCCAAGUUCCUUUUGAAAGCAAACAACUAGAGCUACAACUUUCGUGUUAGGCGUAUUCGAUGAUACAAAGUUUAUGGUACUUACAGUUACAUAGUAUGCUCAAAAUUGUGCCUGCAUUAUGAAUUGCACUAUUUACAUAGUUUCUUAUUUCUACCAUAACUAUCUCGUCUAAAGUCCAAGUGCCUUGAUACAAAAUGUAUUCAAAAGCCAAAACAAUAGACCUACAAGAAAUGAAUCAGUAAGGAUUUGGGUCUGCGUCUCUCAAAAUUUAAAUUGCAACUCAACGAAAAUUGAAAAAAUGCAGGUGUACUUUUGUAAAAGAGAUGAGGGAACACAAAUUUCAUUCAUAAGAUUGUAAGUUACAACACAAUUAUUCAUGAAUAUCGCUCAAAUUAUAAAUAAAUAAAAACAUUCACGAAUCAAAUAUAUUAAUUUCCGAUUCUUGCAAGACAAUGACAUGUCCAGUAGGGCUCCAGGGGAGGGUCCGGAGCACGGCAAUAUCCUCCGGGGCAAGGAUAGGACCCACAAGACACUUUGCUACACGCAAAAGUACAAACUUCUCCAAGGCAUGGUUCCAUUUUGAAACUUGUUCACCAUUACAAUUUGUACUACACAUUAUUGAAACCAAACCAUAAACAAGAAAAAUAAUUAUUAGUGCUUGCUUCCUCAUUGCUUCCAUUUAGCAGAGAGUGUGCAAUAUUAUAAGCUGUCAUAAUUGUGUCUUUUUAUAGGUAGAAAUAUGUAAUGUUCAAUAAUACUGCAGUUACAUGAUACACUGAUAAAAAAUUAGGUAGGGAGUACUUGAAUUACAUGAUGAAACCAUAAUUCAAACAAAGAUGUAUGCAAUAAUAUAAAUUUUCUCUUUAUAUAAAUAUAAAUUACAAAAUCAACGACAAAAGUAAUAAUUAAGUAUAAAUUACUGUAAUAAAUUGACUAGAUAUUUUUAUUAAUUUGAGUGGACUAUUAUAUUGUAAGGGACUCUCUGAGUUUUGUGCCAUUUCUCAAUGAAGAAAGGUCCACCCAUAUUUUUAGUAUUAAAGAUACAUAGAACCCCUAUUUUGUUUCAAAUUUACCCUCUCCUAUCUUACUCACUGCGUAAUGUUUUUUUUUCUUUUUGUGUUUUCUAAUUUGAAUUCUCUCUCUCUCUCUCUCUCUCUCUAUAUAUAUAUAUAUAUAUAUAUAUAUAUAUAUAUAUAUAUAUAUAUAUAUAUAUAUAUAUAUAUAUAUAUAUAUAUAUUUCACAUUUUUAUUCUUCUUCUAAAUAACUUACAAAAUUACCAUAAUAAACUAGAAUUUUAUUUUUGUGUUUUGGGUUUUUUUUUCUUCUAAAAUCAACUAUAAAAUUACCGUAAAUAACCACAAAAAAGUGGUAUUCAACCACAAGUUUACAAAAUAAAAAUCAAGUAUAAAUUAUCGAAAUCGACUACAAAAAUAUCAAAAAGUUAUCCAAUUCAACAUGUUAACGAAAUAAACUAAAAAGAAAAAACGAAAACACCCAAAUCAUGACUUGUCAAACUAAUGAGCGAAAAGUAAUUUGACUUGUGCGAUGCACGUGGCGGAUAAAAGUUAAUUUUGAUUAAGAUUCAAUUUAAUUAGUUGAUGUGUUCAAGAGAAUGUCAAAUGAAGCAACGUCUUUGGAUAUGUUAAUAAUUUUAUUAGUGCGAUAUAUACUUACUAUUAAGCAAGUUACAUACAACAAUAUCUCAUAUUCAUUAACUUACAAAGCCAACUCAAUUUUCCCCUUUAUAGAUUUUACUACACCCAAAACAAUAAAUUAGAAAAAAAAUGGAUAUACAUGUCAUGCUAGCUCUCAAAGAACUAAGUAGUUAGUAAUGGGAAACAAAUGGGUGACGCUUAUUACACCUUAUAAUAGUAAAGAAACUUAACAUAAUUUUCUAUCAUUAACAUUAUUAGGAGUAAUUGUAAAAAAUGAGCCAAUAAUUGUGAAACAAAAUAAAAAAAAAUUGCUUACCAGUAUUGACACAAAAACCUAGUUCUGAGAUCUUUAUUAAGUUUUUCUCUAAGGAUUUCAAGCAAUAAAGCAACGAAAGACAUGAUCUGCGUAUCAAGAAACAAAACAAAAAUAAAAGGAACAAAUUUACGAUUUUCGAAUCUGUCAAAUAUAUUUAAACUCUUUUGUACUAAUCCUGGAAAUUUUCAGGAAAUCUUCUAAUAUAAUGGAUGUAUGCAGAAUUUGAAAAUUAGUUGAUCUAGGAUAAUUAGAAUAUAUGAAAUCUCCUAAUUUUCGAAAAAUCAACUAAGUUUUAGUAAAAUGAAUUUAAUAAAUAAAAUGUAGCCACAUAACAUGAAAAUCCGUUACUCUAAUGCUAAUACUAAUACUAAUACUAAUACUAAUAUUAAUUAUGAUAUAUUAAUGGUAAUAUACUAAUGCUCAUCCUAAUAUACUAAUGUGAAUGCUAAUGUUAUUAUUAAUAUUAAGGCUAUUCAUAAUUUUAUAAUUAAAAGUUAGUAUUAGUAUUAGUAUUAGUGUUAGUGUUAGCAUUAAUAUUAGUAUUAGUAUGUUGAUACAUUAAUAAUUUAAUGUAACAAAUGUUAGAGUAUGUUAUAUUAUUAGAUAUUUUAGGAUAUUAGGAUUCGGCUACCUAGAUUAGUUAGGAUUUAGUUGCCUAGUCAAACUCUAUUACCUUGCAAUAUUUAUCUAUAUAUAUUCCAUGUAACUUACCCAUAACAUAAUGGGGGUUUCUAUUAUAUUACGUAUUAUUAUUUCUGUCUUUCUCCUAUUCUAUUUUUCCUAUAUGGUAUCAGAGCACCAGGUUUUUUAACCUGGUCGUCUUUCUUCUCCAUGGCGGUGACCACCCAAUUUUCUCCCUCCCCCGGUGAUGGUACUCUAAUAUCUUUUUUUUUCUAUCUUUUCCACGAACAUCACUCAAAUUUCCUCCCUCCCCGGAUGGUGUUACUCUUCUCUUUUAAGUUAUAUUAUUUCCGACAUCUUCUUCUUCUUAGUCGAUUAAUCUCUUUUCUCUCUCUUUAAUCUCUAUCAUUUUUUUAAUAAUUCUUCUUCCCCUCUCAUAUUUUCUCUUUCUCUCAAUUCAUACACACACAAAAGAAAAAAAAAACAAAAGCAAUUUUAUUUUCUCUCCACGUUAUUUUUUUUCUAUCAAUUGGGCAGAUAUUUUCAGAAUGGAAUUCUCUAGCGUUGUGUUUCGCGGUUUCUGUCCAGUCUUCACUUUUAGAGUUUAUUCAUUUCGUCUGCGGGAGCGUGUUAGCAAGUGAUUGUCCGGUCUUCACGUUCGUCACCUUUCGACUGCAGGAGCGUGUUAAAACUAUUUAGCUUUUUAUUUUAUUUUUAUUUUUUUAAUAAUAUUUUUUUAAUAAUUUAUUUUUUUAAACAAAAAAAUGAUUUUUUUUUCUCUACAGGUUUACUACGCCGAAUGUGACCAUAGUUGAAUAUGACUAUAGUCUAAUAUGACUAUAUGUGACUAUAUCAACUGUAGUCAUAUUCUUGAUUUAUAUUGCAGUUUUUUACAUUUUCAAUUUAAAAAUUCUGAUUAUAUAGUCUAGUACAAUCAUGUUUACCAAAUUAUAUAAAAAAACGAAGAUUGCCUAUUAUUUAAGAAACCAAUCCAAUCAACAUCCUUAAAAAAAAUCACAAUUUGAAUCUUGAAACGAUAAGAUAGAACAUAUUCGAAUAUGACUAGAGUUAUAUUCAACAAUAGUCAUAUUCGAAUAUGAUUAUAAUCAUGUUAUUGUUGCUGCUCAAAUCUGAAACUAUAUGUUCACAUUGCUAUAAAAAAAAUAAAGAGAAAUCGAAACAGACAGAAACAAUUACCAAACUUAAAUAUGACUAUAUAUGUGACCACAUAUGACUAUUAUGUAUAUGACUAAAAACAUAGAUUUUAGCCAUUUGGCUUGCAAGUUGCACCAUUUUCAUUAGUGCAUUUCAUAGCCACCGCCACCAUUUAUUCCGAAGUUUCCUCAUCGGAUAUGAAAUAAUGCUCAAACUGCGUCUUUUCAAAAAUAAAAUAAAAUUGACUGAUUAACAACAAUGGGAAUAUCAAAAUCAAACACAAAUGACCUCAACAAAUUUUAAAUGCAAAAUCUCUAAAAGUGAAGACUAAAAAAUGAGAAAAAAUCUCACCAAAUUGUGAUAUAUUCACAAUUUAUAUCCGAAGUUAGGGGGCAGCAAAUUCAAUCUCCUCCAUACAGUAUAUAAAAUAUAUACUCCGAAUACUCUAUCCAAAUGUCGGCCACAUCAAACAGUUCAAUUGCACGAAAAACGCGUCCAAUCUAGCUGCCCUGAAUUAUCUAGUAACAAAAACACCAGCAGCGAGUUUUAAGAUUCGAUCUAUAUUUAGAUAAGUCUGAUUCCGAUCUCCACUAGUCAUAAGUUAUAUUGAUGUGUUACGAGUCCUGUAUAAAAAUAUCAAACCGAUCCGACAGUUAGAUCUUCCGAUCUGGCCUGUGCACGAAAACUGCUGCAUCUCAAAAACUUGAUUUUUCUCCUCUUUUUUCAUCCGCUCUUCGGAAGGAGAAUCGAAACCCGGCGCCGGCGCCGUGUGCGGCUGAGUGGUCUCCAUUGGCGAGUGGUGGAGGAUUAUGGGUCUGAAGAAAAAAAAAAAAAAAGAGAGAAGUUGCGUGAGAAAGAAAGAGAAUGAAAGAGAGAUAUAUGGAGAGUUUCGUCUUAUCACAAUUGUUGAGGGGUGUUUCACUAAUUAAGAUUGGACUUUGGAUGUGGACAAUAGUUUUAAAAGUCAAAUGAGUUUAACUCAUAAUAUUUAUGGUUUGAGGGGGGUUUUGCAUAUUUCUCCAUUAAUUUAAUAGUAAUUGAUAAAAUUUAAUUAUUAAUAUUAAUAUUUUAAAUACAUAGUAGUAAAAUAUAAUUUUUGCUGUUAGUAUAACUGUAAUUUACAUUGACAUAUCAAAUAUGAGUAGCAAAACAUAUGAUAAUAAUAAAUAGUAAAUAAAAAAUAAAAAAUUUUGUAUUUCUGAACAAAUAAAUAAUAAAUAGUAAAUAAAAAAUAAAAAAUAUUAAAUAAUAAAAAUAUAAAUAAUGAAUAAUGAAUAAUAAAUAAUAAAUAAAAAAUAAAAAAUAAAAAAUAAAAAAUAUAAAAUAUAAAAUAUAAAAUAUAAGAGUUAGUAUACGAAUAUCCUACCUUGACAUGUGUGCUAUGAGGUGUGCGUUGCAUCUAUCAUAUAUCUGACACACUAAACAAAGUACCAAACUAUUGUCCCACUCAAAUUUGUCUUACGUUUAUUAUAUCCGUAAUGGUCGUCAUCUCAAACGUCAUACUUUCUAAACCCUAUCUAUGUACACAAAUUAAACUUGACUUUUAAAUUGAAAUUAAUCCAACUAAAAAAAAGUUACUAGAAUCAGCGCCAAUCUCAACCACACACUUCCACAAUUCCUUUCUAUAUAUAGCAAUUAGCAUCUCUCUCUCUCUCACACACAAAGCACCCACUAGAAUCAGCGCCAAUCUCUCUCUUUCUUUCUCUCACACACACACACACACGUAAAUUCACACACACAAUUACAUAUGGAGCAGCAGCGGCACGUGCUGUUAGUUACAUUUCCGGUACAAGGCCACAUCAACCCAUCCCUUCAGUUCGCCAAGAGGCUGACCGCCAUGGGCAUCAAGGUCACCUUCGCCACCAGCCUCUACGCACGGCGGCGCAUGUCCAGAACCGCCGCCGGACUGCCCAAGGGUGUCACCUUCGCCGCCUUCUCCGACGGGUACGACGAUGGGUUCAAUCCCGGAAACGACGAUGCCGGAAAGUACAUGACGGAGAUAAGAAGCAGAGGCUCCCAAAGCCUGAGAGACACCAUCCUCGCCGCCGCCGAGCAGGGCUGCCCCGUUACCCAACUGGUGUACACCCUCCUCCUCCCGUGGGCACCAGAGGUGGCGCGUGAGUUCCACGUCCCGAGCGCCCUCCUCUGGAUCCAACCCGCCACCGUCCUCAAUAUAUACUACUACUACUUCAACGGCUACAGAGAUGAAAUUGCAGCAAACUCGAACGACGCCACGUGGCAAAUCCAAUUCCCGGGAAUUCCCGCCCUUAAUUUUUCCAAACGAGACCUUCCGUCGUUCAUACUUCCGUCGAGCUCCGACAAGCACAGCGUCGAACUUCCGAGUUUUAAGGAGCAGCUCGAAACACUAGACGCCGAGAAAACAAAACCCAAAGUGCUGGUCAACACCUUCGAGGCACUGGAGCCCCACGCGCUCAAAUCCAUCGACAACUACGAGCUAAUCGGAGUGGGGCCGUUGAUUCCUUCCGCCCCUUCAGACAAGUCAUUCCGCGGCGAUCUUUUCGAAAAAUCCGAUGACAACAGCGUAGAAUUAUGGCUCAACGCCAAGCCGGAAUCGUCGGUUGUUUACGUGUCUUUCGGCAGCAUUCUCAAGCUACCGAAAGCACAAAUGGAGGAGAUAGCGAAAGGGCUUUUAGAAUCCGAUAGGCCAUUUCUAUGGGUUAUACGAAUAAACGAGGAUAACAAGAAUGAAGAGGAGGAGGAGAAGUUGAGUUGUUUAGAUGAACUCGAAAAGAUAGGAAAGUUUGUACCUUGGUGUUCGCAGCUCGAGGUACUGACGCACGCUUCGGUUGGUUGCUUCGUGUCGCACUGCGGGUGGAAUUCGACUCUGGAGAGCUUGUCUAGCGGAGUUCCGGUGGUGGCUUUCCCUCAGUGGACCGAUCAAGGGACGAACGCGAAGUUGAUAGAAGAUGUGUGGAAGAGUGGGGUUAGAGUGAGAGGAGUUGGUGGAGAUGGGGUGGUCGAGAGUGGUGAGAUAAAGAGGUGCAUUGAGGAAGUGAUGGAUGGUGGGAAAAGGAGUCGGGAGUUGAGAGCGAAUGCUCGGGAAUGGAAGAGUUUGGCGAGGGGAGCUAUGGAUGAGAAUCGGAGUUCUUGUAAGAAUUUGAAGGCUUUUCUUGAGGAAAAUUGAGCUCCUUGUUUUAGGGUACAUUAAGUGUAUUUACUUUGCUAGAGAGGUUUUGUUUGUCGAAUGUUAAUUUUUGUUAAUUUAAGUGAAGGUUGAAGUUCUUCCUUUUUUUUUUCCCACCUUUUCUUGUUUAACUUUGUGUUGGUAUGUUUAGUUUUUUUAAGUAUAUCAAAAUUUGUAUUGUUUUUUGAAUAUAUUACACCUGGGGGUGAAAACGAUCGAGUCGAGUCGAGUCGACACUAACAACUGGUUGUGAUCAAGCUCUUGUGCAUUUAUAUCGAGUUUUGUGUUUGAGCUUGAUUUGGUAAGCAAUCGAGAAACUCAACACACUCCCAAACUUGAACUUUUGUUUGUCCUCAAACAAUACUACCAACUUGCAAAGCAACAAAAUCAAUAAAUGAAUCAUCUCAUCACAUAGAUUUAAAAUUUACAAGCUUAAAAUUGUCAUGGGACUUCUCAUGAAUUUUUACAAGCUUAAAAUUCAAGGAUAGUUAACUGAUCACCAUUGCCAAGAACCAAAAAUCAUGUUAUCGCUUCAAGCAUCCAAUAUUUGUAAUCUAAAAAGAGAUAAAAUGUAUACUUACAUAGUAAUAUUAGACUCCAAAGACUUACCGAAUUUCUCUACUCUCGAAUAAUUGAGCUAUUGGGAUCAUUUGGUGGCUUUCAAUUGCUGGGCUCUUUGGUGCAAGGUAGAAAAUAUGGGCAUAUAAGUGGCCACUCUUCUCCUUUUCGAUUCUCAUUAUUGAAUAAAGAGUUGCACUGAUCUUCUUAAAUCGAGGUGUUUUCGCUGAAAUUUGAAGAUUUGGCCUUUUGGAAUAGCUUAUUCACCUCUAAUGACUUAUUAUCCUACUCGAUUCUUAAGAGUUCACAAGUCUUCACUUUUGCUCUUGAGGUAUGGUUCGAGUUUUUAUUCAAAUAUUUGCGCAUGUCCUCAUUUUCCCUUCCAGUUCUCUUCUUCUUCGUUCUUUUUCUGAGAAAGAGAAAAACGUAACAAAUUUUCCAGCCAAACUCCAAGGGAUUUUUUUUCAAGAAUCUCCAUCUACUCUACCUUACACGCAUUGGCUAAAACAAAGAACUCCUUUUCUUUGAGGCCCAAAUCAAGGUUCUAAGGAUAAUUUCGAUAAAAAGGUCGGCUUGAAAGGCUUAGAUGGUUCAAAUAAGGCACAAAUCAUAUCCCAAAUCACUCAACGGCUCAAUACUUCACUUUGCAAAUUCCUAAGGUGAGUUCUAAAACUGAACAUUAUAUGAUAUAUCAUAAAUUAACUCCACUUUUGAAAAACAAAAUUUUCAAAAAAAGCAACACAUAAUUCAUGAUUCUCAAUAAUGACUCACUCCUAAAUUACUUUGAAUCGAAAACUCGCCAAAAUUCAAGUAUAGCUACAUGAAAGCACGUAAUAUCAUCAUCAAACAUUGACCAUCUUUCUUCAUCAUAAUUCAUCGAUGCAUUCAACUCAAACAUUUUUUUUAAAGAAAACAAUAAAUAUAUGAAAACGACUAAAAAGAAAAAAAAAAUCCUAAAGCAUGCAAUCUAUAACAUAUUAAGCACAUAAAAAGUGGUUUUCACAAAUAUCCUAAAGCAUGCAAUCUAAAACAUAUAAAGCACAUAAAAAGUAUUUUUCCACCCCCAAACUUAAAGUUUUGCAUUGUCCUGAAUGUAAUUAAAACGAAGUUUAAGGAUAGAAUACACCUUGAUUAGUCGGAAAGUCCUCCACGUGUUGCACUCCUCCAUCUCUUCAUCUUUCAAGCAAACUUUUUCUUUUCAAACUUUUGAUAAACAAAUAAAUAAAAAAUUCUCCAGGGGUGUUCCGGACGGCCGUCUCACCUUUUGCACUGUUUUUUAGACGACCGUCUCAAUUUCCGAACAUUCACAACUUGUCGUAACUUCUUCGGACCACCGUCUGGAGUUUUGUCUUGAUUUUGGGACGGCCGUCUGGCCUUUUUGUGUCCGUUUUUUGACCUAAAAAUUCAAACAUGAUUAAAUUAUUAGAUUGCAAGCUUAUAUAUAUUCUAUGGAAAUUUAACAAAAAAAACUAAAAAAACGAGAAGAAAAAAAAACGAGAAGAAAAAAAAACGAAAAAAACAAUAAAUGCUGGGGUUGCCUCCCGGGAAACGCUAAAUUUUAAAACUAUUAUGUCCAAUCCAAAUCCUUGUAAAUUGUGCAUCCAUCAAUGGGCUCUACAACUUCAAUUGCAACCAGGGCAUGGAUAGCAUUGCAAUAUGUCACAGGGUCCACCUUAGCUUGUAGUCUUUUUUGUUGUAAUCAAUCGGUACGAAGCCAAGAUGGGAUGAUCAUCAGUCGCUCCCUCAAAUCGGUACACAAAAACCUCAACUCUGCCUAUAACAUCCACCUCAAAUGCAUUCGCCUUCUCAUCAACCACUAUUGAUGCCUUCAAUACCACAUCAGGUACAACGAUAAGAUCUUCAAUUUGAAUUUCUGCACUAACCACAUCCAUCUCCUUCUUCUCUUGUUCCGAGACAUCUAUGGAGUUUAGCUCGAUUGCAUUCUCAUAUUCAUCAUCUUUAAGCGUCUUCAUAAUUUAUUUUUUCCUCUCAUCGACACUAUUUUCUAGGUCUUAAGAAUUUUACUCACUACAAGUUUCAGACGAAUUUUCUUUGUUGCAACCAUUCUCAAUAUCGUCUGAACUAUUUUCAUGAAGCCUCUGGAAAUUGAUAUCUUCCAACUGUAUCUCCAGUCUUUGGAUAGAUGCUUGAGUGGAUUUCCUAAAAUUUUCAAGGAUGGAUUUCAAAUAACACUCUUGAAUAGUAGGUUCUCGUGGCCUUGCAUAAUAGGCUUGAAAAUCAUCAAAUUGCGACUCGCGAUGUCGAAUCUAGAGUCAGAAUAAAUGGACAAUGUAUUAUAUGGUUUCGUCAUCUGGAUGAUUUCCUUCAGAUGAAUUUGAAUACAUUAAAUCAUCUAGUUCUUCAUCUUCAUCCUCCUCUUCAGUGGAGGCUCUUUGGAGAAAGAAACUCAAGAAAUGAUUAAUUUUAUUCUUGGGAUAAUUUUGGCAUAUAAGGAACAACCGCAUCAGCGAGAAUAUAUCUAUCAUGAUCGCGAAGAAAGUCAGAAACUAUUACGGAAAUAUUAUUUUUCUGAAAAUUGCACUUUCCAUUUUCUUAUUUUUGCAGACGUUUUAUGAUGCGCAGGGAGUUUUUUUUAUAUUCAAAAUGAUCUUUAAAAUUAUAACGCAUACUUCAUCUAAAAGAGAGAUGCACGCGGUCGUCUUGUCUUAUCAUGUAUUCAAGAAAUAACUACUGUAAUUCCGGUUCUUGCUUAUGGGGCGCGUUCACCAAAUGAACAUGAUAUUCACCGUCUUCUACAAGAAGGUGAAUCACGAAGUUUUCUAGGUAUGCUUGGAUCUUUAGAUUUUAUGCACUGGCAAUGAAAAAAAUGUCCAACUGCUUGGCAAGGCGCACACAUGGGUCACCACCACAAACCAACAUUAAUUUUAGAAGCAGUUACAUAUCAUGAUACAUGGAUUUGACAUUCUUUUUUUGGCAUGUCAGGUGGAAAUAAUGAUAUUAAUGUCUUGGAUCAUUCUCCACUUUUUGAUAAUAUGAUACAUGGUAGAAUACCUCCAGUUCCUUUACGGUGAACGUUCGUUCAUAUAUGACGGGUUAUUACUUAACUCAUGGUAUUUACCCAAAAUAUGCAACUCUUAUUCAAACCAUUACUCAUCCUACCACUGCAAAAGAAAAAUUAUUUGCAGCAAAACAAUAAUCAGUUAGAAAAGAUGUGGAGCGAGCAUUUGGUGUUUUACAAAGUAGAUGGGGUAUAACGCAAGGACUCGUCCGUUAUUGGUCAAAAGAAGAUAUAUGUAACAUAAAGAAAACAUGAAUUAUCCUUCAUAACGUGGUGAUUAUAGAAGUUGAACGUGAAAUUGACAUUGAACCAUGGAUGCCACAACCAGAAGAGAAUUCCCCCCCCCCCUCCCAAUGUGAACGAGAUCCAUCAAUUUGGGCUACACAUAUCUCAGCACACAUUGGUCGGAUCCACAAUUGACGAACCAAUGAAAGUUUGAGAUCUGAUCUAUUGAACCAUUUGUGGAAUAUCUACGGAGAAGAAGAUGUCUAAAUAAUCUAUUGUUUUUUAGUAUUUUUAAUUGUAUUUGUGAUUUAUUGUUCUUUUAUUUUCACUUGAAGAAUUAUAUUUUAUACUGUAAUCGAAUUUAGUAAAAUUAAAUUACUACAAAAAACAUUGUGACAUUUCUUUUAAUAAAAGUGAUGAAUACGAGAGACAAAUGUGGAGCAAUCAAUAGGAAUUCACAUUGUUAUUCAUCUUGAAAAAAAAAUUGUAACAUAUCUUUUACUAUUAGACUUAAAUUAAUAAUAUUUAAGAAAAAAAUCAAAAUAAAUAUUUCGUGUAUUAUAUAUUACAAUUGAAUUUAUUAAAAUAUAAAUAUAAGUUUUUGUUAUCGAUAAAUCUAAAUGUAACAUUUCUUUUACUAUUAAUAUUAAAGAGACUAAAAUUUAAUGUUGUAAUCCCUAAAAAUAUAUAAUACAAUCAAAUAAUAAAAUAGAAUUAAACAUUACUUAACAAAAAAGAAAAUAUAUAUAUAUAUAUAUAUAUAUAUAUAUAUAUAUAUAUAUAUAUAUAUAUAUAUAUAUAUAUAUAUAUAAUCAAAUAAUAAAAUAAUUAAACAUUAUUAAAUAAAACAGAAAAAAAACGAAAAAAGAGAGGAAAAGAUACACGGAUACACGACACACACUUCAAUGGAUGACAAUUAAAAUAAUGCACAUGACCCAUCUUUAUCCUCCCCAAACAUUUCUUAAUUAUAGGGAAUAAAUUAAAGAGUCCCAACCUAGGUGAAGUAGAUGGUGAGAGAGCCAUUUAAUUCUUCUUGUUGGGAUUUGCAGAGGCUAAUUUUCUUUAUUAUUUGAAAAAACUUGACGAAGGAUGAUGGUUGAGAGGUGGUUAAAGGCAGCGGAAGGUGGUGAAGGAAAUGGUGGGGAAGAGGGUGAUAAGAGGUAAGGAUGGGGUGGAAGGAGUUUUGGUCCAGCUCAUUUGCGGGUCCCAAGUGGACGUCACGUGAGAUGCACAUGAGGUUUUAGGAUUACAUUCGUGGCAGCAAAUGUUUGAGAUCGAAAAUCCUUUUAGGUGAUAAGUAUAAUGAUCAAAAGUGUAAUUAUCCUGUAAAAAGUACACCAUAUAAGGAUAACGUAAGACNNNNNNNNNNNNNNNNNNNNNNNNNNNNNNNNNNNNNNNNNNNNNNNNNNNNNNNNNNNNNNNNNNNNNNNNNNNNNNNNNNNNNNNNNNNNNNNNNNNNAAGGCAGACUAAGCAACUCGAUAUUUUUAUUUUAUAUAAAAAAAAAAAAAACACUAAUGUGUUGUUAUGUAUAUAGCUAUAUAGAAAGAGUGGUCCAAAAAGGAAUAUAAUAUUAUUACAUGAGAUGCUAUUACCGAAUAGUUGUAUUGGGAAAAUUGGCUUCAAAGUCAGCUAUCCAGCUGCCUGUGUUACAAGACAACUAACAAUGUAUUGGAGGGGCUGUUUGGUCCUACACAUAUGGGCAUAGGGCUCCAUUUUUAUUCACAAACAAUUUUCAACCUUGUAGGGUUUCAUGUUUUGUUGCUAUAAAAACUUUAUAUAUUUAUAUAUAUAUAUUUAUAUAUUUAUAUAUAUAUAUACAUAUUUAUAUAUAUAUAUAUAUAUAUAUAUAUAUAUAUAUAUAUAUAUAUAUAUAUAUAUAUAUAUAUAUAUAUAUAUAUAUAUAUAUAUAAUCAAAUAAUAAAAUAAUUAAACAUUAUUAAAUAAAACAGAAAAAAAACGAAAAAAGAGAGGAAAAGAUACACGGAUACACGACACACACUUCAAUGGAUGACAAUUAAAAUAAUGCACAUGACCCAUCUUUAUCCUCCCCAAACAUUUCUUAAUUAUAGGGAAUAAAUUAAAGAGUCCCAACCUAGGUGAAGUAGAUGGUGAGAGAGCCAUUUAAUUCUUCUUGUUGGGAUUUGCAGAGGCUAAUUUUCUUUAUUAUUUGAAAAAACUUGACGAAGGAUGAUGGUUGAGAGGUGGUUAAAGGCAGCGGAAGGUGGUGAAGGAAAUGGUGGGGAAGAGGGUGAUAAGAGGUAAGGAUGGGGUGGAAGGAGUUUUGGUCCAGCUCAUUUGCGGGUCCCAAGUGGACGUCACGUGAGAUGCACAUGAGGUUUUAGGAUUACAUUCGUGGCAGCAAAUGUUUGAGAUCGAAAAUCCUUUUAGGUGAUAAGUAUAAUGAUCAAAAGUGUAAUUAUCCUGUAAAAAGUAACACCAUAUAAGGAUAACGUAAGACCCUACCUCGGGGGUAAUUUACAUAAAAAAUAAUAUUAUUGCAAUAUUCAGUCAAAUUAGUUUAACUAUCGGUUAUAUUAUGAAAACAUCGGUCAUAUUAUGCAAAAAAUCCAACUAUAUUAUUAAAAACUUCAGAUUCAAAUAGUGGAAAAUGAACUCAGAUUCAGCAAAACAUAUGUCCGAUCGUUGUUCAAUAUUAUGUUUGGGUUAAUAGCAUUUUGCGACUUAUACUUUGCUUGUUUUUGCACUUUGUCACCUUAACAAAAAAAUAUUGCACGGGCACACCUAACCCGUUAUUAUGACUUACUUAACCACCUUGAGCGAAUAUUCAGACGAAGCUUCACAAAUUCCGGCGCACGCGCAAAGCACAUAACAUUGUAAAUUGAACUUAAUUUGAAAUUUGCCUCAAUUCGAAAUUAAUUAAAAUAAAGCUUUAGAUCUUCUUCUUCCAUCGGAGUUUCUCCCCCAUUAAUUCAAAGAAGAUAAAAUUAUGGUCGGUUGUAAUUACCAGUGCCAAGAAUCAGUUUAGCAGCUCACACAAAUACACGCACACACACAAACACUUGUCCACGGUCCGUCUCUGCCGUAAAAAAAAAACUCUUCACAUUCAAUUCAAAAGACACAAACAUGCACCUCCAAGAAAAGGUUUUUUUUUUUCAUUCGCAAGUACUUUGUUCGUAGGAAUUGUGAUCCGGUUCUUUUUUCUUGAUCCUUAAUUUGUUUGCCAAAAAGAGAAAUUUGAGUCGAGCGUCCUAUUUUUUGUAACUUUUUUUGUUAUUCAUUCAUGUUUUAGAUUUAUGUUCUUUUUUCACUUUUUGCAUUUUUUUGAAUAAAUGGGAUUUGCCAACAUGUAUAAAUCACCAAAUAAAGUUAAUACAAUAAGCUAAAGCAAACGAUUAUUAGAAUACGUUCCUUUACAAUUUGCAUAAAGUUGUAAGGAACGUUUGGGGCUAUGAUCUUAGUUUGCUUGUGAUUUGGUCUUCGUUUUAUGUAUUCUCUUACUUUCUUGGUUUGUAACAUUUCUUGUUUUCAGGAUUUUUUCCUACAGUAUUGUCCAAAUGUCGAGGAAGAUGGUACGGUUAUCGAUGGGAGAGUUGGACAAACCGAGUAAGAGCGAAGAGGAGAUUGACUAUGACUUUAAUUUAAUUUGCUUGUAAUUGGGGAGGUAAUCAAACCCACUGAAAUAAAUUGAAAUAAAAGUCUGGGUUAUCUUUGAAUUAAUUAAUGGGGAAAAACUCCCAUGGAAGAAGGAAGAAGACCCAAAGCUUGGUUUUCAGUUAAUUUCGUAUUUUGACAAGUUUCAAAUUAAAUUCAGUUGAGUCCUUGAAACAUUCAAUUUUUCCAAUGUGAUAUUUUUAUGUGAAAAGACGAAAAAACCCAUUUAUUUUAUCAUGUGUUUCAUGCUUGCGCCCAUAUUUGUAAUGAUUCGCCAUAAUAUUUGCCCUAGGUGGUUAAGUGAGUCAAAAUAACGAAGUUGGGUGUGCCUUUUUUUUUAUUUUUAUUAUUAAGGUGGCAAAGUGCAAAAACAUGUAAAGAAUAGGUGGCAAAAUGCUAUUAAACCUAAAAUUUUCAUCUAAUUAUGCUUACACAAAUCCAAGUUCGUUUUGAAAGCAAACAACUAGAGCUACAACUUUCGUGUUAGGCGUAUUCGAUGAUACAAAGUUUAUGGUACUUACAGUUACAUAGUAUGCUCAAAAUUGUGCUUGCAUUAUGAAUUGCACUACUUACAUAGUUUCGUAUUUCUACCAUAACUAUCUCGUCUAAAGUUCAAGUGCCUUGAUACAAAAUGUAUUCAAAAGCCAAAACAAUAGACCUACAAGAAAAGAAUCAGUAAGGAUUUGGGUUUGCGUCUUUCAAAAUUUAAAUUGCAACUCAACGAAAAUUGAAAAAAUGCAGGUGUACUUUUGUAAAAGAGAUGAGGGAACACAAAUUUCAUUGAUAAGAUUGUAAGUUAGAACACAAUAAUAUUAUUCAUGAAUAUCGCUAAAAUCAUAAAUAAAUAAAAACAUUCACGAAUCAAAUAUAUUAAUUUCCGAUUCUUGCAAGACAAUGACAUGUCCAGUAGGGCUCCAGGGGAGGGUCCGGAGCACGGCAAUAUCCUCCGGGGCAAGGAUAGGACCCACAAGACACUUUGCUACACGCAAAAGUACAAACUUCUCCAAGGCAUGGUUCCAUUUUGAAACUUGGUUCACCAUUACAACUUGUACUACACAUUAUUGAAACCAAACCAUAAACAAGAAAAAUAAUUAUUAGUAUUUUCUUCCUCAUUGCUUCCAUUUAGCAGAGAGUGUUCAAUAUUAUAAACUGUCAUAAUUGUGUCUUUUUAUAGGUAGAAAUAUGUGAUGUUCAAUAAUACUGCAGUUACAUUAUACACUGAUAAAAAGUUAGGUAGGGAUUACUUGAAUUACAUGAUGAAAUCAUAAUUCAAACAAAGAUGUAUGCAAUAAUAUAAAUUUUCUCUUAAUAUAAAUAUAAAUUACAAAAUCAACGACAAAAGUAACAAUUACUGUAAUAAAAAUUGACUAGGUAUUUUAAUUAAUUUGAGUUGACUAUUGUAUUGUAAGGGACUCUUUGAGUUUUGUGCCAUUUCUCAAUGAAGAAAGGUCCAACCAUAUUUUUAGUAUUAAGGAUACAUUGAACCCUUAUUUUGUUUCAAAUUUACCCUCUCCUAUCUUACUCACUGCUUGAUGUUUUUUUUCUUUGUUUGUUUUCAAAUUUGAACUCUCUCUCUCUCUCUCUCUCUCUCUCUCUCUCUCUCUAUAUAUAUAUAUAUAUAUAUAUAUAUAUAUAUAUAUAUAUUUCACAUAUUUUGAGAGAGAGAGAGAGAGAGAGAGAAUUACCAUAAUAAACUAGAAUUUUAUUUUUGUGUUUUGGGAUUUUUUUCUUCUAAAAUCAACUAUAAAAUUAUUGUAAAUAACCACAAAAAAGUGGUAUUCAACCACAAAUUUACAAAAUAAAAAGCAACUAUAAAUUAUCGAAAUCGACUACAAAAAUAUCAAAAAGUUAUCCAAUUCAACUACUUAACGAAAUAAACUAAAAAGAAAAAACGAAAACACCCAAAUCAUGACUUGUCAAACUAAUGAGCAAAAAGUAAUUUGACUUGUGCGAUGCACAGGGCGGAUAAAAGUUAAUUUUGAUUAAAAUUCAAUUUAAUUAGUAGAUGUGUUCAAGAGAAUGUCAAAUGAAGCAACGUCUUUGGAUAUGUUAAUAAUUUUAUUAGUGCGACGUAUACUUACUAUUAAGCAAGUUACAUACAACAAUAUCUCAUAUUCAUUAACUUACAAAGCCAACUCAAUUUUCACCUUUACAGAUUUUAUUACACCCAAAACAAUAUAUUAGAAAAAAAUGGAUAUACAUGUCAUGCUAGCUCUCAAAGAACUAAGUCGUUAGUAAUGGAAAACAAAUGGGUGACGCUUAUUACACCUUAUAAUAGUAAAGAAACUUAACAUAAUUUUCCAUCACAAACAUCAUUAGAAAAAUAAUUGUAAAAAAAGCGCCAAUAAUUGUGAAACAAAAUAAAAAAAAUUGCUUACCAGUAUUGACACAAAAACCUAGUUUUGAGAUCUUUAUUAAGUUUUUCUCUAAGGAUUUUAAGCAAUAAAGAAACGAAAGACAUGAUCUGCGUAUCAAGAAACAAAACAAAAAUAAAGGGAACAAAUUUACGAUUUUCGAAUCUGUCAAAUAUAUUUAAACUCUUUUAUACUAGUCCUGGAAUUUUUCAGGAAAUCUUCUAAUAUAAUGGAUGUAUGCAGAAUUUGAAAAUUAGUUGAUAUAGGAUAAUUAGGAUAUAUGAAAUCUCCUAAUUUUCGAAAAAUCAACUAAUUUUUAGCAUAUAAUGGUUUCAAAAAAUGAAUUUAAUAAAUAAAAUGUAACCACAUAACAUGAAAAUCCGUUACUCUAAUGCUAAUACUAAUACUAAUACUAAUAUUAAUUAUAAUAUAUUAAUGGUAAUAUACUAAUGCUAAUCCUAAUAUACUAAUGUGAAUGCUAAUGUUAUUAUUAAUAUUAAUGCUACUCAUAAUUUUAUAAUUAAAAGUUAUUAUUAGUAUUAGUAUUAGUGUUAGUGUUAGCACUAAUAUUAGUAUUAGUAUGUUGAUACAUUAAUAAUUUAAUGUAACAAAUGUUAGAGUAUAUUAUAUUAUUAGAUAUUAUAGGAUAUUAUAAUUCUAUUAUGAUUCGGCUACCUAGAUUAGUUAGGAUUUAGUUACCUAGUCAAACUCUAUUACCUUGCAAUAUUUAUGUAUAUAUAUUCCACGUAACUUACCCAUAACAUAAUGGGGGUUUCUAUUAUAUUACGUAUUAUUAUUUCUCUCUUUCUCCUAUUCUAUUCUUCCUAUAUGGUAUCAGAGCACCAGGUUUUUUAACAUGGUCGUCUUUCUUCUCCAUGGCGGUGACCACCCAAUUUUCUCCCUCCCCCGGUGGUGGUACUCUAAUAUCUUUUUUUUUUUCUAUAUUUUCCACGAACACCACUCAAAUUUCCUCCCUCCCGCGGUGGUGGUAUUCUUCUCUUUUAAAUUAUAUUAUUUCUGACAUCUUCUUCUUCUUAGUCGAUUAUUCUCUUUUCUCUCUCUUUAAUCUCUAUCAUUAUCUUUAAUAAUUCUUCUUCCCCUCUCAUAUUUUCUCUCUCUCUCAAUUCAUACACACACAAAAAAAACAAAAGCAAUUUUAUUUUCUCUCCACGUUAUUUUUUUUCUAUCAAUUGGGCAGAUAUUUUCAGAGUGGAAUUCUCUAGCGUUGUGUUUCGCGGUUUCUGUCCAGUCUUCACUUUUAGAGUUUAUUCAUUUCAUCUACGGGAGCGUGUUAGCAAGUGAUUGUCCAGUCUUCACGUUCGUCAGCUUUCGACUGCAGGAGCGUGUUAGAGUAUAUUAUAUUAUUAGAUAUUAUAGGAUAUUAGGAUUCUAUUAUGAUUCGGUUACCUAGAUUAGUUAUGAUUUAGUUACCUAGUCAAACUCUAUUACCUUGCAACAUUUCUCUAUAUAUAUUCCAUGUAAAUUAACACAUAACAUAGUGGGGUUUUCUAUUAUAUCACGUAUUAUUAUUUCUCUCUUUCUCCUAUUCUAUUCUUCCUAUAAGAAAUAUGAAAUAGUUUUAACUUUUAUUUAUUUAAUAGACUAUUGAAGUUUACCAUUUAAUUACAAUUAAUAAUAUAAAAAUAUUUCUUAGAAUUAAUAAAAUUAAUUUAGGGGUCAUUAGAAAUAAGCCCCUCAUAUAGCUAAGAAAUGGUGAUACAUGCACUUCUUAAAUCUUUCUUUGUGAUAACCCCUAGAAACGUUAUUCCCAAUAUUACCCUUGUGUUAAUUAGCUAUCCCUAAAAAUCCGCUACCAAAUUUAAAAAAAAAAUUAUUUUUUAUUUUUUUAUUAUUUUCGGAUUUUAUUUAACUUUUUAUUUAUUUAAUUUUUUUAUAAUAUUUUUUUAAUAAUUUUUUUUUAAUAAUUUUUUUUUAAUUUUUUUAAAACAAAAAAAUGAUUUUUUUUCUCUACAGGUUUACUACGCCGAAUGUGACUAUAGUUGAAUAUGACUAUAGUCUAAUAUGACUAUAUGUGACUAUAUCAAAUGUAGUCAUAUUCUUGAUUUAUAUUGCAGUUUUUUACAUUUUCAAUUUAAAAAUUCUGAUUAUAUAGUCUAGUACAAUCAUGUUUACCAAAUUAUAUACAAAAAAACGAAGAUUGCCUAUUAUUUAAGAAACCAAUCCAAUCAACAUCCUCAAAAAAAAUUCACAAUUUGAAUCUUGAAACGAUAAGAUAGAACAUAUUCGAAUAUGACUAAAGUCAUAUUCAACAAUAGUCAUAUUCGAAUAUGAUUAUAGUCAUGUUAUUGUUGCUGCUCAAAUCUGAAACUAUAUGUUCACAUUUCUAGAAAAAAAAAAAAAGAGAAAUCGAAACAGACAGAAACAAUUACCAAACUUAAAUAUGACUAUAUGUGACCAGAUAUGACUAUUAUGUAUAUGACUAAAAAAACAGAUUUUUGUCAUUUGGCUUGCAAGUUGCACCAUUUUCAUUAGUGCAUUUCGUAGCCACCGCCACCAUUUAUUCCGAAGUUUCUUAUCGGAUAUGAAAUAAUGUUCAAACUGCAUCUUUUCAAAAAAAAAAUAUUGCCUGAUUAACAACAAUGGGAAUAUCAAAAUCAAACACAAAUGACCCCAACAAAUUUUAAAUGCAAAAUCUCUAAAAGUGAAGACUAAAAAAUGAAAAAAAAUCUCACCAAAUUGUGAUAUUUUCACAAUUUAUAUUCGAAGUUAGGGAGCACCAAAUUCAAUCUCCUCCGUACAGUAUAUAAAAAUAUAUACUCCGAAUAAUCUAUACAAAUGUCGGCCACAUCCUAGGUUCAAUUGCACGAAAAACGCGUCCAAUCUAGCUGCCCUGAAUUAUUCAGUAACAAAAACCAGCAGCGAGUUUUAAGAUUCGAUCUAUAUUUAGAGAAGUCUGAUUCCGAUCUCCACCAGUCAGAAGUUAUAUUGAUGUGUUACGAGUCCUGUAUAAAAAUAUCAAACCGAUCCGACGGUUAGAUCUUCCGAUGUGGCAUCUGCACGAAAACUGUUGCAUCUCAAAAACUUGAUUUUUCUCCUUUUUUUUCAUCCGCUCUUGGGAAGGAGAAUCGAAACCCGGCACCGACGCCGUGUGCGGCUGCGUGGUGGAGGAUUAUGGGUCUGAAGAAAAAAAAAAGAGAAAAGACGUUGUGUGAGAAAGAGAGAGAAUGAAAGAGAGAUAUAUGGAGAGAAUUGAUGUAAUCCUACAAUCACGUGAAACGGUUAUGGAAAAUAAAAAUAUUGCAAUUAUUUUAAAAACUACUAAUAAAGAUAGUUUCGUCUUAUCACAAUUGUUGAGGGGGGUUUCACUAAUUAAUAUUGGGCUUUGGGUGUGGACAAAAGUUUUAAAAGUCAAAUGAGUUUAACUCAUAAUAUUUAUGGUUUGAGGGGGGUUUUGCAUAUUUCCCCAUUAAUUUAAUAGUAAUUGAUAAAAUUUAACUAUCAAUAUUAAUAUUUUAAAUACAUAAUAGAAAAUUUAAUUUUUGCUGUUAGUAUAACUGUAAUUUACAUUGACAUAUCAAAUAUGAGAAUCAAAACAUAUGAUAAUAUUUUAUUGGCUUGUUGGAAUUAUAUAUUUGCUCAUGAAGAUUGAUAAAAGAAUGUAAAUCACUUACACUCUUGGAAAUACUCUAAAGAAGAUGAAAGUGUAAAAUUAUAAAGCAUAUUGAUACGGACUAAAUUGUCCUCACGGGGUUUCCUAACUAUUUAUUGGGCCGUGGAUUGAGUUUUCACUUAUAUUUGGCCCAAAGUCAUAUCAGGCCCAAGAAGAGGAGCUAUGGCAAGUUUGUUUAUUUCUUGUCCAUCAAGUAUCCUCACAUAUAAAUAGGGAGUUACUCUCAACCUUUCACUUCUAUGCUCUCUCUUAUAUAUCACACUCGAUUAUCUCUAGAUAAAAACUGACUUGAUCGUCGGAGCUUCUACGCCGGCAAACCCCUCCCGGCGUUGCAGGUACCCCUCCGGCGGAAUCCCAGACAAGCUAUCAUCCAAAAUAUCUUCCAAGGAGGACACGUCAUCAUCUCGACCAUUUUGGAGUAAAUCAAGUGGCGCCGUCUGUGGGAAAAAUCUCGAGCUAAGACGUGAGAUGAUUUGAUUUUUGGGAUCUUCUCCAUGAGGUUGGAGAUAAUGAGCUGCAAGAUCGAAGAUCGGUUCAGUGUAGUUCUUGGGGAGUUUUUUAAGGGAAACCAAGAAAUGGGCUCAAAUCUUGUGCUUGGAAUCCAGAUCUGAUGAAUCGAUGAAGUACAAAGAGAAGAAUCUAGAAAUAAAUAUUGCCCUAAUGGCUGAACUCGACAAAAAUCUAAAGAGAAAAAGAAAACAGAGUAGAUUCACAAGAUAAACAACAUGAAACGAGUCCAAAUUCCGAGUCAAGAGCUUGACGAAUCAGGGUGGGAAAAGAAAGGAGGCCAAGAAGUUACAUAGGGACAUUUGUUGAAGCUUGUCAAACACCGAGCAAGUUAGCUUCAACUUUAAGUUGGCAAAACAGUGGAGAACGAAAGUUGUAAGAAGCUGACUUCCUUGGAACCUGGAUUCAACACCGUCUCAGUGCUCGUUGAUCCAUGUCCACCGAGCUAAGUCUCGCCGAUCCCGUCGACCAAGCAAAGUCUCGCUGACCCAUGUCUGCCGAGCCAAGUAACGUCGACCUCGUCUGUCGAGAUCGAAUAUCGAAAAACCACCACAUGUGAAAAGAUUGAGGUCGAGAAGAAUCGGGAAGAGAAGGGGAAAAUUUCAAAGUUCCCCUGUCCCCUCGUAUGAUUUUCCCUAAAUCUAUAGACCCACCCGCAAGCUGUUCGAUAUAAGUCCCCAAAGAGCACACUCUGGGCUGAACACUUCGCCCAUCGGAUUGCAGUUGCACCAGAGAUUUUAUGACCUGGUCAACUUCCAAGGCUGGAAUCGAGCUCCAUGUUUGUCUUGAAGUUGUUGGAAAGAGGAACUCGUGAUUUUUUAUGUCUAUUGAAAACGCGCAUCUGUAUCUGAACUACAACUAAAGCUUUAGCAUGACGGUUCUCUUUGAAAGCAAAAAAUUGUGUAGAAAUUAAUAUCAAGGCGAUUCUCUUCGCCCGGGUUCACUAUUCUGGCUGCUCGCACCUGUGUUAUGGAUUGGAACCUCCAAAAAAAAAAAAAAAAAAAGGGAGAACGAACAAAAAUGGAGGAGUAUGCCGACCCAUGUCGCAUUUGUGGCAGGAUUAUGAGCACUUCGAAUUAUUAGUUUUGUUGAUAAUGAAUUUUCAGUUUUAUGAAGCAAUCUUAAACGAUUGUUGAAGAAUGCUGGAUACCGACAAUUUGUGGUUGGCUAGACCGAAGUGAAAGAUGGAAGUCCUGAUGGUGCACAUAAACUGUUUGAUCGAAGGUCCAGGAGAACAGCAGGCUUUUGCUGGCACAUUUUAUGAAAGCAUAGCCGCGACUUCGUUUUAUAAAUCAUAUCUUGGCCAGACCGUAUGCAACAGGUGACCCUGCUGCAUAGAAUCAAACAAAGUUUGCGGAAAGGAGUGAGAUAAAGACAGAGCUCAUCGACCAAUUGAUGUAUAUUUUGGGUUUAUAAGACUAUGGCAGUCGAGCUGUACUUUGAGAAGCUGGGGCGAGCUAUUACCGAGUAAAUGUCUUACUGAGAGAUGGGAAUAACGACACAUUAGCAUUUGACAACACAACUAUCGAUGAGGUAUGAUAUUAAACAUCAAAUUGGGUGGCAAGAGGAAAUCGAAAUGAUUCUUGAACGAGACUUCUUCCCAAUUAUCGAGACAGUGAGGCAAUCUGACAUCCGAGAAAGAUGUUUGGGCAGAGGUCGUUCUGGCCCAUGAAAACUCAUUACAAGUGGGAAGCAUUACAAUACUACUUGUGGAAAUAUGAGAUAAGCUUAUAUUGGAGCUCAAUCUUGCAUGAGUUCGAUGCGGCUCAGUACGAGACGAGACGGGAUGACUCAAUCACGGCAUAAAGACACUAAACAAUUGGAUCUAUGAUUUGGUUUUCAUAGGAUGGUGCUCAAGAGUUUCUGAAAAGAGGUGUGGAAUAAUAAUUCUUCCGGGGUCUUGUGUCGUUUGUUAGUUCGGAGCUAACAAGCACAAAAUUGUCAAUUGAAAUUGACUCGCACGGUGUUCAAAGGAAAUUUCCGUUGAAAAGUCACCCAUCAAAGAUAUAACUCGGAGGAGUGGUAGAGUAUCAAUAUAUGCCCAGAAAAAAUGCAAGGUAUAUCUCCUCCAGACCCGAGAGCAACUUCAGCCCAUAUUUGUCAACGCGAAAUCUACAAUGGGAUUGAUAGAAAGUAAGAAGAAUUGAAGAUUUUCUUUACCACGAGAUGAAUAUUUCGAAGUCGCGAGCUCAAUGAUGGGACAAACCUUUCCAAGAGCUCGGUACAAAUCAUUCACAAGGCUCUUUUUUUUAUUUGGUUAAUGUCUCAAUCAACUUGAGGACUAUCUGUAUAUAAGCUCACCAUACUCACGAAAGAUUCGUUGGUCAGCUCGCAAAUUAUUUCCCUCGAGUUUCUAGAAGAGCAAAUCUAUUUGUAAUAGCUCUAAUUGAGAAAGGUCGACUGGACUAUUCUCAACGUGAUUUUCCUGAAAUUGGAUUUCUUUAGCUCGAAUAUUUUCAAAAGUCAUCCCUUGCAGCUCAAAUUUCCUGAAGUUUGGAUUUAUUUCUAAAACAAUGAUUCUUGGGGCUCGUGUUUAUUGCUUGGAGCACCAAUAUAUUACUUAGAAAUGUCUUGUCAAGGAACUCACAUUUACAGAGACAGUCUUCUUGAGCAACUUAUGGUUGUUAAAAAUUCUCCGAGAUUUGAAUUUUUCAGAGUUCGCUCUUCUUGAAGCUCGAAUUUUCCUCGUACAUCUCAAACUCCGGGAAAUAUUUCUUAAAGCUCUUAAAAGGCCAGAGUUAUAUCUCAACACAAAAGCGAGUAAUUAACGAUCUCGUUUACCGCUGAGCCCGUUUCUUAUCUCGAAGUGGAAUUCUUUAAGGCUUGUAGUUCUCUACUACCUCGCACUGGUCAUAUGAACCUCGCUCGCCAUCUCGAGCAUAAAGUUACGAAGGAAGAAACCUCUCCUAAUCACCUCCCGAGUUGGGUAUGAAUCCUUGUGGUUAUCAUUUCGGAAUUGGUAAAUGGUUUCCAAGACGGAUUAGCUGAGUGCCACUACACACCAUAAUGAGAUAAUUACAAGAUAAGGAGUUGUCUUGCGCAUUCUCUACUUCAAACUCGAGCUAGGAUAUGGUCAUUGCGAGUUAAAAACAAGAAGCUCGAUCCCUCGAGCUCGUCUUCAUCGGGAUUUUUUGGAGGCUCGUAUUACAGCUUGCAUUCCUCUUGCACAACUCAUAUAUCAUCCGGAGGAUCUCGACACUUCGUAAAUUUAUGAAAUCAACAUGAGACCUAUCAGACUUCUACGAGUUGACAAAGAGCAAAUUUUGAAGCUCACAAUCACAACUCAUGCCUCAGAUUUAUCUAUGGUAAUCGGAAUUUUCGUCAGUCAUAUUUACUUCGAGAAACUUGAACUCGUCUCGUGAAGCGGGACCUCGGGAACUCAACGAUCUUGCAUGAGCUCGAUGCGAUCAAAACAAAACAAAGCAACACAAUCAAAGCAACAUACACUAAAAAGAGACGAUUAUCCAAACCCUUUUGGAUAUAUGAUGGUGUUCAGUACCGAGAAUCUUGUGCCACUGGUUAGCUUAGCGUUGACAAGCAUGGGAUUGUCGGUCAAAAUUUCUUCACAUGGUGUUCCAAAGGAAAAUGUCUUGUGCACUACACAUUCACCCAUCGGAGAUAUAACUUGGGGGAGUGGUACAUGAAUUGAACAAAAACUAAAGUACCGACAUAUGUCUUUAUGUCCAGAAUAAUAGAAGUUACAUCUCCUCUGGAGCCAAAAGCAAUCUUAGCUCGCAUAUGUCGACAUGAUCUACAUCGGGAUUACACAAAAAAAAAAAAAAAAAAUAGAUGAACACUUUGAGCUCGCGAGCUCAAUGGUGGGACAUAAUUCUCCAAGAGCCUGCUGCAUGUUAUUUACAAGCCUUUUCGGUUGGGCCAGCCAUCUCAAUCAACUGAGGGGUUCUGAAUACCCACUAUUUAUAAGCUCAAUCUUCUGAGAUCUCGAUCUUGAAUGAGUUCGAAUAUGUCUCGUGAACGAUUUGGGCUCUCUAUAAAGCUCGACAAUACUCAUAUUUAUAAGUUGCGAGUUGAUGGUUUUCACAAAACCCGAAACUAAUUCCUUGGCAGGGCGUUUUUCAAGAUCACAUUAUUCUCUCGAAACGAAUUCUUGAAGUCCGUAUUGAUCGCUUGGAGCUUGGCCAGCUGACUCCGAGCCAGAUUUCGCCGACCCAGUGCCUGUUGAGCUGAAUAUGUCGGACCCAUCACUUAUGCAAAUUUGGUUCUUUACUCAGCACCACCUCCGCUGAUGCAUAUUGAGUCGGAACCCGUCUGAGGGAUGUAUUCGGACAACCAGGUUUUCUUUUCUCGGUUGGUGGCGGGAUGCUUAAACUCGCCUCUCUAAACCUGACCAUCUAAGGUCACCGACCAGCAUGGGUAUUCGGGCGCCACAGGCCUAGACCUUACCCCUUAGCUCGGUAUUGCUUCACAGAUAUCCAUGCCUUAUUAAUUCAAGGGCUCGAAUUUUCUUUCAGAUACCCCGGAAGAUCCCUCGAGGCACAAAGUUUAUUCCCAUGAUUUAGCGGGGCUGGGCUUUCUUGAAGUUCGGAGUUCUCGGAAUGAACUUGACGCUUGGUGAAACCUUGAAGCUCGCACUCACAACUCACACCUCAAAUUCAUUUAUGGUAAUUGGACUUUUUGUCGCUCACAUUUAUUAAGAGAGGAGAUUAUGUGAGAAGAGAAGAUACACGCCAUAUCUUUAUGGUGUUGUGAGGCUUCCACCUCAACAAGAGAUCGCUACGAGUCGAGGCGAUCAAGUUUUAACACCACCAGGUUUAUCGGAGCUCAUAUUUCUAUCUUAAAAUGGGGCUCUCUCCUAGCUCGCAUUCUCUACCUAAAGCUCGGAGUUAUCCCCUCGGCGAGAUUGCUGAAAACUUACUUUAUCCCGGGAGAUCGCGUUCACAUUGCUCGCACUUCUAUGCCAAUUCUCCCACAACUCCGAGCCAGAUUUCGCCGGCUCGAACGUUGCUAUCUCGGUGCUCUCUAACCGAAUCUCGCCGACCCAAUGCCUGUCGAGGCCGAAGUUAUUCUCGUACAUAAAAGCGAGUUAUAAAAGCGGGUACUUAACGAUCUUGUUUGCGGCUGAGCUCGUUUUCUUACCUCGAAGCGGGAUUUUUCGAGACUUGUAGUCCUCUCCUAUCUUGCAUUGGUCCUAUGAAGCUCGCAUCGCCACCUCAAACACGAAUCUAUGAAAGCUCGAACCUCUCCUAAUAUCCUUGCGAGGUAAAUUCUCUAUUAAAUGAUGUGUCUAUACCUCCAUGGCAAUAACUCUUUGCAUGCUGAAAAACACUUCGAAAAAUGCAAGUUACUCAACAAGUGUUGAACUAUUGCUUGAGUAAGGUCAGUAUAUAGAUUAUUUUUCAUUGAACUAUCCUAUCACCUGGAUAAGUCAUGUGUGGGGUGGAAGGCAUGAAACAUGAAAUUAUCCAUCACCUGGAUAGAAUAUAUUAAUACAAUAAUAACUAAUGGAUCGGUGGAAAAGUGAAGCGUUAAAUCGCGCAAAAAAAGGCGUUAAAUCGCGCAAAACGAGUCGUUUAAUUGAGAAUAAAUAAGGCGAGAUAAGUGCAAAAAUGAAGCACUUAAUCGCCCAAAAAUGAAGCGUUAAAUCGCCCAAAAAAAAGGCGUUAAAUCGCGCAAAAUGAGUCGUUUAAUCGAGUAAAAAUGAGGCGAGAUAAGUGCAAAAAUGAAGCAUUUAAUCGCGCAAAAAUGAAGUGUUAAAUCGCGCAAAAUUAGUUGUUUAAUCUAGAAAAAAACGAGGCGUUAAAUUGAGCAAAAAUGAGUUGUUAAAAUAUGCAAGAAUAACCUAUCAAAUCGAGUAAGUAAAUUGCUAGAGACAUUCAAGCCAAUACGGCAAGAUAAGCGCACGAGUCAUACAAUCCGAGAAAAAACGAUGCAAGAUGAAAAGACAACACGUGAAUAAUACUCAUAGUCUAAUCACGACUUUUAAUUUAGACUUCGGAGAAGGGGGGAGUAGUUGAUACGGACUAAAUUGUCCUCACGGGGUUUUCUAACUAUUUAUUGGGCCGUGGAUUGAGUUUUCACUUGUAUUUGGCCCAAAGUCAUAUCAGGCCCAAGAAGAGGAGUUAGGGCAAGUUUGCUUAUUUCUUGUCCAUCAAGUAUCCUCACAUAUAAAUAGGGAGUUACUCUCAACCUUUUACUUCUAUACUCUCUUUUAUAUAUCACACUCGAUUAUCUCUGGAUAAAAACUGACUUGAUCGUCGGAGCUUCUAUGCCGGGAAACCCCUCCCGGCGUUGCAGGUACCCGUCCGGCGGAAUCCCAGACAAGCUAUCAUCCAAAAUAUCUUCCAAGGAGGACACGUCAUCAUCUCGACCAUUUUGGAGUAAAUCACAUAUGAUAUUUCAAUGCAAAACUGCAAGACCUUUCAUCAGCCUGACAAUCCUUUUGUUUUUAUGUUUGAAGUAAUUAAUUCCUAAAUUCAUUGUUUUUAUGUUUGAAGUAAUUAAUUCCUAAAUUCAGUGUACGAGGCUGGCUAAAAUUUUGUAUUUCUCAACAAAUAAAUAAUAAAUAGUAAAUAAUAAAUAAUAAAUAUUAAAUAAUUAAAAUAUAAACAAUGAUUAAAACAUAAAAAAUAAAAAAUAAAAAAUAAAAAAUAAAAAAUAAAAGAGUUUGUUUACGAAUACCUAACCUUAACAUGUGUGCUGUCAGGUGUGUGCUUCUAUCAUAUAUCUGACAAACUAUUAUUGUCCACUAAAAUUUACCCUUUAAGCCCUUUAACAUCGUCUGUUGUUCAUCGAUUGUUGUUUGUGAUUUCUACAAUGGUUCAAAUAUAAUUUAGUUUUGGUAAUCAACUGUUCUAUCAAGUACGGCCGGUUUAUCGACAAUAACAGUUAAAAUUGGAUUAGAGAUCAAAAUUAAAUAAUUAAUGAAAUUUGGAUUUAAAUUAAAAUUAAUUAAAUUUUAUUAAAGAAAUUUGAUUUGAGCCUCUUAAAUAAAUAGUGCAUGACGAGCUUAUUUAUAAAAGUCUCUUAAAAAAAUAGGACGAAUGUCAAAAAGGUCCAUCACAUGGAGCUUAAAUGUACAUUGGUUAAAAAAAAAAAAAUAGUCUCUCAAUUGAACUCAUCCUCAUAUCUUUAGUCUAAAAUAUCCUCCAAAAUAUAUUUUUUUAUCAAUUACAUCCAUUAUUCUCUAACUUCCUUAAUAUUACACAUUGACCCCGAAUUUAAACAAAUAUAUCACAUUAACCCCCAAAAUAUUAUUUUUUUUAGAAAAUAAUUUUUUUUUCUGAAAUUUUUUUUCCGGCCAGAUUCUAGCGUAGACAUUUUUUUUUUGAAAACUUGUUUUUUUCCUGAAAUUUUUUUUCCGGCCGGUCAACCACCGUUGACCGGCGGUCUCCAACGUUGACGUUUUUUUUUUCGAUUUUUUUUUCUUAGAAAAAACAUAUUUUAAUUAAUAUUACUGUCUUGGCUACUAAAUUACUGUCUCAGACAAUAAUAUUACUGUUUGGGACAGUAAUAUUAUGAAUAUUAUUUUCCCGAACAGUAAUAUUAUUGUCUAAGAUAGUUAAAUUAUUGUUGGAGACAACAAUUUAGCAGCCAAGGCAGUAAUAUUAAUUAAAAUAAUUUUUUUUAAGAAAAUAAAUUUCAAAAAAAAAAGGUCAAUUAGCAGUUAAAUUACUGUCUCCGACAGUAAAAUAACUGUUGGAGACCAUAAAUUAGCAACGAAUACAAUAAUAUUAAUUACAAUUUUUUUUAAGAAUAAAAAAGUCAAUUAAUAGUUUAAUUGUGAGGUGUGUGUGCAUCUAUCAUAUAUAUAUCUGACACACUAAACAAAGUACCAAACUAUUGUCCCACUCAAAUUUGUCUUACGUUUAUAUCAGUAUUCGUCAUCUCAAACGUCAUACUUUCUGAACCCUAUCUAUGUUGUAUACAAAUUAAACUUGACUUUUAAAUUGAAAUUAAUCCAACUAAAAAAAAUAACAUAUCAACAGAAUCACAACCACAAACUCCCACAAUUCCUUUCUAUAUAUAUAGCAAUUAGCAUAUAUAGUGAUAUAUUCUCCAAUCCUCAUGUCUCUUUCUUUCUCUCACACACACUCGCACGUAAAUUCACACACACACACAAUCAUGGAGCAGCAGCGGCACGUGCUGUUAGUUACAUUUCCGGCACAAGGCCACAUCAACCCAUCCCUUCAGUUCGCCAAGAGGCUGACCGCCAUUGGCAUCAAGGUCACCUUCGCCACCAGCCUCUACGCACGGCGGCGCAUGGCCAGAACCGCCGCCGGACUGCCCAAGGGGGUCACCUUCGCCGCCUUCUCCGACGGGUACGACGACGGGUUCAAUCCCGGAAACGACGACGCCGGAAAGUACAUGACGGAGAUUAGAAGCAGAGGCUCCCAAAGCCUGAGAGACACCAUCCUCGCCGCCGCCGAGCAGGGCCGCCCCGUCACCCAACUGG
rnacentral:lncRNA from 1 species